GGACGUCGGAGGGGUCGGCGGCGCUGUAGGCCCUCCUCCCGACGAGGAUGUUGGCGGCCUCCGUGGGGUGGAAGGCGUCCCAGAAGAGGUACUCGUUCCUGUUGGCGCACGGCGUCUGGAAGGGCAGGCAGGUCACCUGCCCGUUGUUCCUCCCCACCCCGCAGCAUCCCUUGUUNNNNNNNNNNNNNNNNNNNNNNNNNNNNNNNNNNNNNNNNNNNNNNNNNNNNNNNNNNNNNNNNNNNNNNNNNNNNNNNNNNNNNNNNNNNNNNNNNNNNNNNNNNNNNNNNNNNNNNNNNNNNNNNNNNNNNNNNNNNNNNNNNNNNNNNNNNNNNNNNNNNNNNNNNNNNNNNNNNNNNCCCCCCACCCCCCCCCCCCGCCCCCCCCCCCCCCCCCGCAGCAUCCCUUGUUCAGCACCGUCAGGCCUGCAUGCAUGUCCAUUUCUUCCAGAUUCAGACUAUCAGCAGCAUUACAAACGUGCAGCGCCGGCAGCUCGACGGCCGGGCCGGGCCGGGUAGCAGAUCGAUUGGAUAUUUCUCACCGUUGGCCCCCGGCGACCUGAGGAUGUCCUGGAAGAUCCCGUAGGCGUUGAUGUAGGUGAAGUGCGCGCCCGGCAGCGUGUUGAACUGGUCCACCAGCUCCACCAGCUUCUGGUUGAAGAUCUCGAUGGCGCCGUUGAUCCGCGCCACGCAGGUGACGCCGUCGGAGCUCUGCUGCGCCAGCUCGUUGGGGCUGCACCCCACCUGCCCCACCCCCAUCAGCGCCACCUUCCUCGCCCCGUUGUUGUACAGGACCUGCAUACAGGCACGCACGUACAUUACAUACACACAUCAUCAAGUUCAACAACACAGCCAUGCAUGCAUGCGUUUCACUGCAUGCUCGAUCGUGUUGGCAACUGGGCAUGCGGUACGUGCCCUGAGCUGCUGCGUGUACUGGCUGACGAGCACGUCGGCGUACUGCUCCGGGGUGUACUGCCGGCUGGUGGAGUAGACGGCGGGCAUGAAGUAGUUGUUGAGGUAGUCGUUGCUGCCCAUGCCCACCGUGAAGAUGCACUGGCUCAGGUGGUUCGCCGCGGAGUCCUCGUCCCCCAGGAUGCUCACCAGCUGCUGCACCGCCGCCUGGUAGUUCUGGAGCUGCCCGCCCAAGCUUAUGCGCUGGCCCUGCAUGCCAUGUUCGGCAGCGUUCGUGCAACGUUAAUUAGCUAGGCCACGUUAUUUCAACACGAUCAUAUACAUCACGUUUCUUCUGCGAAAGAAAAAAGUUUGUGAGUGCGUGCCAGUUGCUGUCCGGUCUCGUCCCUGAUUCCGGCCGCGGCCGAGGCAAAGUUGACGCCGGAGAGGAGUUGAUCGUUGUUUGCUCCCGCGUACGCUGGGAUGUAGUCGUCGAAGCCCAGAAGCCGAGCUGAAACAUACAGCAAAUUAAUUAAACGUGCGGGUGCUAAUCCAGUUUGAUGAUGCAUGGAAUGGAAGUAGACCUAUACAGGGUGGACAUCUACAUCACUAAACUUAUCUAGCCACUAGUUCGUUGGUACGCUAGACAAAAUCUGCAUAUAUAUGGUGUCAUAAAGUUCAGUGAACUCCAUGAGCACAAAUUGAACUAGUCUUUAACGGAUGAUGGUGACGCGACUGCACACAUGAGUACAGAUGCGCAGUGGCCUUCUUUAGCCUUGCUUCCAAUCUCCAGCGAUCAUCUGGCUCAGGCACAGUCACGGGUUGCUGCCUGUCUGGUCUGGUUCUUUUAGCUGCAUCCGUCCGCGCGCUCCUUAACUAGACAAUCGUGUCCACCCCUGUGCUUCAUGGAUUUUGCCUUUCUUUUUAGAUUACCAAGAUAGCAUAUGGACAUCGUCAUCACGGUAAAUGAAGGGGUCUACAUCAUCACAACAGAAUUUGGCACUUACUCUAUGCAUCAGAAAGACGUGUGCCGCAAAUUAACACCUCGUGUACGUUCAGUCGAUAUGUGUGCAGUCCUAGGUGUUAUUUUACAGAGGCUAAAGAAAGAAAAAGGAAAGAGCGCGGGCCGGGUCUUACAGAUGGCGUCGACGGUGGUGAGGCCGUUGCUGAAGCGCCCGGUGGCUCCGCCGGGGAAGUCGAUGCCGUAGGGCGGGUAGUUGGCCCGCGCCAGCGACGCGAUGUCGUUGUUGUUCCCAUUGUCCACCAGCGAGUCCCCGAACACGAAGUAGCACGGCACCUGCGGAUCGGCGCGCGCGCUCCGCCCGGUCGCGGCGGCCACCAGAACCACCACCACCAGCCACGGCGCCACCCACGGCGAGACACGCUCCAUUUCUCUCGCCGCCGCGCUUCUUAGCUAGCUAGUAGUAGCUAGCUGCUUGACUUGGAAGUUGGAAGGUUCGUGGCCAGCCGGCGGACGAGCUGGGUAGGUAGGUGGGUGGACGGAGGAAAUGCGUGAUCGACCGGAAGAGGCCGGCACGUUCGAGCCGUAUUUAUAGGGCAGCUGGUUGAUGGUGGCUACCGCUAGGGCUAGAUCAUGUAAUGGCCGGGGCGCGCGCGCUCGAUCUGGAGGGACACGGUUUGCUGUAGCGCUGCAGUGGAGACGCUCCGGAAGUCGUCGGGAUCGGGCUACCUCUGCAUGUGCGUGCAUGGUUGGAGCAGUCACGGUUGGUUAAGAGCCGCGCCGUGGGGCCGUAUUGAUUGGUCACCGGCCGCGCGUCGGGGUAGCGCCGUAGUACCGCGCCGGCGGCAGGCCUGGCCUGGUGCAGUUUGGGAUGCAAGGACUGUGAGACGGCCGGGGGAUUUGCAGGUAGCGUCGUGGCACGGACACAGUAUCGGCUCGUGUUUCUCACGUCAGGCCGGGACUCAGGAUGUCGGCCUGCGUGAUUCCUCGUUUCCGUCCCACUGGGUGACUGUUCAAGAGGACAGCAUGCAUCUAUGGAUUGGUAAGUGGCAGUUGGUUACUUGGUUCCACUAGUAACAGUGCACGUGUGUGUACUCAAAAUAUGAUGUAAAGGAUGUAGUAUCCUUGCUCGAGGUAAUCAACAAGUAUAUAUUAACAUCACAAAAUCAAUAUCAAGUCUUCAAAAAGAAUGCAUCAGAUAUGUGAAUGGUGUCAACAUCCUAAUAAUGAUCGGUGCAUCAUAUCUGGAAAACAAUUUAAGACAUAAGUUCAGCAUAGCACAUAGCACAUAAAACAAUUCAAGACAUAAGUUCAAAACUACAAUAGGGAAGCCCAUGUCUCUAUAAACAUAAGACCAUGUAAUCUCACACCCUAUCAACCCAUGUAAAGAAAAUUAAUAAUGGAACAAAACUUUGUUUGCUCCAGCUGCAAUCGUGUAGAUGUAGAAAACAAGUUGAGGAAUAAACUUCAGGUUGUUAGGAAUUUGAAUGGUACUAUGGCCACAACAACCAUCUCUCAUAUUUUCAAUAAAAUCUUAGAGCAAUUUGAUGAAAGCGAUCAAAAUGAAUGCCCGUGGUAAAACCCCAUUGACAAAUCUAACAACUCACCACCAACACAAAUGCCAAGAUAGCAAAUUUACUAAUUCCAUCAAAUGUUUUUUGUGCUAGCCAAUCAUCUAGAUUUUCCUGCCAACAGUUUUCUAGAAAUUAACCAUGUUCUAUAGAGUAAAUGUUAGCUUGCGAUAAUGUUCUAAAUGACUUGAAUCCACUACAUCUUUUUUUACUGCUUGAAUCCUCUACAUCCAAAUAAUGUUAUGCAAUAUUUACUUAACAUGGGCCGAUGAUCUCAUCCCAUACAGUUUUCAGUUUGUUCUACAUUAUGGCAAAGCUUUUUUUUUCAUGUCAAGCACUGCUUUGGUACAAACAAAUAUCACUUCACUCCCAUAUUCAUUCAUAGAUUAAGCGUAGUCAGUUUAUCACUUGUCAUGAACUCAUUUUGGCUUAUAUACAAUGAUCUAAUCACAAUUAUACAUAUGUUCUAACAAUCACUCAUGCUUCCUUCAGUGUAGCAUCCCUCCAAUGUUGCCAACACAGCAAUACAUAGUCUAGAAUAAGAGAACAAAUGUGUAUGUAUGACUUUUCAACCAUCAAUCAACACUCAAACUAUCUUUUUAAGUAUUACUAAUUGCACAGGGGUCAUCAUGUUGAUUUAAAACAACCUUAAAAUUACAUGCAAGCCAUCAUUUAAACCAUCUUGAAAUUAUCUACAAGCAAGAAAUACAACCAACUAAAUCAAUAUCAAGAAAGAUAAGGGAAAAAUGUAAACUAUGACCUCGAACAUCCGGAUGUGGAUCCUAUGGAGUUUUAUGCACCCAACACAUGUUGGCUUGUAUAGCGAAACAGACCUAGCAGACAAACAAGAAGUUCAGUAUGAUAGACCAUGCUACCUUGUUGAGAAAUCAUGAAAAAAAACUUGAAACCCCCACAAUAAGCAUGAUGCACAAUGAACGUACGGCUUGAUAUCUUUAUCAACAUCUCUUCAGUGGCACUACAAAAUAAAUCAUUAUCUCAAAACUGUUAAGACCAAGAUAUUUGAUGCUUAAAAAUUAAUAGAUCAAAAAUAAAAUGAGUUAAAAGAAGACUAACCUCAUGUCAUAGAUGCAUUUUUUUAUGCCUACUACCAUUGUAUACACAUAACAAUAAAAUUUUAUACACGUAAAAAUAAAAUUUUCGUUCCUACUACCUCAAGUUCUUGCGUGUAGGAUCGGCUCAUUGUGGCGUCUCUAAUUACAUAGUCAGAACAAUUCUUAAAAAGAUUUCCCAAAGUCUAGGAGAACUUCUUAAGCAGGUUAAUAUAAAUAGGUCUUCAUAUCUAACCAGCUCAUUCUAAAAGUGCAUUUAAAACCAUAAAGCUAAGUGAUACAUGUACAUGGUCAUGCACUUAUCCUGGCAGCCAUCUAAACACUUUUGUCCACACAUGUAUGCUACUAAACUUGUGAGAAAUUUAAAAAUCUGAGCUAUACAAACAUGAAACCUUGCUAUUCAAAAAUCCAUGUUUAUGGCAGAAACUUAAUAAUUUUGCCAAUCAAGCAUCGAGUUCCUACUUGAUACAAUUUGCUGCACACUUCAUGAAGUACUUAUAAUUUUCAAUUACUAUUUUUUAAUUUGGUUGAUACUACUGAGUAAAAAGUUUUUUUUCAUAGAGGCUUAAUACAAGUUUCAUGGAAAUUCAAAAAGGCAUUGUACACACAUAUUUCAGUUUCACGAAUAAAAGAUAGUCCGGAUUCAGAUUUUGCAAAUCAUGAUAAUUUUACAUAAAACCUAAAAAUCUAAGAAACAAAUCUCACCUUCGCGUUGUCGGAUGGUAGCAGUUCACUCUUACAAGUUGAGUUUCCAUCAAAAUGCUAGCAAGUCAAGAAAAGUAGAGUUUGUAAUAAAAACUGAGAUGGUGUGAUUAGCAGUUGACAUCUACCAACCUCUCGUGGCGUACCUAUAUAUCAAGAUUACAUCCAAUUGUAAUUAAUCUCAGUUCCUGCAAAAAGAACAAUCAGUCACAAUACAUGAUGCGAACAUUUGAAAAUAUAUAUGUAGCAUUUGCGGCUCCAAAUGUUGCUUAUCAUUGGGCUUUGGAAUCUCUAAUAAUCUAAGAAAUCUCCAACUCUCUAAUUUCUAUUACAUUUUUCCUUUGCUCCACUCGGCCCUAUAUUUCUUAUUCUUGCUACUGCAGGAAAGCAGUUUUAGGUGUACCGAACAUUGAGACCAGUAACUUUAGAACUUGGUUGUGUCAUUGUCACGCCCAAGAUGCGACCAUAUCCUCAAUUUGGCACGAGGGCCUCGUCGGGGAUAGAAGCGCAUCUCGUCGUAUCGCAAGAAUGGAUAUCGUUACAAGUACAUGUACUGAAAAUAAGAGAUAUAUACAUAGAAUUGGCUUACACUCGUCACAAGCUACAUCAGAGUCACAGCAGUACAUUACAUAAACAUCAAGAAGCCUAGAAAUUACCACAAGCCGCCUAGAAAUCCUCAAUCACGAAGCUCGCGAUCUCGUCGGAUUCCCUAGUGGAAAACCUCAACUCUAAGAUUACCCAAAGCAUCACCGGAAUCCCGAUGCAUAAGAUAUUUAGUCUAAGAUAAAAACUAAUCCAGCAAGGUCACCCGGUGUGUCGACGAACCCGAUAGGAGCCGCGUAUCUCGUUCUCAGGACACACCGUCUAUGCAUAGUGGACGGUAGCAAAACCUCGAGUUGCCCCAGGUGGCACCGCCGACUGCUAGGUGGGUGGACCAACACUCAUGCGGAGCACUAGCCCGGGGGGUUAAUUAAAUUAUCCUCGGGGUCCGGAAAGUCCCUAUGCAAUUUUAUUAGGUUAUUAGGCAAAUGUAGUACCAAUGUUGGGCCUUGCCGGACCAGCUUUAAUCUAAAACGAAUUAUCAAGGGGGUCCCCAUAACAACCCCGAUCGUGUUAGGAGCGCUCAAUUAUGGAACAUAACACCGGUAGCCGAAAACUAAGGGGGCAAAGGUGGAACAAAACACCAGGCUAGAAAGGCCGAACCUUCCACCUUUUACCAAGUAUAUAGGUGCAUUAAAUUAAAUAGCAUUUAAUAGGGUGAUAUAACAAGGGACCCAUGUUUUCACAUGGAAGCAAUGCACCUGCAACUAGCAACGCUAACACAAGGUAAGCAAGCAGUAACAUAGCCAAUCAGUGGUUUGCUAGAUUGAACAGGUUGAAGGUUUUCAUGGCAUUGUUGAGAGGCUAAUAUUUAACAUGUGGUAGGCAACGAGACAUAAACGGUAGCAACGGUAAAACUAGCAUGGCAAUGAUAGUAAUGGUAUCUGGGGAAAUGAUCAUCUUGCCCGAGAUCCCGCUUGGAAGAAGAAUGCCUCCCUGAAGCAAACGAACUGACGUAGUCGAACGGGUCCUCACAAUCUGGCACGCUGCGGAACUCUAUCGAGACGAAGCAAACUGGAAACACAAAUCAACACACGGAAUUCACCACACGAUCCACAACACAAAAUAUGCAUGAGCAGAUGAAUACAUGCAAGUCACGGCAUGACAAUCACACAAACAAACACUACACAUUAAGUGAAGUUCAAUAUGCAACAGUUGCAUAUUGACGAAACUCCAUGUUAAUUAUUUAGUUCUAUCCCGAUUAGAUACACGACAAUAUUAAAUGUGGUUAAACAUGGCAAGAGGUGAAGUGCAAUUAAACUACCUAUCUAGGCUUUUUAAAUAAGGUCGGAAAUGACAUAUAGCACCUCCGAGACGACCUCACAUGUUAAUUUACAAUUCUGUCCAGAUCUGAACUAACACAUUUAAUUAGUUGUUAAACAACAAAACAAAUAGGUUCGCGUGAUUCUACGCGUCAUUUCAAGCAAUCUACACAUAGACAACAUCUCCAACGGAGCUACGGUUCAAAAGAUACGGACAUCGCAAGAUAUGAUGGCAUGAAUGCAAUAUGUAUGCAACGACGGUCACGAGCACUUCAAAACAUACAACCAGUAAGAUAAAAUGAAACUACACAAGAUUCUAAGCAAGUUUCAUGUAGGACACGAUCAAAACGGAGCUACGGUUCAACAACUACGAGCAAAACAAGGAAACACUACAAUCUGCCAAAAUCAGCCACAUAGCGUUUUCUACACCCCACAACUACGAGCUACACAACUCCGAUAUGCUCAAGCAAGACAUGGCACAAAAGAGGGCAAGAAGCACUACAACAAACAACUAACAACAACUAGCAUGGCAUCAUGGAUCUCUAGGGAAAUAAGUCACAAAAUGACAUCUCACACACUAUAUCAGACUUAAUGAAAAUAGCAUUUUUUGAAGUUGCAGUUUUCGAUCUGAAGGCAUAUUGACAGCAGCAAAACCUAUAGCUACAGGCCUCCAAAUGGCAUGAAAAUUCACAUCAAGCUAGAUAAACACAAGGGCUACAACUAACUCCAUUGCACAAACCUCAAAAAAGCUACAGAUCACAAGAUAGAAGCAAGACAAGACAGCAACAAAAUAUAACAGAUUCCAAACUUAGAAAUAUUUCAGCACCUCCAAAUCAGCACUACAUCUAGCAACUUGAGAGCAAGCAAACCACACCUAAACAUGCAUUUCUAUUGCAACUAAAAAUACCAGGGGCUAGAGUAAACACCCAAGAACAACUCCCUAGUUGACAACUUAAACAAACGAAGCACGGAAUAAAUCCUACGAAAAAGACAAGAAGGCAACAUGACAAAAUAUCGCGCAAACUAACUUUCUCAAAAGCUAAAACUAAUUGCACAGAAAAAUCCCAAGCGGCAAAUCCCUACGCGCAAAAAUACCAAUGACUACUCUAAAAUACAUGGAAAAAUGGUUCCUAAAACAUGGGCAUUUAACCUACAGCAUACGAGCAAUCCGGACUUGCGCAAAAAUUAAAUACGGGCACUAUCCUAUCUAGACAGCACGCUAAACUAUGCGUUAGGCAUGCUAAACGACGUCAAACAAAUAUGCAAGUUGUGGAAUCGCAUUCUACGUGAGAAACUACACGAAAACCAUAUGCUACACGCCUCAAAUCGACUAACGGAAUAAAAGUUACGGGCGUUUGAAUAUACGUCUAUUUUUCUGGAUUUUAAAUAAUUCCGAAAAUCCCUAAAUACUCUUACGGGCCGAACUGGGCGCAACAUAGUUAAAAAGGUGCACAGACGGGGGAGGAUCUCAGCCUCACCUUGGCCCGGUUGGAGGGGCUGUGGAGUGGAGGUGGCCGACCUGGGCUUGGGUCGGCCUGGUGCAGCGAGGAGGAGGCCUCGGCCUGGCCAUCGCGGGGCGCCCUGGACUGGUCCGGCUCGGGGCCCAGCCGAGGCGGUAGGUGGCGCUAGCCACGGGACUUCUCGUGCCCGAGGGCACGAACCUGGCGGCGGCGGGGCCUCCAGCGGACGGCGGCGACGGGAGCCCGCCCGACGAGGCUUGGGAUCGGCGGGGAGGCCGCAGGGAGAUAGAUCCGGCGCGGGAUCCACCUGACCUGGUUGCGGCGGUGUGCGGAGAGGACUCCAUGGCGCGAAGGCUCCUGGCAGGCGGCGCAUGGCGGCAGCAUAGGGAGGACCGGCGCGGUCGAGGGAGGAGCUGGCGGCGGGGCUGGCGCGGGGUUGUGGCCGGACGGGGCCGGAUCGGGGCGGCCUGCGGCGGCGGUCGCCGGCGGGAAGCGGAUCGGGCGGCGCGCAGCUCCUGGUAGGAGGAGCUCGGGGCUGGGAGCUGAGGGAGGAACAGGCGAGACGGCGACGACGGGAUCCGGGCCCGGGCGGGCCUCGGAUGGGCUCGGCGGGCUCACGGCGGCUGGGGCUGGUGGGGGAGAGAGAGAGUGGGGGGAAUUAGGGUUAGGUGGCGCGGAUCCUAAGGUAGGAGGAGAGGGGGCUGUCUAAAAUACUCGGGGGUCUAUUUAUAGAGAAAAGGGGGCUAGGUUACCCGGAAUUACGUUCCGGAUCCAACCGUGCGGUCGGAUUCGGAUGAUUCCGAAUGCGGGAAUGGUUACGAGGCCGUGUAGAGUGGAUAUCCGGAGACGAGAGGGAGAACGGGCGGUGCGGCAACGAAUUUUAAAACACCGACAGACGUCCGACGGUAGACCGAAUACGGUGCCGCUACGGUCGACUGUUCGGGUACCAGACGGACUCCGAUCGCGACGAAACUUGACAGGCGGCCUAACUACAACUAAUAAAGACCGCGCGUCAAAUCUCAACCCGAUCAGAGGAAGUUUUCAACACACUUUUAAAACAAGGUUCGAACGAUGCCGCGGGCGCGUGUGUGUGGGGUCGGGCUCAGAACGGACAACGACGAGAACCGGCAACUAACAACGGAUGCAAGUUUUUGAAAACUGGCGGCAACAGGGUGUCGAUGCAAUGCUGAUGAUGCGCAUGAUGAGAUGAUGAUGCGACAAAAUAAAAUAGACACAUGACGAAAACGGAAUAGAAGGGGAAUCUUCUGGAACGCCGGCAUCGGGCUGUCACAACUCUCCUACACUACAAGAGGAUCUCGCCCCGAGAUCCAAGAAUGAAAGGGGGAGAGGAUGAGAAAGAACAAGAGGUAAAAACUUAGUCGCUUCUUGACAAACGAGUGAAACCAACGAUCCUUGAAGGUUGCAAAGAGAUGAGGAAUGAUAUGAGAAAGAAGCAAGAAUUCACGAAAAAUUUCGGGAGCACUUCGGUAGGAAAAUGGGACAAAAAAUUCGAUAAGAUGGUAGAAUUUGACAAUAUUCACAACAAACAAGUACAUAGAACAAGGGAACACCAUGAGCUUGGUAGACCAACAUAAUAGACCCAAAAGAGCAACAUCACAAUGCCUCUGGAAGAAGAGAAUAUGAACUAGCUCAUACGGAAGAAGAGAAAGAAGAAAAGAAUGACAACUACUAACUCCAAAGAACUUGGCAAGCAUCCUUGCAAGAAGAAUUGAACGGAGUUGUUGGAAAAACAACAACGAAAAGAACAAGAAGGUAGUGGGCUUAUGGAAACCUUUCAAACUAAUGAAGUAACAACCAGCCACUAACAGAAACAGGGAUUGAUUGGGAGAAGCAAGAUAUGAACAAUUUCUUACACCAAGAGGAUACCUUGAGAACUUGGAUUAAUGACAAGCACCAUGAUAGCAACAAUCCAUAGGAAAAGCUUUAGGUGAAGUCCAAACCAAGAUAGCUCAAUGAAGAAAUCAUGGGUUAAAAAUAUCUCAUGAUCAUAGAAUUGGUGGAUUUAAUUAUCUCAUACUUGAAAGGAAAUCUCUUCGAAACUCCUACACUAACAAGAUUGCUAUAAUACCACCUCAAAGGAUAAAGGAAGAACAAUUACACAUAGAAAUGCAAGAGAAAGGAUACUUGAGGUUCUCCAACAAGAAUCUUGAAGAACACUUGAGAAAAAAUUGAAACCUUGAUGAACCACCAUGAAGGACCUCCGUAUACAAAUGAACGAUGCAAAGAUAUGAAGGUAGAAAAGAAUAAGAUUAUGACCUUGCCAAAAUUUAGAUGAAGCCUCACAAAGCAUACUUAAAAGAACUUGGAACUCCAUAAAAGAAAUAUAGGCUCUUGAGAAAAGAAUUGAUAUCAUUAGCCACUCCGGAAGAAGAAUUGAAAUCUCUUGGAAGAAGGAAGGACAAUAAUAAGAAUUAUGUUAUGCUCAUCCUUCAUCAAAUUAAAUUGAUGACAAGCAACGGAUCUAGCAUACAACUUAUUCUUCUGAAAAGAUUGAGGAGAGAUAUGAGCACAAACUAGAACAAUUGUUGCAAGAAACACCGGUGAGAAUUGAAAUGAACGAGGCAACCAUGAAUGAAUGGAGAUACAUGAGAAAGAAGAGAUCAUGAUCCACCUGUGAUAAAAACUUAAACAAGACACCGGAUAAUCGAGAGAUGACCGAAGAGACAACAAUUGAGAAGAAUUGAGGAUGAAAGCUGAAAGCUGAGAACGAAGAAUCUUCUAAAAUGAUGGCCUUUGGAGGAACGAGAAUGAAAACAACUCAGAAAUGCACCGGGUCGCAAGAAAGGGAUACUCAUGAUUGGGAAUAAUUCAAGACGAUGCCAGAAGGCUGAAACGAUGAAUCAUGAAGAGAAUGGACCAAGAUUGAGAAAAAACACUCCUUCGGUCUUGAAGGUGAAAAUGGCGAGGAAAACACCACCAAGAAUAACUGAGACACUCCGGAAUAAAGAAGAAUGCAAGGUUGAGCCAAAUAUGAGAAUUAAUUCAAAUAGAUCUUAAAGAAGGGAUAUGACUGAUGAAAUUCAUACUUACGUCAUAGUUGAAAAGGACUAAUGAUCUCCGGGAAAAGAUUAAAAGAGUCAGGAAAGAUCCUGGGAAAAACCUGUGGGUUAUGGGCCCACUCAAAGAAACCACCGUUAGAAGAGAUUGCUUAGGAGAGAGACAUUGCACCGGUAUAAAGAGAACUAGAUGAGGUUGAGCACCUCGAAAUAAUUGAAAGAUUGAAAACCAGAACAUCUGAAAUAUCUUUAACACUCCGGAUAGAAAGAGAUAGGAAUUACUAACAAGAUACGCUCAUAAGAAUUUCCAAUAUAGGAAAGAAUUAACAAGGAUGAAAAGGACAUGUUGAACACAGACAACUGAAUUAAAUUCACCGGAAAAGAUGACAAGAAUGAAUAAGGAUGAACAUGAAGCUCCUGAGAAUCUUCACAAUGAAUCACCGGGUACGAGAGAAAAGAACAGACAGCGGAAGCACAAAGAAAAGAAAACUCCUCGAUAAAAAUUGAAUCACUGAGAAAAAGGGCGGGAGGGUGGGGAAAAACUAAGACAACUUGGGCUAGAUGAGAUGAACUCCGGAAUAAAAUGAGAGAAUGAUCUUGCAAAAAUUAAAGAGGAUUGAAUUCACUGAAGAGUAGCACACCAGUUAAAAAGGAAUUAACAUGACGACUCCGGUUAACAAGAAUUGACAAGACAACUGAUUAAGCAAAAGGAUUAGUAUUCCCAUAAAAAUAUGAGAACACCUCUUGGAAAGGUCUGAAAUCACCAAUUGACAUCGAAGCAGCACAAAUUUGUUGGAAGAUCGUCCUAUAAGUAACUACUUGAAUUCCCACCUAAGAAUUCCCGAAAUAUCUGGUCAUGCAAUCUGGUACACGGAUACAAGGAGUAAUAAUCACACAACUCCUAUACUAACCCGUCACCUGUAUCACAUCCGUCAACACACAACCAGAACCUCGGACCUUCAUCUACAACAGACCCUCGUGAUCACAACGAUAAAAAGUAUGGCAGUACUCCCGAACAAUCUGCACCAGUACUGGGGACAUCGGGGUUACCUCGCCACUACUAGUAUUGAAGCAAUUACGAACAUCCUUCGUUCUGAGAUACUAAGAAAUCUGAAUGAUAACGAUGUGCUCAAGAAUCCCCUGGAGCUCAACUCCCCUGAAACUCAAAGCAGAUAGGAGGCACCAAGACAGAACUCCGUCACAUCGGCAUCAUAUAGAUUCCAAAAAUAUCCGCGUGAUCCAAAAAAAAUUUGAGUGAGAAGAAGAGUAGAAUUAAAUUAUUACAUCAAGAUUCCUCACCACAGCAUAGAAGAGGAGAAAAAAGAAUCAUACUCUCCGAUAUAUAACUAGACUCAAAGAAGUUUUUCACUAGAUUCGACUCGGCCAAGUUCGAUCAAUCAAGGGGGCUCCUAGGUCGGUACUGCUCUAAUACCAACUUGUCACGCCCAAGAUGCGACCCUAUCCUCAAUUUGGCACGAGGGCCUCGUCAGGGAUAGAAGCGCAUCUCGUCGUGUCGCAAGAAUGGAAUCGUUACAAGUACAUGUACUAAAAAGAAGAGAUAUAUACAUAGAAUUGGCUUACACUCGCCACAAGCUACAUUAGAGUCACAACAGUACAUUACAUAAACAUCAAGAAGAAGAGCAGGGUCCGACUACGGACGAAAACAAACGAGAAAAGAAUAAUGACGUCCAUCCUUGCUAUCCCAGGCUGCCGGCCUGGAACCCAUCCUAGAUCGAUGAAGAAGAACAAGAAGCAACUCCAAAUGAACAAUCAACGCGCUCGCGUCAAAUAACCUUUACUUGUACGUGCAACUGGUGUUGUAGUAAUCUGUGAGCCACAGGGGACUCAGCGAUCUCAUUUCCAAAGGUAUCAAGACUAGCAAAGCUUAUUGGGUGAGGCAUGGUUAAGUGGUGAGGUUGCAGCAGUAGCUAAGCAUAUAUUUGGUGGCUAAACUUACGAGUACAAGAAAUAAGAGGGGGAAGAUCUACGCAUAACGAACGUGAGCUACUGAUGAUCAAAUGAAUGAUCCUGAACACCUACCUACGUCAGACAUAACCCCACCGUGUCCUCGAUCGGAGAAGGAACUCACGAAAGAGACCGUCACGGUUACGCACAUAAUUGGCAUAUUUUAAUUAAGUUAACUUCAAGUUAUCUAGAACCAGUGUUAAACAAACUUUCCACGUUGCCACAUAACCGCGGGCACGGCUUUCUGAAAAGAUUUAACCCUGCAGGGGUGCUCCAACUAGUCCAUCACAAAUUACCACAAGCCGCAUAGAAAUCCUCAAUCACGAAGCUCGCGAUCUCGUCGGAUUCCCUAGUGGAAAACCUCAACUCUGAGAUUACCCAAAGCAUCACCGGAAUCCCGAUGCACAAGAUAUUUCGUCAAAGGUAAAAACUAAUCUAGCAAGGCCACCCGUUGUGUCGACGAACCCGAUAGGAGCCGCGUAUCUCAUUCUCAGGACACACCGUCUAUGCAUAGUGGACGGUAGCCAAACCUCGAGUUGCCCCGAGGUGGCACCGCCGACUGCUAGGUGGGUGGACCAACACUCAUGCGGAGCACUGGCCCGGGGGGUUGAUUAAAUUAUUCUCGGGAUCCGGAAAAUCCCUAUGCAAUUUUAUUAGGUUAUUAGGCAAAUGUAGUACCAAUGUUGGGCCUUGCCGGACCAGCUUUAACCUAAAAUGAAUUAUCAAGGGGGUCCCCAUAACAACCCCGAUCGUGUUAGGAGCGCUCAAUUAUGGAACAUAACACCGGUAGCCGAAAACUAAGGGGGCAAAGGUGGAACAAAACACCAGGCUAGAAAGGCCGAGCCUUCCACCUUUUACCAAGUAUAUAGGUGCAUUAAAUUAAAUAGCAUUUAAUAGGGUGAUAAAACAAGGGACCCAUGUUUUCACAUGGAAGCAAUGCACCUGCAACUAGCAGCGCUAACACAAGGUAAGCAAGCAGUAACAUAGCCAAUCAGUGGUUUGCUAUGUUGAAUAGGUUGAAGGUUUUCAUGGCAUUGUUGAGAGGCUAAUAUUUAACAUGUGGUAGGCAACGAGAAAUAAACGGUAGCAACGGUAAAACUGGCAUGGCAAUGAUAGUAAUGGUAUAUGGGGAAAUGGUCAUCUUGCCUGAGAUCCCGCUUGGAAGAAGAAUGCCUCCGUGAAGCAGACGAACCGACGUAGUCGAAAGGGUCCUCACAAUCCGGCACGCUGCGGAACUCUAUCGAGAUGAAGCAAACCGGAAACACAAAUCAACACACGGAAUUCACCACACGAUGCACAACACAAAAGAUGCAUGAGCAUAUGAAUACAUGCAAGUCACAACAUGGCAAUCACACAAACAAACACUACACAUUAAGUGAAGUUCAAUAUGCAACGAGUUGCAUAUUGACGAAACUCCAAGUUAAUUAUUUAGUUCUAUCCCGAUUAGAUACACGGAAAUACUAAAUGUGGUUAAACAUGGCAAGAGGUGAAGCGCAAUUAAACUACCUAUCUAGGCUUUUUAAAUGAGGUCGGAAAUGACAUAUAGCACCUCCGAGACGACCUCACAUGUUAAUUUACAAUCCUGUCCAGAUCUGAACUAACACAUUUAAUUAGUUGUUAAACCGCAAAACAAAUAGUUUCAAGUGAUUCUACGCGUCAUUUCAAGCAAUCUACACAUAGAGAACAUCUCCAACGGAGCUACGGUUCAAAAGAUACGGACACCGCAAGAUAUGAUGGCAUGAAUGCAAUAUGUGUGCAACGACGGUCACGAGCACUGCAAAACAUACAACCAGCAAGAGAAAAUUAAAAUACACAAGAUUCUAAGCAAGUUUCAUGUAGGACACGAUCAAAACAGAGCUACGGUUCAACAACUACGAGCAAAACAAGAAAAUACUACAAUCUGCCAAAAUCAGCCACAUAGCGUUUUCUACACCCCACAACUACAAGCUACACAACUCCGAUAUGCUCAAGCAAGACAUGGCAUGAAAGAGGGCAAGAAGAACUACAACAAACAACUAACAACAACUAGCAUGGCGUCAUGGAUCUCUAGGGAAAGAAGUCACAAAAUGGCAUCUCACACACUAUAUCAGACUUAGUGAAAAUAGCAGUUUUUGAAGCUGCAGUUUUCGAUCUGAGGGCAUAUUGACAGCAGCAAAACCAAUAGCUACAGGACUCCAAAUGGCAUGAAAAUUCACAGCAAGCUAGAGAAACACAAGGGCUACAACUAACUCCAUUGCACCAACCUCAAAAGAGCUACAGAUCACAAGAUAGAAGCAAGACAAGACAGCAACAAAAUAUAACAGAUCCCAGACUUAGAAAUAUUUCAGCACCUCCAAAUCAGCACUACUUCUAGCAACUUGAGAGUAAGAAAACCACACCUAAACAUGCAUUUCUAUUGCAACCAAAAAUACCAGGGGCUAGAGUAAAUACCCAAGAACAACUCCCUAGUUGACAACUUAAAGAAACGAAGCACGGAAUAAAUCCUACGAAAAAGACAAGAAGGCAACAUGACAAAAUAUCGCGCGAACUAACUUGCUCAAAAGUUAAAACUAAUUGCACAGAUGGAUUUUUCUACCCCGAAAACAUAUAAAAUCUGUGGGGUUGUACUACAAAAUAAUGCCACACGUAAAUGCGAGAUAAUAACCUAUACAUCGAAAAUAAUCUAGCGGCAAAUCCCUACGCGCAAAAAUACCAAUGACUACUUUAAAAUACAUGGAAAAAUGGUUCCUAAAACAUGGGCAUUUAACCUACGGCAUACGAGCAAUCCGGAAUUGCGUGAAAAUAAAAUACGGGCACUAUCCUAUCUAGACAGCAUGCUAAACUAGGCGUUAGGCACGCUAAACAACGGGAAACAAAUAUGCAAGUUGUGGAAUCGCAUUCUACGCGAGAAACUAUACGAAAACCAUAUGCUACACGCCUCAAACCGACUAACGGAAUAAAAGUUACGGGCGUUUGAAUAUACGUCUAUUUUUCUGGAAUUUAAAUAAUUCCAAAAAUCCCUAAAUACUCUUGCGAACCGAAGUGGGCGCAACAUAGUUAAAAAGGUGCACAUGCGGGGGGAGGAUCUCAGCCUCACCUUGGGCCGGUUGGAGGGGCUCUGGAGUGGAGGUGGCCGACCUGGGCUUGGGCCGGCCUGGUGCAGCAAGGAGGAGGCCUCAUCCUGGCCACCGCAGAGCGUCCUCGACUAGGCCGGCUCAGGGCCCAGCCGAGGCGGUAGGUGGCGCUGGCCACGGGACUUCGUCGUGCCCGAGGGCACGAACCUGGCAGCGGCGGGGCCUCCAGCGGACGGCGGCGACAGGAGCCCGCCCGGCGAGGCUUGGGAUCGGCGGGGAGGCCGCAGGGAGAUGGAUCCGGCGCGGGAUCCACGUGACCUAGUUGCGGCGGUCUGCGGAGAGGACUCCAUGGCGCGGAAGCUCCUGGCAGGCAGCGCAUGGCGGCAGCACAGGGAGGACCGGCGCGGUCGAGGGAGGAGCUGGCGGCGGGGCUGGCGUGGGGUUGUGGCCGGACGGGCCCGGAUCGGGGCGGCGUACGGCGGCGGUCGCCGGCGGGAAGUGGAUUGGGCGGCGCGCAGCUCCUGGUAGGAGGAGCUCGGGGUUGGGAGCUGAGGGAGGAAUAGGCGAGGCAGCGGCGGCGGGAUCCGGGCCCGGGCGGGCCUCGGAUGGGCUCGGCAAGCCCACGGCGGCUGGGGCUGGUGGGGGAGAGAGAGAGUGGGGGGAAUUAGGGUUAGGUGGCGCAGAUCCCGAGGUAGGAGGAGAGGGGGCUGUCUAAAAUACCCGGGGGUCUAUAUAUAGAGAAAGGGGCUAGGUUACCCGGAAUUCCGUUCCGGAUCCAACCGUGCGGUCGGAUUCGAACGAUUCCGAAUGCGGGAAUGGUUACGAGGCCGUGUAGAGUGGAUAUCUGGAGACGAGAGGGAGAACGGGCGGCGCGGAAUUUUUGAAACACCGACAGACGUCCGACGGUAGACCGAAUCCGGUGCCCCUACGGUCGACCGUUCGGGUACCAGACGGACUCCGAUCGCGACGAAACUUGACAGGCGGCCUAACUACAACUAAUAAAGACCGCCCGUCAAAUCUCAACCCGAUCAGAGGAAGUUUUCAACACACUUUUAAAACAAGGUUCGAACGAUGCCGCGGGCGCGUGUGUGUGGGGUCGGGCUCAGAACGGACAACGACGAGAACCAGCGACUAACAACGGAUGCAAGUUUUUGAAAACUGGCGGCAACAGGGUGCCGAUGCAAUGCUGAUGAUGCACAUGAUGCGAUGAUGAUGCGAAAAAAUAAAAUAGACACAUGACGAAAACAGAAUAGAAGGGGAAUCUUCUGGAACGCCGGCAUCGGGCUAUCACAGUCAUGAACUCUUAUAUUUAUGCACAUACAUGUUGAAGUAGAGGAUCUUGGGUGGGUCCUCGCCGUACAGGCGUCUACCGUCUUAAGCCCCUGCAGCUCUAUCAUGGACCACACGAGUCUGUGACACCAUCAUUGGCUCAUCCCCCGCUCGAGGUGUGCAACAUACUUGAUGUAUGACCCCCGCGUCAGGCCGCGUAGCAGCUCCGCCACCCGCCCCUUGGCCAACUCGACAACUUGCUCUCUCUGUCUUCCCAUCAAUUACGUCCAGCGAAGCAACAAGGUCCCUCGCGAGAGCCAGCAGGACGGGGAAGACGCUGGCCUCAGCGGUAGCCUCGCGUAGCAAGACACAAGUGCAGGAGUAGUUAUGGUUAUCUCACCCAUGUGUGACGUCGAGUUGCUGAGGCAGCGAUGGUGUAGUCCAGAAUUUGCUGCCUGCAGCGGCCGCAUCCAAGUAGUGGACCCUGGCGCUGCAUAGGCAAAGUAAAUUUCAUUGUAGAUUAUUAAACGACGCUUAUAUGUAAAUUUACCUGCAAAUCAGAAGUUGAUACAAUAAAUACCUUAGACCCAUGUUUACCAGACCCGAUCAAAUCUGCUACAUGUCGCUUCAAGAACAUUGAACAAGUAGAUAUAUAAUGCAGAAUCAGGAUGACCGAAAUUUUCAUAUUAUAAGAUAAUCACAAAUUUACAGUGUCACACAAUUGUGUUGAUGUAUCACUUAUGAGCAACUAUUGCAUGCUCGGAGCAAUAUGUGGAACAAUAUAUAUAGAAGCCAUAAAUAAAAGAAGACCAAUGUAUUCCUCGUAUAUAAAAUGGUAUCUAUUGCGAACAACUUCUUUUCUAACAAAUGUCGAAUUAGGGAGUCAAGGCUUAUAACCUACAAAAUGGGGAAACAUACGAAAUGAGGAAACUCAAGAGCAAGAAAGUCACAUGGAACAAAAUUACCUCAUUGCUCCAAGCAUAUACGAUAGUUCUAAGAAAUUUUCUUUAUAGAAUUAGCCCACUGAUUUAUUGAAAUGCUUAAUGUAGUUGUUUCUUGCAGCAAUCUCUCCAGGGUUAGUACUACACAAAAUUUCUCCAUAAAGUAGCAGACAGUCCAUGAGAAAAGAAUCAAUUCUAUUUUAUAUAAGUAAUUGAACAAAUAGACACUACGGUUCUGCGAAGUAGGACACUCUACAUGAUGCUAUUCAUAGCAGUGCACAUCCGCUCCUGUGACUUACAACAAGAAAGUGGAAAAGGCAGUACAUGAGCUCGAUUCUUACUACACAAAUUGGAUUGUCACGUAGACCGAAUCAUGACCCCUCCUCCUGUCCUGACCGAAUUAUCACACAGAAUCCUGGGCGAUUGUCUCUCCCAGCGCCGAGGAGGCACCCGCUACCCGGCUAUGGUGGGGAGGAAGAGGAGGUCCGGGGGAGGGCCGUCGGGGAGGGAGAGGAGGGUCGACGGGGAAGGAGAGAACGUCCGGAGUGGCGCGGGGCGUGGCGGUGGUAGAGAGGCGGAGAGGGUGGCCGACGGGGAGGGAGAGGAGCCCCGAAGGGGAGGGAGAGGGGUGCGGGGCGUGGAGACCGGCAGGGAGAGCAGCGACGCACCGAGCGGGGUGCGGCAGCAGAACCGGCGACGGGCUGAUGUGGCGGUGCAGGGGUGGGUGGCUGUGGGCGGUGCAGGGGCGGGCGGCUGCGCAAGGCUGGGGCGGGUCGAGCAGGCGAGCGAACGAUGCGGGCGGGGGCGGGCGACCGGGAGGAUGCAGGCGAGCGGGGCGACGAGGAGGAGGCGUGGCAAUUAGCGCUAACGAAAACUUUCAAGUUUCGUUAACGACGUUUUCACGCCCUUGAUGAUGUAAUUAAACGGUUUAGAUUGCGAGUUGGAUCUGCCCUCUCGUGCUUUUAAUAGUAGAGAUGAAUAGAAUUAGAGUACUUGUUAAUUUACUAAUUAACAAAUGCUAAUUAAGGAACCGACAUAGGAACCGACGUGUACUCUCUAACUGCUAUGAGCAGUUAUACUUCCUCUCUCAUCUUAACAACUGCUAUGUGCAGUUGCUGCUUUGUCUCACGCAUUGGCAACCGUAUGUUGCGGUUAGAAAUGCUCUCAUAGAAUUGUAACUGCUCAUUGUAUAUAUAGUGUUCAAUCAAUGAGAAUUAUUUACUUCUGGCAAUCACUUUUUCACUUUUACACAUUAUCAGUACUUGCUCUGCCGAGAGCGACAAAGAGCCAUCAUGAGAAAGGUAAGAAUGGCAGGAAGGGACUUGCCAUCGCUUGCUUUCGUUAUUGCACGCUUCCUCCAGAAAGAGAGCAGUCGCUUUCCACGCACCCAUCGCCACCGUGUUGCACGUCGCCGUCAGGGACUUGGUGCAAGGAGUGGCCCUCGUCGCCGCUUCUUCAACGGGUACCACCGCCAGAACCGUCGUCGAGGGUAUGCACACCGAGGCAACCACCCACACCAUGGGCUAGCACCAACGGUGCACCAGGUGGACCUUCGGCUCCGGCCACCGCUGCACUGCAUCAUACUUGGCCUUCGGCUCCGGCUGUCGCCGGCGACUACAUCGUACCGGCCACUCCGCCAUCCGCCUUCAACAUCCCUGGUAUAGAUUGGCUUCUUGCAGGGCUAUCAACACUGUUCCUCGGAGAAGAUGAGAUGUUCCCUUGCGAACUCGCGUCGCCACCUCUACCCCCGUACUGCGUGCAGCACGAGUUCGGACCGUGUCCAGCGCGUACGGGCUCACCACCACGGCUACCGUCGCCGACACCAUUAUACGAACUGCUAGAGCAUUCCCUCCCUCCUGGAUAUGCCAUCCCCGACGCCGGCAGCAGCGGAAAAUGGCAGCUACCGCACCAUCCCCGACUUGAACAUCAAGAUAAAGGUUGAAGAAGAGGAGAUUGAGGACCAUGGCUCAUCGUCGACGCCACCUCCUCCAUCACCGGCGACACCUCCUACUCCUCCGGCACCGCCGCUUCCUCCGACACCUCCGCCGGAAGCCCGCCAGAUUCUGCGCCAAUUCGCCGCGGCCAUGGCGUAAAACCGUGCAGCCCUUCGUGGCGCGUGGUCGCCGGAUGCUCUGGGCCUCACCGGCGCACCUGGGGCGAGCAGCAGCGGAGGAGGCAGUGCUGCGAAGAGGGGCCCGCCCCAUUUCCCUUGAAGACGGCGCGACGGGGCAGGGGAGCGCCGACGAGCAGCGGUGCUGAGCUCCAAAAUCGAACAGAGAAGGGGAUUUGGGAGUGGCUGUGACGUGGGGAAACUCUCGUAUGUGCUCUCCUUAUCCUCUCUCUCUAGGUGCAUGGGCCAAGCCAACUCUCCCCGCUCCUCACCUAAAUAGGCCUACAGGCCAAUAUAUCCAAUAAGUGUUGCUGGUGUUAUGGCAUUUUCAAUAGAGAAUGGCUAUAGUAUUAUUAAUAUAUUGCAUAGCAGCCAAUCCUGUUCAUUUGAGAGUGUUAUUUUAUUAUACUAAGAACAUCAGUUUAUUAUAUUCAGUCUGUACUGUACUGAAGUUUGAAUAGUUAGACCAAGUAUUGUCUAAUAAAUAAAGUCUCAGACUACUACGUGUACAUAUUCUAUUUGAUUGCUUCAGCAAUUUUCUUUUAGAAUAUGUAAGUACAAUAAUUUUUAUUCACAAUUCAAAUUUUGGGAUCACAAGGUAGACGAGGCAUCUACUGCACUUUGCAGAUUAUCCUCGUUGCUAAAAGAUCUACAUUUUUGCCAUUCUCUUUUGUUAUGGCAAAAUGACUAUCUUCAGGUGCUCUCCCAAAAUAUGUGAAUUGAUGUGAUUACUUAGAAUAUGAUACUUGCAAAUCACAAGGUAAUUGUGUGAUCUACUGCAUCAAUUUGCAGACUAUCCACUUUUGUUGUGAGGUCUACAUCUAGUCAUUAGAUAGAUGACUACCUUUAAUGUGUUUUUGUAAAAUGUAGUAUGACACAAGGUAAUGGACAUAUGAACAUCUACUAGUCAAAACCAGAUUAUGUUCUCCAUUACCGUGAGAUCUACACCGCAACGGUGACUAUCUUUAACGUGUCAUUUACAUAAAAUGAGGUCUACACGUAUAUGUAUAAAGCAUCAGCUAUACUUCAAAACUUUGCUUCCCAAAGCAAUUUGUUGUUACUUAUAUCUUACUCUCAUAGUAAAACUAAUCCAUGCAUGAUCACAACAUGCAGGAAAUGGUUGGCGUCAUGAAUAGAGAAUUUCAUGAACUUGAGCUAGAUGGUAGUAAUUAUUUAUCAUGGGCUAUGGAUACCAAGAUAGCAUUAGAAUGUCGUAAACUUGGUUCCACAAUUAUCACACCUGCUGAACGCGCUGCAGAAAUACCGCAAGCAGCCAAAUAUGGAGCAUUAAGUUUUAUAAGGCAUCACCUCCAUCCAGAUUUAAAAACAUAAUAUUUAAUGGACGAGGAUCCAUUUGCUUUAUGGAACUCUCUCAAGGAGAGAUAUGACCAACAAAGAGCAGUUAUGCUACCAGAAGCCCAAAGAGAAUGGUCCCUCAUAAGGUUCCAAGAUUUCAAAUGUGUGGCAGCAUACAACUCUGUAGUUCACAAGGUUAACUCUAAACUGAGGUUUUGCAAUCAAGCAAUUUCCGAAGAAGACCUUAUUGAGAAGACCUUGUGCACUUUCCACCCCUCGAUGAGAGUACUACAGCAACAGUACCGUCAACAGAAAUACAAAAAGUAUUCUGAGCUCAUAUAUACUUUACUUCAGGCUGAAAAACAUGAUGAACUUCUCAUGAAGAAUCAUCAGACACGCCCAACAGGCUCCAUGCCACUCCGUGAAGCACAUGCUAACACUCAGUAUACUAAAAAGUAUGGGGGAAAUAAAAAGAAAUUCAAUGGAAAAUGGAAAAGGAACAACAAGCAGAAAACAUUUCGUCAAUCUAAAGGUAAAGGUCAUUUCAAGAAAGAUGACCAAAACACCAAAUCUGAGAUUUGUCAAAGGUGUGGAUGUACUAACCAUCGUACUAGCAAAUGUUGGGGAACAUUGUAUGGGAAACAAAAAAAUUCCUACGCCCACGAUGACCUAUCAUGGUGAUGUCCAUCAACGAGAGGAGAUUUGGAUCUACAUACCCUUGUAGAUCGCACAGCAGGAAGCGUUAAGAAACGCGGUUGAUGUAGUGGAACGUCCUCACGUCCCUCGAUCCGCCCCGCGAACCGUCCCACGAACCGUCCCGCGAUCCGUCCCACGAACCGUCCCGCGAUCCGUCCCACGAACCGUCCCGCGAUCCGUCCCACGAACCGUCUCGCGAUCCGUUGCACGAACCGUCUUGCGAUCCGUCUCACGAUCCGUUCUGAUCUAGUGCCGAACGGACGGCACCUCCGCGUUCAGCACACGUACAGCUCGACGAUGAUCUCUGCCUUCUUGAUCCAGCAAGAGAGACGGAGAGGUAGAUGAGUUCUCCAGCAGCGUGACGUCACUCCGGAGCUUGGUGGUGAUCUAUUCCAGCACGGCUCCGCCUAAGCUCCGCAGAAAUACGAUCUAGAGGAAAAACUGUGUGGUAUAGGGUCGAGCAGCAUGUUGCAAAGUUGUGUCUCAAACCCCCCCCCCCCAAUACCUCUAGUAUAUAUAGGAGGGAGGGAGGGUAGGAGGCAGCCUGAAACCCUCAAGGUUUGGCGGAAAUUGGAGGUGGAGGAGUCCUACUCCAAUCCUACUUGGAGUAGGAUUCCACCUUCCCACUUGGAAACACUUUCCACCUUGUGUUUUUUCCUUCUCAAACCUUAUGGGCCUUAGUGGGAACUUAUUCCAGCCAACUAGGGGCUGGUUUAUCUCUUCCCAUAGCCCAUGAGACCCCUUGGGUCGUGACACCCCUCCCGAUGGUCCCCGGCACCCCUCCCGGCACUCCCGGUACACUACCGAUGAGCCCGAAACUUUUCCGGUGACCAAAACAGGACUUCCUAUAUAUCAAUCUUUACCUCCGGACCAUUCCGGAGCUCCUCGUGAUGUCCUGGAUCUCAUCCGGGACUCCAACCAACUUUCGGUUACCAACACCUAUAACUCAACUAUACCGAAACGUCACCGAACCUUAAGUGUGCAGACCCUGCGGGUUCGAGAACUAUGUACACAUGACCUGAGACACUCCUCGAUUAAUAUCCAAUAGCGGGACCUGGAUGCCCAUAUUGGAUCCUACAUACUCUCCGAAGAUCUUAUCGGUUGAACCUCAGUGCCAAGGAUUCAUAUAAUCCCGUAUGUCAUUCCCUUUGUCCUUCGGUAUGUUACUUGCCCGAGAUUCGAUCAUCGGUAUCCGCAUACCUAUUUCAGUAUCGUUACCGGCAAGUCUCUUUACUCGUUCCCUAAUACAAGAUCCCGUGACUUACACUUAGUCACGUUGCUUGCAAGGCUUGUGUGUGAUGUUGUAUUACCGAGUGGGCCCCGAGAUAGCUCUCCGUCACACGGAGUGACAAAUCCCAGUCUUGAUCCAUACUAACUCAACGGACACCUUCGGAGAUACCUGUAGAGCACCUUUAUAGUCACCCAAUUACGUUGCGACGUUUGAUGCACACAAGGUAUUCCUCCGGUGCCAGUGAGUUAUAUGAUCUCAUGGUCAUAGGAACAAAUACUUGACACACAGAAAACAAUAGCAAUAAAACGACGCGAUCAAUUUGCUACGUUCAUAGUUUGGGUCUUGUCCAUCACAUGAUUCUCCUAGUGAUGUGAUCCCGUUAUCAAGUGACAACACUUGCCUAUGGCCAGGAAACCUUGACCAUCUUUGAUCAACGAACUAGUCAACUAGAGGCUCACUAGGGACAGUGUGUUGUCCAUGUAUCCACACAUGUAUUUGAGUUUCCAAUCAAUACAAUUCUAGCAUGGAUAAUAAACGAUUAUUAUGAAUAAGGAAAUAUAAUAAUAACUAAUUUAUUAUUGCCUCUAGGGCAUAUUUCCAACAGUCUCCCACUUGCACUAGAGUCAAUAAUCUAGUUCACAUCACCAUGUGAUUUCAACGAAUCCAACACCCAUAUAGUUCUGGGGUCUGAUCACGUCUUGCUCGUGAGAGAGGUUUUAGUCAACGGUUCUGAAACUUUCAGAUCCGUGUGUUCUUUACAAAUCUUUAUGUCAUCUUACAGAUGCUGCUACUACGUGCUAUUCGGAAAUACUCCAAAUAUCUACUCUACUAUACGAAUCCGUUUCACUACUCAUAGUUAUUCAGAUUAGUGUCAAAGCUUCCAUCGACGUAACCCUUUACAACGAACUCUUUAACCACCUCCAUAAUCGAGAAAAAUUCCUUAGUCCAUUAGUUACUAAGGAUAAAUUUGACCGUUGUUCAGUGAUUCAAUCCUGGAUCACUCUCUGUACCUCUUAACAGACUUGUGGUAAGGCACAUAUCAGGUGCGGUACACAGCAUGGCAUACUAUAGAGUCUACGGCUAAGGCAUAGGGGACGACCUUCGUCCUUUCUCUUUAUUCUGCUGUGGUCGGGCUUUUGAGUGUUACUCAUAUUCACACCUUACAACACAGCCAAGAACUCUUUCUUUGCUCAUCUAUUUCGAACUCCUUCAAAAUUUUGUCAAGGCAUGCAUUUCAUUUGAAAGUUAUGUUUAGAAUUUUGAUCUAUCUCCAUAGAUCUUGAUGCUCAAUGUUCAAGUAUCUCUAUCCAGGUCUUCCUUUGAAAACCCCCUUUCAAACAACCUUUAUGCUUUAUAGAAAUUCUACAUUACUUCCGAUCAACAAUAUGUCAACCACAUAUACUUAUCAGAAAUUCUAUAGUGCUCCCACUCACUUCUUUGGAAAUACAAGUUUCUCAUAAACCUUGCACAAACCCAAAAGUUGUGAUCAUCUCAUCAAAGCGUAUAUUCCAACUCCGAGAUGCUUGCACCAGUCCAUAAAAGGAUUGAUGGUGCUUGCAUACUUGUUAGUAUCCUUAGGAUCGACAAAACAUUCUGAUUGUAUCACAUACAAUCUUUCCUCAAGGAAACCGUCGAGGAAACAAUGUUUUGACUUCCUGUGUGUAAUAUUUCACAAAUAAUGCAGCAACUACUAACAUAACUCCAACAGACUUUUAGCAUCGCUACGACUGAGAAAUUCACAUCAUAGUCAACUCUUUGAUCUUGUCAAAAGCAUCUUUGCGACAAGUCGAGCUUUUCUUAAUAGUGACUUAUCACCAUCAUCGCCUGUCUUCCUUUUAAAGAUCCAUCUUUACUUAAUAGUCUUACUGCCAUCAAGUAGUUCUUCCAAAGUCUACACUUUGUUUUCAUACAUAGAUCCUCUCUCGGAUUUCAUGGCCUCCAGCCAUAUGUCGGAAUCCGAGCCCACCAUUGCUUCUCCAAAACUCGUAGGUUGAUUGUUGCUCAACAACAUGACCUCCAAGACAGGGUUACCGUACCACUCUAUAGUAGUACGCGACCUUUGUCGACCUACGAGGUUUGUAGUAGCUUGAUCUGAAGCUCUAAUGAUCACUAUCAUCAGCUUCCACUUCAAUUGGUGUAGGCGCCACAGGAACAACUUCCUGCGCCCUGCUACACACUGGUUGAAGUGAAGGUUCAAUAACCUCAUCAAGUUCCACCACUCUCCCACUCAAUUCUUUCGAGAGAAACCUUUCCUCGAGAAAGGAUCCGUUUCUAGAAGAAAACACUUUGCUUCCAGAUCUGAGAUAGGAGAUGUACCCAACUAUUUUGGAUAUCCUAUGAAGAUGCAUUUAUCCGCUUUGGGUUCGAGCUUAUCAGACUGAAACCUUUUCACAUAAGCAUCGCAGCCCCAAACUUUCAAGAAACGACAGCUUAGGUUUCUCUAAACCAUAGUCUAUAUUGUGUCAUCUCAACGGAAAUAUGCAGUGCCCUAUUUAAAGUGGAUGCGGUUGUCUCUAAUGCAUAACCCAUAAAUGAUUGUGGUAAUUCGAUAAGAGACAUCAUAGUAUGCACCAUAUCAAAUAGGUCGCGGCUAUGACGUUCGGACACACCAUCACACCAUGGUGUUCUUGGUGGCAUGAAUUGCGAAACAACUUCCACGUUGUCUUAACUGUGUACCAAAACUCACAACUCGGAUAUUUAUUUCUAUGAUCAUAUAGUCGACAGUUUAUCCUCUUGUUACGACGAACUUCACUCUAAAACAGAAUUAAACUUUUCAAUAUUUGAGACUUUGUGAUUCAUUAAGUAAAUACUCAUGUAUCUACUCAAAUCAUCAUUGAAGUAAGAACAGAAUGAUAUCCAUUGUGUGCCUCAGCACUCAUUGGACUGCAUACAUCAAAAUGUAUUACUUCCAACAAGUUACUUUCUUGUUUCAUCUCAAUGAAAACAAGGACUUGCUCAUGUGGUAUGAUUUGCGUGUCUCAAGUGAUUCAAAAUCAAGUGAGUAUAAAGAUCCAUUAGCAUGGAGCCUCUUCAUGCAAUUUAUACCAACAUGACUCAUGCGGCAGUGCCACAAGUAAGUGGUACUAUCAUCAUUACCUUGUAUCUUUUGGCACCAAUAUCAUGAACAUGUGUAACACUACAAUCGAGAUUCAAUAAACCAUUGAAGGUGACCAUUCAAGCAAAUAGAAUAACCAUUAUUCUCUUUAAAUGAAUAAUGUAUUGCAAUAAACACGAUCCAAGCAUGUUCAUGCUCAACGCAAGCACGAAGUAACAAUUAUUUAGGUUUAACACUAAUCCCGGUGGUAGAGGGAGCGUGCGACGUUUGAUCACAUCAACCUUGGAAACACUUCCAACACAUAUCAUCGCCUCGCCUUUAGCUAGACUCCAUUUAUUCCAUAGCUUUCAUUUCGAGUUACUAAUCACUCAGCAACCGAACCGGUAUCCAAUACCCUCGCGCUACUAGGAGUACUAGUAAGGUACACAUCAAUAUCAUGUAUGUCAAAUAUACUUCUAUCGACUUUGCCAGCCUUCUUAUCUACCAAGCAUCUAGGGUAGCUCCGCCUCAGUGACCGUUCCGCUCAUAACAGAAGCACUUAGUCUCGGGUUUGGGUUCAAUCUUGGGUUUCAUCAAAGUAGCAACUAGUUUGCCAUUUCAUGAAGUAUCCCUUUUAGCCCUUGCCUUUUUUGAAACAUAGUGGUUUUACUAACCAUCAACUAUUGAUGCUCCUUCUUGAUUUCUACUUUCGCAGUGUCAAACAUUGCGAAUCGCUCAAGGAUCAUUGUAUCUAUCCUUGAUUUUUAUAGUUCAUCAGAAGCUCUCACAACUUGGUGGCAGUGACUUUGGAGAACCAUCCCUAUCUCAUCUGGAAGAUUAACUCCCACUUGAUUCAAGCGAUUGUCGUACUCAGACAAUCUGAGCACAUGCUCAACGUUUGAGCUUUUCUCCUUUACUUUGUGGAAAAAGAAUCUUGUCGGAGGUCUCAUACCUCUCAACAAGGGCACGAGCAUGAAAUCUCAAUUUCAUCUCUUUAGAACAUCUCUUAUGUUCCAUGACGUAUCAAAACGUCUUCGGCGCCUUGCUUCUAAGCCAUUAAGUAUUAUGCACUGAACUAUCGCGUAGUCAUCAGAAACGCGUAUGUCGGAUGUUCACAACAUCCAUAGACGACGCUCAAGGUGCAGCACACCGAGUGAUGCAUUAAGGACAUAAGCCUUCUACGCAGCAAUGAGGACAAUCCUUAGUUUUACGGACUCAAUCCGCAAAGUUGCUACUAUCAACUUUCAACUAAACUUUCUCUAGGAACAUAUAAAAAAAGUAGAGCUAUAACGCAAGCUACAUCAUAAUUCGCAAAGACCAUUAGACUAUGUUCAUGAUAAUUAGUUCAAUUAAUCAUAUUACUUAAGAACUCCCACUCAAAAAGUACAUCUCUCUAGUCAUUUCAGUGGUACAUGAUCCAAAUCCACUAUCUCAAGUCCGAUCAUCACGUGAGUCGAGAAUAGUUUCAGUGGUAAGCAUCUCUAUGCUAAUCAUAUCAACUAUACGAUUCAUGCUCGACCUUUCGGUCUCUUGUGUUCCGAGGCCAUGUUUGCACAUGCUAGGCUCGUCAAGUUUAACCCGAGUGUUCCGCGUGUGCAACUGUUUUGCACCCGUUGUAUGUGAACGUUGAGUCUAUCACACCCGAUCAUCACGUGGUGUCUCGAAACGACGAACUGUCGCAACGGUGCACAGUCGGGGAGAACACAAUUUGAGCUUGAAAUUUUGGUGAGAGAUCACCUCAUAAUGCUACCGUCGUUCUAAGCAUAAUAAGGUGCAAAAAGGAUUAACAUCACAUGCAAUUCAUAAGUGACAUGAUUUGGCCAUCAUCAAGUGCUCCUUGAUCUCCAUCACCAAAGCACUGGUAUGAUCUUCUUGUCACCGGCGCCACACCAUGAUCCCCAUCAUCAUGAUCUCCAUCAUCGUUCUGCCAUCGAGGUUGUCGUGUAUGCUAUGCUAUUACUACUAAAGCUACGUCCUAGCAAUAUAGUAAACGCAUUUACAAACACAAACGUUAGUUUAAAGACAACCCUAUGGCUCCUGCCGGUUGCCGUAGCAUCGACGUGCAAGUCGAUAUUAACUAUUACAACAUGAUCAUCUCAUACAUCCAAUAUAUCACAUCACGUCGUUGGCCAUAUCGCAUCACAAGCAUACCCUGCAAAAACAAGUUAGACGUCCUCUAAUUGUUGUUGCAUGUUUUACGUGGUUGCCAUGGGUAUCUAGUAGGAUCGCAUCUUACUUACGCAAACACCACAACAGAGAUGCAUUAAUUGCUAUUUAACCUCUCUCCAAGGACCUCCUCGGUCAAAUCCGAUUCAACUAAAGUUGGAGAAACCGACACUCGCCAGUCAUCUUUGAGCAACGGGGUUGCUCGUAGCGAUGAGUAAUGUCGGUCUGAGCCGCUUCGGUCCAACAAUACCGCGGAAUCAAGAAAAGACUAAGGAGGGCAGCAAAUCGCACAUCACCGCACACAAAAAAAUUUGUGUUCUACUCGAGAUAACAUCUAAGCAUGAACCUAGCUCAUGAUGCCACUGUUGGGGAAUGUCGCACGGGAAACAAAAAAUUUCCUACGCGCACGAAGACCUAUCAUGGUGAUGUCCAUCUACGAUAGGAGAUUUGGAUCUACAUACCGUUGUAGAUCGCACAGCAGGAAGCGUUAAGAAACGCGGUUGAUGUAGUGGAACGUCCUCACGUCCCUCCAUCCGCCCCACGAACCGUCCCACAAUCCGUCCCACGAACCGUCCCGCGAUCCAUCCCACGAACUAUCUCGCGAUCCGUUGCACGAACCCUCUUGCGAUCCGUCUCACGAUCCGUUCCGAUCUAGUGCCGAACAGACGACACCUCCGCGUUUGGCACACGUACAGCUCAACAAUGAUCUCGGCCUUCUUGAUCCAGCAAGAGAGACGGAGAGGUAGAUGAGUUCUCCGACAGCGUGACGGUGCUCCGGAGCUUGGUGGUGAUCUAUUCCAGCAGGGCUCCGCCUAAGCUCCGCAGAAAUACGAUCUAGAGGAAAAACUGUGUGGUAUAGGGUCGAGCAGCAUGUGGCAAAGUUGUGUCUCAAACCCCCCCCCCAAUACCUCUAGUAUAUAUAGGAAGGAGGGAGGGGAGGAGGCAGCCUCAAACCCUCAAGGUUUGGCCGAAAUUGGAGGUGGAGGAGUCCUACUCCAAUCCUACUUGGAGUAGGAUUCCACCUUCCCACUUGGAAACUCUUUCCACCUUGUGUUUUUUCCUUCUCAAACCUUAUGGGCCUUAGUGGGAACUUAUUCCAGCCCACUAGGGGCUGGUUUAUCUCUUCCCAUAGCCCAUGAGACCCCUUGGGGCGUGACACCCGUCCCGAUGGUCCCCGGCACCCCUCCCGGCACUCCCGGUACACUACCGAUGAGCCCGAAACUUUUCCGGUGACCAAAACAGGACUUCCUAUAUAUCAAUCUUUACCUUCGGACCAUUCCGGAGCUCCUCGUGACGUCCUAGAUCUCAUCCGGGACUCCGAACAACUUUCGGUUACCAACACCUAUAACUUACCGAAACGUCACCGAACCUUAAGUGUGUAGACCCUGCGGGUUCGAGAACUAUGUAGACAUGACCCGAGACACUCCUCAGUCAAUAUCCAAUAGCGGGACCUGGAUGCCCAUAUUGGAUCCUACAUACUCUCCGAAGAUCUUACCGGUUGAACCUCAAUGCCAAGGAUUCAUAUAAUCCUGUAUGUCAUUCCCUUUGUCCUUCGGUAUGUUACUUGCCUGAGAUUCGAUCGUCGGUAUCCGCAUACCUAUUUCAGUCUCGUUACCGGCAAGUCUCUUUACUUGUUCCGUAAUACAAGAUCCCAUGACUUACACUUAGUCACAUUGCUUGCAAGUCUUGCGUGUGAUGUUGUAUUACCGAGUGGGACAAAUUGCUUACAAGGCUUGGAAGGCUUGCGUGUGAUGUUGUAUUACUUAGUCACAUUGCUUGCAAGGCUUACAAAUCCCAGUCUUGAUCCAUACUAACUCAACGGACACCUUCGGAGAUACCUGUAGAUCACCUUUAUAGUCACCCAAUUACGUUGCGACGUUUGAUGCACACAAGGUAUUCCUCCGGUGCAAGUGAGUUAUAUGAUCUCAUGGUCAUAGGAACAAAUACUUGACACGCAGAAANCUGCCGUCGUCCACCGCCGCCGCCGCCGCCCCCUGCCGUCGUCCACCGCGGUGAGUUCUGCUUCCCAUUUUUCUUUUUUAAAAAGUUAAUUACUUUAGUUAGUUUAUUAGGUUAGUUUUUUAUUAUAUAUAGGGUCAUUUAGUUAGUUUGUUUGGUUAGAUUAUUAGGCUAAUUAGGUUAGUUAGUUAGGUUAGAAGAAAGAAAGAGGAAAAGCAGAAGGAAAAAAAUGAAAAAGAAAAAAAGGAAAAGAAGAAAAUAAUUAGAAGAAGAACGAAAAGAAGAAGGAGAAGAAGAAGAAGANNNNNNNNNNNNNNNNNNNNNNNNNNNNNNNNNNNNNNNNNNNNNNNNNNNNNNNNNNNNNNNNNNNNNNNNNNNNNNNNNNNNNNNNNNNNNNNNNNNNNNNNNNNNNNNNNNNNNNNNNNNNNNNNNNNNNNNNNNNNNNNNNNNNNNNNNNNNNNNNNNNNNNNNNNNNNNNNNNNNNNNNNNNNNNNNNNNNNNNNNNNNNNNNNNNNNNNNNNNNNNNNNNNNNNNNNNNNNNNNNNNNNNNNNNNNNNNNNNNNNNNNNNNNNNNNNNNNNNNNNNNNGAGGAGGAGGAGGAAGAGGAGGAGAAAGAAGAAGAAGAAGNNNNNNNNNNNNNNNNNNNNNNNNNNNNNNNNNNNNNNNAAGAAGAAGAAGAAGAAAAAGGAUAGGAGGAGAAAAAGAGGAGGGGGAGUAGGAGGAGAAAGAAGAAGAAGAAGNNNNAGAAGAAGAAGAAGAAAAGAAGAAGAAGAAGAAAAAGAGGAGAGAGGAGAGAGGAGAAGAAGAAAGAAGAGGAAAAGGGAACCCCGGCACCCCGAAACUGACCCUCGACCCCCGACCCCUCACUCCCGACGCCACUGACCCCCGACCAUCGACCCCCGACGCCACUGACCCCCGACCCCCGACCCCCGACGCCACUGANNNNNNNNNNNNNNNNNNNNNNNNNNNNNNNNNNNNNNNNNNNNNNNNNNNNNNNNNNNNNNNNNNNNNNNNNNNNNNNNNNNNNNNNNNNNNNNNNNNNNNNNNNNNNNNNNNNNNNNNNNNNNNNNNNNNNNNNNNNNNNNNNNNNNNNNNNNNNNNNNNNNNNNNNNNNNNNNNNNNNNNNNNNNNNNNNNNNNNNNNNNNNNNNNNNNNNNNNNNNNNNNNNNNNNNNNNNNNNNNNNNNNNNNNNNNNNNNNNNNNNNNNNNNNNNNNNNNNNNNNNNNNNNNNNNNNNNNNNNNNNNNNNNNNNNCACCAACCCCUGACCCCCCGACGCCACUGACACCCGACGUCACUGACCCUGGACCCCCAACGCCACUGACCCCCCACAACCUACGCCACUAACCCCCCGACCCCCGAUGCCACAGACACCUGACACCACCGACCCUCGACAACACUGACUCCCGACGCCACUAAGCCCCGACCCCCGACACCUCUUAUGCCUUCUUUUGUACGAGAAGGUGCUUUUCGGCCUUCUAGAGGCCCACGAGGUCAUAGUUUUGUAAAUUAUGAGUUAGGCCACAUAUUUUCCGAUUAGGUUAAUUAUAAAAACAUCGUAUUUGUGUUGAUCGUGUGAAUUUCAAUGUGCAGUUGUUCGACGACCUCCACGUGCGUUGGACGAGCUCCGCCCUUGCGUUUGUUGGUGAGCACAAAUGACUUCUCCUCCUACCCCUUAAUUUGCUCUGUCCCGAUCUUCGUGCCGAUGAAACUAGCUAGCUAUAGGUUUCUUCAAUCAUGAGUAUGCGUGACCAGUAUGCCUCUCCCGUUCGAAAGGGCGACAUCUAUAAAUAUGCAUUUCUUUGCAUAUUUAUAACCGCCAUCCUUUCUAAUUGUCCAACAUUAUCCAUGGACAGCCCGAGUAUGUGUAGAUUGGGUUUGUUUUCCCGUAUGCUGUGCUCCGGGUCCGAUGCGGAAUUUCGUCAGUGUCUCCCCAGUUGUUCUCCGAGUACACAUCCUCUCUGCUUAUUCCGGAGACGUGUAUCAGGAGAACAGCGGGGAGGUGCUGCCGAAAUUCUGCGUCGCAUCUGGAGCAGAGCAUGGGAAAACGAACCCAAUCUACACAUACUCGGGUGGGAUUAGGACCUAUCUUUACCUAUUAGCGUGUAGGUUGCAUGGACGUAAUAAAACUGACAAACUUGAUUAGCAUAUGAAUAUAGAUGAUGAAUUAUAUAAUUAUUUCUUGUGCCCCCAUAGGUAGCUAGGCAACAUGAGUGAUCGUGCUUGGAUGUACACUGGUCACCCUAGUCAGAAAGACAUGACCCAUGAAUGGUUAACAAAAACCAGGGGGUUUGUGAGAGCCGCAUUAGCAAAUGGCCAGCAAAAAACAUGGUGCCCCUGUCCCAACUGCGACAACUGGAAAAAGCAGACAGAGUUUGAAAUGGAUAAACACCUGCAGAAGUGGGGUUUUACCCCUAAUUAUACGGUGUGGACUUUUCAUGGUGAGUCUGACCAACGUGCCAGAGCUGAGGUGAUUCUUCGUCGCACCGACGAGCAUGGUACCGGGAUUGAAGACAUGGUUCAAGACUUUGAUGAUGCUCGGGAUUCGGACUAUGAGAUGGAGGAAUCUGCAAAGGCCUUCUAUGAAAUGUUGGAGUCUUCAAAACGUCCUCUCGACGAACAGACUGAGCUUUGUCAACUGGAUGCCAUCACGCAAGUAAUGGCUCUGAAGGCUCAAUUCAACCUAGGCAGAGAAUGCUACGACGCGAUGAUGACGAUAUUUGGACGCUUUCUACCCAAAGGCCAUGUACUGCCUGCAAACCUGUACCAGUCAGAGAAAAUCCUCCGUGUACUUAAGAUGCCCUAUGAUAAGAUACAUGCCUGUGAGAAUGGAUGUGCCUUAUUUAGGCUUGAGUAUGCGUCCUUGAACUAUUGCCCCAUUUGCAAUUCUUCCAGGUAUAUUGUGGUAGACAACGACAUGGGUGAGAAGAAUCAGACCAAAAUCCCCAUUAGUGUUCUUCAGUAUCUGCCAAUCGUACCAAGACUUCAACGUCUUUUCAUGGUCGAAGAGACGGCCAGACAGAUGACAUGGCACAAAUUGGGCAAAAGAACCAAACUAGAUGCGGAUGGGAACAAGAUGCUGGUACACACUUCAGAUGGUUUUGCGUGGAGGCACUUCGAUGCAUUACAUAAGGAUAAAUUGGAAGAUCCAAGGCAACCUAGAGUUGCCAUCAGCAUGGAUGGGUUCAAUGUGUAUGGUAUGACGGAAGCAAAAUACAGUUGUUGGCCUGUAUUUGUCAUUCCACUAAAUUUUCCACUCGGAGAGAUUAUGAAAAGAAAGAACAUUUUCCUGACGUUGAUAAUUCCAGGGCCGAACUAUCCGGGGAAGAAUAUGAAUGUGUACAUGCAGCCGCUUAAGGAUGAGUUGCAAGAAGCCUGGGAUAAUGGGAUCAAGACCUACGACGCGGCUACCAAAACCAAUUUCAAAAUGCAUGUGUGGUACAUGUACUCGACGCAUGAUUAUCCGGCGUUUGCGCUAUUCGCUGGCUGGUGUGUGCAUGGAAGGUUCCCGUGCACCACAUGCAAGGCAGCUCUUCAGUUCCGUUGGCUGCAGGCUGGUCGCAAGUAUUCUUGCUUCGACAUGCAUAGACAAUUCCUGGAUCCUGACCAUAAGUUCAGAAAAGACAAGAAGAAUUUCAUCAAACGUAGAGUUGUCAAAAACACUGCACCAGCUGCGUUGACAGGCCAACAGACCCUUGAUCAGUUAAACGCUCUCGAGCCUGAUCCUUUGCGUCUAGGAUACUUCAAAGGGUAUAAUACAAAACACGCAUGGACUCACAAUUCAUGCUUAUGGGAUCUGCCUUACUUCAAAGACCUCCUUUGCCCACACAACAUUGACGUGGUGCACACUGAAAAGAAUAUUGCGGAGGCCAUUUUUGGUACAUUGUUCGGCAUAGAGGGGAAGUCAAAAGAUAAUCCUAAGGCUAGAAUCGACCUGGAGGCUCUAUGUGAUAGACCGUUGCAAAACUUGCGACAACGAAAAGGAAAGCAAAGCAUAGCGAAGCCAAAGGCAUGGUUCAAUCAUGAAAGGCCAACUAUGAGGGAAAUGCUAUUGUGGGUGAAAAUGUGGUUGAUGUUCCCCGAUGGGUAUGCUGCAAUCUAAAGAGGGGAGCGAGUCUUGAGAAAUUGAAAAUAUUUGGGCUCAAGAGUCAUGAUUGGCACAUAUGGAUUGAGCGGGUAAUGCCGGUGAUGUUGCGUGGCUUUAUCCCUGAGGAUGAAUGGCUAGUACUGGCAGAGCUGAGCUAUUUCUUCCGUUCUCUUUGUGCGAAAGAACUAUCGCCUGGCGUGCUAGAUGAAAUGGAAGAGUUGGCACCGGAGUUGAUCUGCAAAUUAAAAAAGAUCUUUCCACCGGGCUUCUUUAAUCCAAUGCAACAUUUGAUUUUGCAUCUCCCGACCGAGGCAAGAAUGGGGGGGCGUUCAAAAUGGAUGGUGCUACUCAACUGAGAGGAUGCAGAAGACGCUUCGAGCUAAGUGUAAAAAUAAACGUAGAAUUGAAGCAUCGAUGGCCGAGGCAUUCAUUACUGAGGAGGUGGCAAACUUCGUGACAGCACACUACGAAGCCAAAAUUCAUCAUUUGCAUAACCCGAAGCCUCGGUACAAUGAUGGCGAUCGAAAAAAAGUUUGAUCCAACCUCGGCCUAUUCAAAGGUAAGCUCGCACCAUCCGGUGCUUCGAAAGGGAAAUCGUUGGAUGUCGAAGAAUGGCGGACCAUUUCAUUGUAUAUCUUCACCAACCUAACAGUAGUGCGGCCGUACAUCGAGUAAGUUCUCGGUAAUUUAUUGUUCCGCAACUUCUAAUUGCUUUGAACUACUCUUAUUCCCGGAUAUUUGAUAUAGCCGAUACGUCGCCGAAUUCUCGGAUAGAGCGGUCAUCGAAAAGGAUUCCGUCGAAGAGUAUGAGCUUCUCGCAAAGCAUGGAGGCGACUGUCCCGGUUUCAUCUCUUGGUUCAAACAAAGGGUAAUUAAUUACCAUUAAGGGCCCAUUUGAUUUCUUGCUCUAAUGUGCGGCUAAUGCAUCCAUUCUUUCGUAUUAAACUUGUAGGCUGAUGCAGAGUCUAUGGACGCCGAGUUGAGACAAGUCGCUAAUGGUUUUGACUAUAAGGUCCGUUCAUUUGACAAAUACAACAUCAACGGGUAUCACUUUCGUACCUUUGGCAAAUAGCUAUCUAUGCCCGACCUAAAGUCUACAAAUUGUUCUCUCUCUGCUAUCGGCGAAGGAGACACCGAGUAUUAUGGAAGAGUUGAAGCAAUUUAUGAACUUCUAUUCUAUGGUGAAAACCCACCGACCGUCGUAGUCUUCAAAUGUUAUUGGUUUGAGCCGAGGGAGACUAGAAGGACUCAUGAACAUAUAGGACUAGUCAAAAUCAACCAAAACACCCACUUAGAUGUUCCCGAUGUCUAUAUUACGGCUCCAUAGGCGACACAAGUUUUCUAUCUACUGUGGGCCUGCCAAACUGAUCCAAAUCUCAAAGGUUGGGAUGUCGUUUAUGAAGAGCCACCACAUUUUAGACCACCUACCCUCAAUGAAGAGGAUUACGAACCUCACAUUAACCUAGACACAUAUGAAGGAGAAUUCUUCCAAGAAACACGUAUGUCCAAGAAACGUUUCAAGAACCGCUCUACUUCACCCCAGAACAUUGAAGUAGACAGCGACAGUGAAUCUGUCUUAAACCCUGAGCCCGAACAGGAAGAGCUGGAAGAAGAAGAGGUUACUGCUGCGGAUGACCUGUCACUUCUUGACCGAUUACAUAAUGGUGGCCUUCCACAUGUUCUUCGUGAUAGUGAUGAUGAUGAUGCAUUUAUUGAUGAUAGUGAUGAUCAUGAUGCAUUUAUUGACCCCGAAGCAUAUAUAGACGAGCACGAUUGUUAUUAGUUCAUGUCAGGUAUUCAACUAUUAUACUAUAUAUAAAUUUUGAGUUCAUGUUAGGUAUUCAAUUUUUAUUAGUCAUGUUGGUAUUUAUGACGAUGAUACACUUAAAUUAUAUACAUUUUAUUAGUCAUGUUGGUAUUUAUGUUGUACUAAUUUCAUUUACUCUUUGUCAUGACAGGUUUUGAAAGAUGGUGGGAAAGGGUCGAACGCACUCCGCGGCUCCUUCUUCGUCGGCGGGUGAUGGGAUGGGUAAUUCCAUUCCUGCCUCGCCUCUUCGGAGAGUGUUGCUCUCUACUAUGCAAGGAGCGCCCCCGUGAGAGGAGGUCGACCCCCCGCGAAGCCGAGAGGCACUAAAGGUACACGUUGUAUUCAUGUUGGUAUUUAUCUUGUACUCAUGUUGUAUGCAUAUUGGUAUUUAUAUACAUUUUAUUACUCAUGUUGGUAUUUAUGUUGUACUAAAGGUACACGUGGCCGCGGGAGAGGUAGGGCGGUGGCUGCCAUGCCUUCUAAGGUGGCGGCUACACGGUCUCUGCCACCACCCCAAGCCGAUUCACCUCAGCACAUGACUUCUAGGGUGGAUUCGUUUGAGGUGGAGGCUACACGGUCUUCGGUUCACGAGCCUCGGGUCGACGUGCCUUCGACCCACAAGACUCGUGUCCCAGAGGCUUCAUUCCAGGCGACUCCGGAGCAAAGCAGGGAUGAGGGUACGUCCCAAGAGACCCAGUGGGAUACCUGGGCUGAGCCAAAUGGCCAUGCUCGUAGCGACGAGGAGCUGGGUGAGGGGGCUAUCGUCUACCAGCGUGGUAGUUCGGGGCUCCCGCUUGUGCCACCGACCCCCGAGCAGAGGUGGUCGAUUAGGCCAAAUGGGGACAAGUAAGUUAAUUUACUCUUAUUUAACCUUUUGCCUUCGCGUUUUCUCAAAUAUUUAUUGUUUUGGCUUUAAUUUGUCAUACUGUAGGGGUUGGAUUGUUGCCAAGGGUGUCCGCAAGCCCAACAGCGUCCUUGGUGUUCUUUGCCGUAAAAACUUCCCAGGGUUUGUUACGUUGCCCGGUCGGGAGCGAGAGGUAGGAAUGACCUGCGAGCACUACUUGGGUGCCCCGGCCCCGUCGGAGGUGGAGAUCGAUGGUGUUUUGUGCGACACGAGGGUGGACAUGGUGAUCCGAAAGUUCUGGGUAAUUUCUCCUUCACACAAUUAUAAAUCAACCAUAGCUAUUUAUUGUACUAAUUGGUGUUGUCUCGUUUGCAGACCUACUAUAGGUGUGAGGAGGGAUACGAGGAGGACGCGGCAAAGGUUAUCGAAACCGAAUGUCGUCGCCUACUUCAAAACUUUCGGCAUGAGGCUCGGGUGCAGGUUGUUCGAGACUACUAUGCCACGCGGCGUAUUAGGCUUGACAAGGCGAAGUGUCGUGAUGCUAAGAUGGAGAAGGAGCAUUACAUGAAGGUAAUUACAUAUUAUUAAGGCUUUGUAGUUAGUUUCCUUGACUUGGUUCUUACGCGCUCAAAUUUCUCUUUAUUAGCUUAGGUUCCCUCGAGAUGGUGUGUGGAUAAGAUGGAUUGUUGGGAGGCCUUGGUGGAUCAGUGGUGCUCCGAAACGUGGGAGGCCAGCCACAACAACGCCAAGGAGAGGCGUGGCAAAAUGGUUGGCGUGCCACACCAUCAAGGGAGCGUCAACUUAAUCCAAUUUGGCGAGAACUGGGUAUGUGGUUUGCUUCAUGCCUCAUGCAAUUCAUUCUUAAUGCUAUCUUGAGCUAUUUACUAAUACAAUUUUCCUCUCUCUCUCUCUUUUAGGCGUGUCACAAUAAGACGGAGGCGCCACAGAUGUACGACCUGUAUGCGAUGGCCCAUACUACCUCGUACAAGAAGGUCAAGGCAUUCUCUGAGUCUGACCUCGAGCAUCCACAAAACUUCACCAACAUCUCCUCCCACCACAAGCUCGUGAAGUACAGAUAUCACGGGAAGGCGAGGAAAGGGGAGGACUUUAACCCGAGCGAGGGGCCUAUUGAUCCAGAGCUGGUGAUGAUAGCUGGCAACGGGAGGCCCCAUGGCUCGAUCGCCAUUGGAGACGGCCUUAUACGUUGUCCUAGCACUCUCCGGCAGAUAAAGGCACGCCAAACAAGCUCUUGUCCGGAGAUAACACGUCGUCCACGGCGAGUCGAGCUCGCCAUCGAGGUUAGUUUAAUGGACUCAACUAUCUUUCCGCAUUAUGUUGUGCGUUGGAACCAAUAUGAUUACAUUGCUAACAAUGAGUUGUGUUGCAGGCUGCUAUUCAGAAAGAGAGAGAGGCAAUGCAGGCGGCUAUGGCGGAGAAGGAUAAGGAAAUUAGGGAGCUGGAGGAGAGGACGACUGCAUUGGUCGAGGCUGAGAGGGCACGGAAUGAUGCGUCUAACAGGGCCAUAUACGAGCUCUUCGUGGUAAGUUUCUUCUUCAUGUUAUUUCAAAUCUUGCAUUUGAAUGUCCGUUUCAUUAAUAAAUAAAAAGUUUGACUUGUCGAAACCAAAUGUACAGUCUAUGUGCGAGAAGAACGGCCAAGUCACUCCGCCGAUGCCAGUCAUUAACGUGGCGGGGACGGUGAGUUUCAUUUCAGUGCAGUGAUCUUAAGAGUGUCCUCAUGCUAACUACACAUUGCAAACGAUGUUUGGUGCAGAAUAUCUCCCGAAACGCAUCGCACGACCCUUCUACAGUCGAGCCUUCUCCAGGGCAGCCUUCUCCAGGUGAAACAAGCUAGAGCCACCGUGCUUCACCGCUGUGAUGACGAUAAUGGUAUGUUAUUUCUAGUGUUUUAAUAAAAAAUAGCUAGACUUCCAUCUAAAUGACAUAAUUGGCUUAGUUAGCUCCAAGAAAGGCUAAAUUGGCUAAUUAUCCUACGAAAUGACAUAAUUAGCUUAGUUAGCUCCAAAAUAACCUAUUUAAUAAAAAAUGNNNNNNNNNNNNNNNNNNNNNNNNNNNNNNNNNNNNNNNNNNNNNNNNNNNNNNNNNNNNNNNNNNNNNNNNNNNNNNNNNNNNNNNNNNNNNNNNNNNNNNNNNNNNNNNNNNNNNNNNNUCUUCUCCUCUUCCUUCUCUUUCUCCUCCUCCUCCUCCUCCUUCUUCUUUUACAUCUUCUUCUCUUUCUCUUCUUCUACGUAGCUUAGACUCAUCCAAGAAAGGCAAAAUUGGCUAAUUAUCCUACGAAAUGACAUAAUUAGCUUAGUCAGCUCCAAAAUGACCUAUUUAAUAAAAAAUGACCUACAGUUAGCUAAGUUCUCUCCUAAAUGACAUAAUAAGGCUUACGUAGCUGCAAGAUGCCCUAUCCCCCCUAACAUAGGUAUUAAAUGGCCUAUAAUUAGCCUAGCUAGAUCCAAAAUGGCUUAAUAAGCAUAAUGUGCUCCGGAAUGACCUAUUUUACCCAAGUUAGCUCCGAAACAACCUAUAGUUAGCUAGGGUUNNNNNNNNNNNNNNNNNNNNNNNNNNNNNNNNNNNNNNNNNNNNNNNNNNNNNNNNNNNNNNNNNNNNNNNNNNNNNNNNNNNNNNNNNNNNNNNNNNNNNNNNNNNNNNNNNNNNNNNNNNNNNNNNNNNNNNNNNNNNNNNNNNNNNNNNNNNNNNNNNNNNNNNNNNNNNNNNNNNNNNNNNNNNNNNNNNNNNNNNNNNNNNNNNNNNNNNNNNNNNNNNNNNNNNNNNNNNNNNNNNNNNNNNNNNNNNNNNNNNNNNNNNNNNNNNNNNNNNNNNNNNNNNNNNNNNNNNNNNNNNNNNNNNNNNNNNNNNNNNNNNNNNNNNNNNNNNNNNNNNNNNNNNNNNNNNNNNNNNNNNNNNNNNNNNNNNNNNNNNNNNNNNNNNNNNNNNNNNNNNNNNNNNNNNNNNNNNNNNNNNNNNNNNUUCUUUUACUUCUUCUUCUCUUUCUCUUCUUCCACGUAGCUUAGACUCAUCCAAGAAAGGCUAAAUUGGCUAAUUAUCUUACGAAAUGACAUAAUUAGCUUAGUUAGCUCCAAAAUGACCUAUUUAAUAAAAAAUGACCUACACUUAGCUAAGUUCUCUCCUAAAUGACAUAAUAAGGCUCGCGUAGCUGCAAGAUGACCUAUUCCCCCUAGCUUAGGUAUUAAAUAGCCUAUAAUUAGCCUAGCUAGAUCCAAAAUGGCUUAAUAAGCAUAGUUUGCUCCGGAAUGACCUAUUUUACCCAAGUUAGUUCCGAAACAACCUAUAGUUAGCUAGGGUUCCACCUAGAUGACAUAAUUAGCUUAGUUAGCUCCUAAAUGGACUAUUUAAUAAAACAUGUCCGAUACUUAGCUAAUUAUCCUCGAAAUGACAUAAUUAGCUCCAAAAAGGCAUUCUUAGCCAAUUUAGCCCGAAGAAGGGGACAAGAGGAGAAGAAAUAGGAAAAAUGAAAGGAAGGAAGAAGAAGACGAAGAAGAAAAGAAGAAGAAGGAGAAGGAGGAGGAUAAGGAGAAGGAUAAGAAGGAGAAGGAGCUACUCCUUCUCCUUCUUCUUCCUCCUUCUUCCUCCUUCACCUUCUCCUUCUUCUUUUCUUCUUCUUCUCCUCUUCAUUCUCCUUCUCCUCCUCCUCCUUCUUUUACUUCUUCUUCUCUUUCUCUUCUUCUACAUAGCUUAGACUCAUCCAAGAAAGGCUAAAUUGGCUAAUUAUCCUACGAAAUGACAUAAUUAGCUUAGUUAGCUCCAAAAUGACCUAUUUAAUAAAAAAUGACCUACAGUUAGCUAAGUUCUCUCCUAAAUGACAUAAUAAGGCUUAUGUAGCUGCAAGAUGACCUAUUCCCCCUAACUUAGGUAUUAAAUGGCCUAUAAUUAGCCUAGCUAGAUCCAAAAUGUCUUAAUAAGCAUAGUUUGCUCCGGAAUGACCUAUUUUACCCAAGUUAGCUCCGAAACGGCCUAUAGUUACCUAGGGUUCCACCUAAAUGACAUAAUUAGCUUAGUUAGCUCCUAAAUGGUCUAUACUUAGCUAAUUUCUCUCUGAAAUAACCUAUAUAUACACUUCUUAAUCUAGUAUUUUUCUUCUAACUUUCUUAUUUGUCAUUUUGCAGAUUACCUUCACUUCACGGGAAGCUUGGAUUAUGUUGAUGGAAUGCUUGAAGAUGAUUUCUUGUACCAUGGCUUGUAUUGAAACUAUUGUAGUAUAUGGAUAUAUAUGAAACUUUGUAUGCAUGUGGAUGAAACUGGUGUAAUAUAUGGUUUGGUACGGAUGCAACUUGCAUAAUAUGUAUGCACUAUGGAUGAGAGUUAUUUUAAUAUGGUUAUGAGUACGGAAAGAAAUUUAUUUAUGUCAAAUAUAUAUAUAUCGUGAUUAUUGUUAAAAAUGUUGGAUAUAAUAAAAAAUAAAUUAUAAUGGGGCAGGUUCCCCUCUUUGCCGUCUGCCCCCACAUGGCAAAGGGGGGUUGGCAGACGGCAAAGGGGGGAAUCUGCCCCCUUUGUUUCCCCUCUUUGUCGUCUGCCCCCACAUGGCAAAGGGGGGUGGGCAGAUGGCAAAGGGGGGAAUCUGCCCCCUCUGUUUCCCCUCUUUGCCGUCUUCCCCCACAUGGCAAAGGGGGGUGGGCAGACGGCAAAGGGGUGAAUCAGCCCCCCUCUCUCCCCUCUUUGCCGUCUGCCCCCACAUUUCAAAGGGGGGGGCGGCAGACAACAAAGAGAAGACGCCUGUCGUUAACACUUAACGGGGCCGUUGCAGUAUAUGUCGUCCCAGUUAAUUUGCCGUCUGCCCCCUCAUGGCAAAGAUUCUUUGCCAUCCGCUUUUCAAAAGCAGACGACAAAGAACCUCUUCACCGUCUAGUUUGCCGUCUGCUGACCGACGGCAAAGCCUUUGUCGUUCGUGGUUGCCCCCUUUGCCGUCUGCCAUGGCAGACGGCAAAUUUCUGAAUUUCAGUAGUGAAUAGCAAUAAAACGACACGAUCAAGAUGCUACGUUCAUAUUUUGGGUCUUGUCCAUCACAUGAUUCUCCUAAUGAUGUGAUCCCGUUAUCAAGUGACAACACUUGCCUAUGGCGAGGAAACCUUGACCAUAUUUGAUCAACGAACUAGUCAACUAGAGGCUCACUAGGGACAGUGUCUUGUCUAUGUAUCCACACAUGUAUUUGAGUUUCCAAUCAAUACAAUUCUAGCAUGGAUAAUAAACGAUUAUUAUGAACAAGGAAAUAUAAUAAUAACUAAUUUAUUAUUGCAUCUAGGGCAUAUUUCCAACAACAAAUGCCGAACUCCCAAGCAUCUAGCGGAUUUAUAUCUCAAAUCCACUGGGAAAGGCAAACAAGUUCAUGGAAAAGAAAAAGCUCACUUCAACACUUUACAACAAGAAGAGAACCUUGAAGCUAGCACUUCUCAAAGUGCUCCUUAGGAAAGAAGGUAGAAGGAUGAAGAUCUUCUUGAUGUCGAAAACAUGAUGGUGGAAUACACCCAAGACGCAUACGGAGAUCUCAUAUAAUCUCCACAUCACUCAUUUGAUGUUAUCAGCUAUUUUAUUGUAAUAAUGGAUGUUAUAAUUUGUAUAACUCUAAGUAGAAUAAAGUCCUACGGACCAAUCAUAUUAUGUAAUUCAGACAUAAUGUCAUAUUUAUAUUUGUAACUGUAAUAUGAAUAAUUUGAAUGUAUUUAUAUGUGAGUAAUAUGAAUAAAAUUUCAUCCUAAAAUAUUCUCUUACUCUAUAUAGAUUUUACGGGAAGAUAAUCCAAUGGAAGAAGAAUUAUGUUUGGUGGACAGUUGUACCACUAACACAAUAUUAAGGAAAAUAAAAUAUUUCCAAACUCUAACUAAGAGACAAGGAAAUAUUAUGACCAUUGCCGGUCGCGAUGCGUUAAUUAUUGGUUUAGGAUGAGCCACACUCGUUCUGCCUAUGGGUACUACCAUUAUAAUUGAGGAUGCACUCUUGUAUCCUGAAUCUACACGUACCCUUCUAAGUUUCAAAGACAUUCGAUCAAAUAAUUUUCAUCUGGAAACUAUCUCUGAAAAUAAUACUGAACAUUUGCUUUUAGCAAAGAGCAAUGGGUCUGAGAAACAAAUUCUUGAGAAAUUCCCUUCACUUACAUCUGGAUUAUAUUACAGUUAUAUAAAACCUGUACCACAUGUUGCGUACAAAAUAAUUUUUCAAGACCUUGAUAAAUUCAAAACUUGGCAUGAUCGCCUAGGUCAUCUGGCAUAGGGAUGAUGAGAAAAAUUAUUGACAAUUCUAUUGGUCACAGUCUUCCAAGUAAGAGAUUCCCAAAAUCAUAAGAUUUUGUAUGCACCGCAUGUGCAACUCGAAAAUUAAUUAUAAAACCAUCUUAUCUUAAAGUUAAAAAUGAGUCGUUAAAUUUUCUUAAACGCAUUUAAGGAGAUAUAUGUGGUCCAAUUCAACCACUAUCAAGACCCUUUAGGUAUUUCAUGAUACUCAUAGAUGCAUCUACUAGAUGGUCACAUGUGUGUCUCUUAUCCACACGUAAUCAUGCCUUUGCCAAGUUAAUUGCUCAGAUUAUCAAAUUAAGAGAAAACCAUCCCGGAAAUAAGAUAAAAAACAAUUCGAAUGGAUAAUACCGCUGAAUUUUCUUCACGUGCAUUCAAUGACUAUUGCAUGGCUAUGGGCAUUAAUUUAGAACAUUUUGUACCUUAUGUUCAUACUCAAAAUGGAUUGGCUGAAUCUCUCAUCAAAAGAGUAAAAUUAAUUGCUCGACCAUUAUUACAGAAUUGUAAUGUGCCAACGUCUUGUUGGGCACAUGCGGUAUUACACGCUGCAGAUCUCAUACAAAUCAGACCAACUGCAUAUCACACAACCUCCCUGCUACAACUAGUUCGUGGCACUCAACCAAGUAUUUCCCAUGUGCGGAAAUUCGGUUGCACAGUAUACAUACCGAUAUCACCACUGAAAGGACGUGGAUGUCUCCUAGAGGGGGGGUGAAUAGGCGCUUUAAAAUAAUUACGGUUUAGACUUGAACAAAUGCGUAAUAAAACUAACGUUUAAUUUGUCAAGCACAAAACCUAAAAAAACUAGGCUCAUCUAUGUGCACCAACAACUUAUGCUAAGCAAGGUAAACAACUAAGUGAUAGCAAGAUAUAUGACAAUAAACAAUAUGGCUAUCACAAAGUAAAGUGCAUAAGUAAAGGGUUCGGAUAAGAGAUAACCGAGGCACGCGGAGACGAUGAUGUAUCCCGAAGUUCACACCCUUGCGGAUGCUAAUCUCCGUUGGAGCGGUGUGGAGGCAGAAUGCUCCCCAAGAUGCCACUAAGGCCACCGUAAUCUCCUCACGCCCUCGCACAAUGCAAGAUGUCAUCAUUCCACUAAGGGACCCUUGAGGGCGGUCACCGAACCCGUACAAAUGGCAAACCUUGGGGGCGGUCACUGGUACCCGUACAAAUUGCUCGGGGGAAUCUCCACAACCUAAUUGGAGACCCCGACGCUUGCCCGGAGCUUUACACCCCAAUGAUUGAGCUCCGAGACACCACCAAGCUUCUAGGACGCCAAAGCAUCCACGAAAAACAAUAUCUAGGGUACUAAGUACCAAAGGUAAUAAGCUUCUCAAACUUCACUUCCACGUAUCACCGUGGAGAACUCAAACCAAUGAAACUAAUGCAAUGGCAAGAACACACGAAGUGGACAAGUCCCUCACACUCAAAUCCCUCCACAACAACAAAAGCUAUGGAGAAAUAUAAGAGGAAGAACAAGGAGCUCGCAAAGAACUCCAAGAUCUAGAUCCAAGGGGUUCCCCUCACAUAGAGGAGAAAGUGAUUGGUGGAGAUGUGGAUCUAGAUCUCCUCUCUCUUUUCGCUCAAGAACAAGCAAGAAUCAUUGGAGGGAUUGAGAGUAAGCAAGCUCUAAGAAGGUCAACAAUGGGGGUAGAACAUGAGCUCAACUGAUGGAUGGAACCAAGGGGGAAGAAGACCCCCUUUAUAUAGUGGGGGAAGGAAUCAGGCCGUUACCCCCACUUACAGCCCGAGCCCAGCGGUACUACCGCUCGCUGCAGCGGUACUACCGCUGAGCCCAUGGUAGCGCAAAGAUACUACCGGGCCAACCACCGCCAAGAAAGUCUUUGCAAAAGGUCCGACGUAGUACAGCGCAAGGAUGACGGUACUAAAGUCCUGGAGCGGUACUACCGCAGACCAGGGGCGGUACUACUGCUGGGACAGCGGUACUACCACCAGCUCUAGCGGUACUAUUGCUAGGUCUAGCGGUAGUACCGCCAGCACUAGCGGUACUACCGCUAGGGCCAACGGUACUACCGCUAGGUCCAGCGGUACUACCGCUCGCCACUCAAACAGCCAUAACUUUUGCAUACGAGCUCCGAAUCCAGCAAACCCAAGCUUGUUGGAUUCAGGACGACAAGAGCUAUCUUAAGACCAUGCAGAUAUGAAAAUGCCAAUGAUAUAGAUAUGUGAGACCUCUAUGAAUGAAGAACCGGCAAAAACUCCAACAUCGAAAAUAUCAUAGUAGAUGCAUAUGGACUCCGUUUUCGAUGAACUCGAGCUUGUCAUGAAGAUGACCAUAAGCUCUAAAACUCAAAAAGAGAAACACCAAAUAAGAACCAAGAAGUAUGAUGCAAGGAUGCAAAUGGUUUGAGAUCUCAACAAACGAUACGAUCAAGCUACUCACUUGAGAGCCCCCCCUUUGACAGUACAUCAAUCUAUCCUAAAACAGAAAACUUAUCAAGGGCAAACCUAUACCUUGCACCUCGACCUCUUGAGCUAGAUGAUGAUGAUCUUGGCUUCCUCAAGAUGGACCACCUUUCUUGAUUGUGUUGGCUUGAUGAAGACUAGUUGAUUUCUCCCCCAUACUCACUAUGGGUGAGCCACUCUUCAGCAUAUCUUCACAAGUCCUCGCUUCAAGAAUGAUAUAUUUGUGAUGAUCCACUUGAACUUGCACACCGCAAUCUUGAUGACAAUCACCACUUGACGUCAUCCUUCAUGGGCUGUAUGAGAUCUUCCUUUUGACGCAAGCCCAUGGAAACACACCUAACUCCCACAUAGAACUCUCAUGAAGACCAUGGGUUAGUACACAAACACGUAAUGGACAAUGCUUACCAUACCAUGGGAUCACUUGAUCCCUCUCGGUACAUCUUGUACGUUGUGUGUGUUGAUCAUCUUGAUUUUCUCUUUGUCUGAGAUCUUGAUCAACAUUGUGUCUCUAUGACCAUUCUUUGGAUAAUACCUUGAAUACCAUCUUGGUCAUCAUAUAAACUCCUUGAACCCAAUAGAUGGACAUCAUCAAGAAGUGCCUAUGGACAAAUCCUAUAAAUAUAUCUUAAGGCAACCAUUAGUCCAUAGGAAUUGUCAUCAAUUACCAAAACCACAUAUGGAGAUAUAUGCUCUAACAACCACCCCAGCGUACAUCAAUGGGCCCCCCACAGAAAACUUGGGAUCUAUGUGGGUUAUGAUUCUCCGUCAAUUAUAAAAUAUCUUGAACCUCUUACAGGGGACCUGUUUACUGCUCGAUACGCUGAUUCUAUUUUUGAUGAGGACCAUUUCUCGGCAUUAGGGGGAGAAUCAAACCACAAAGAAUGCCAGGAAAUAGAUCGGAAUGUAACAUGCAUCCAUUUCUUAGAUCCACAUACUAAAGAAUCUGAAACUGAAGUUCAGAGGAUUAUAGAUUUGCAACACAUUGCAAAUAACCUGCCAGAUGCAUUUACUGACCAUAAAGGUGUCACUAAAUCACAUAUUCCCGCUGUUAAUGCACCAGAACGAGUGGAGGUACGAACUAAAACCACUUAAACCCCAAAUGAGAGUAAGAGGGGGAGAAAUCUGGUUAGUCGGAAUAUAGCUUCUCAAAAGCCUCCGCGGAAACAGAGGAAAUCAAAUCCUCUACCAGUAAAUGCAAUUCAACCUCUAGUUGAAGGACACCAAUCAGAUGCUCAACAUCUAGAACCCAGCAUAAAUGCGCAUACAAAUAUAAUAGCUGGGACAUUGGAACACCAUGACUCUAUUGUUAUGGGAAAUCACAUAGAGUCUGAAGGUAUAAAAGAAAUUUCCAUAAACUAUAUUGAAUCAGGAGAAUCAUAUAACAGAAAGACUACAAUUGUCGACAUAUAUUUUGCCUCUAAAAUUGCUGAAACCCUUCAACUGGAUCCAGAACCAAAGACCCUCAAGGAGUGACUCAAGCGCCCUGAUUGGCCUAAAUGGAAGGAAGCAAUUGAGGCAGAAUUGCGCUCGCUCAACAAAAGAGAAGCAUUUUCCUCAGUAAUACCUACUCCUCAAAAUUUCUUCCCUAUGGGAGGAAAAUGGGUUUUUGUUCGAAAAAAGGAAUGAAAACAUUGAGGUGGUGAGAUACAAAGCGAGGCUUAUAGCACAAGGGUUUACGCAGAGACCUGGGAUCGAUUACGAUGAUACAUACUCUCCUGUCAUGAGUGGAACAACGUUUCGAUACUUAAUAUCUAUGGCAGUACAACUGAAUUUAUCUAUGCAGUUAAUGGACGUAGUGACAGCAUACUUAUAUGGGUCACUCAAAUCGGACAUAUAUAUGAAAGUCCAUGAAGGACUUAAAAUGCCGAAUCCAAAAGCAAAUCGCAACACAUAUUGUGUAAAACUACAAAAGUCACUCUAUGGCUUAAGACAGUCGGGUAGAAUGUGGUAUAACCGAUUGAGUGAGUUCCUUAUUCAAAAAGGUUACUCAAAUAAUGAUGAUUGCCCUUGUGUGUUUAUAAAGAAGUCUUUAAAUGGAUUUUGCAUCAUCUCAGUGUACGUUGAUGAUCUCAGUAUCAUUGGAAGUAGAUUUGAUAUAGAAGAAGCACACAAUCAUUUAAUGACGGAAUUUGAGAUGAAAGAUUUGGGAAAGACCAAAUUUUUCUCUGGCAUACAACCUGAGCAUCUUCCAUCAGGAAUUUUAGUCUACCAACCUGCUUAUAUUCAAAAGGUUUUGGAAAAAUUCAACAUGGAUAAAUCAUAUCCAACCAAAACACUCAUGGUCAUCAGAUCCCUUGAUAUGAAUAAAGAUCCUUUUAGACCUCGGGAUGAUGACGAAGAGAUAUUAGGACCUGAGUUCCCGUAUCUCAGUGCCAUUGGUGCGCUAAUGUACCUUGCAAAUUGCACCAGGCCUGAUAAUGCAUUUGCGGUAAAUUUACUAGCUAGACAUAGCGCUGCUCCAAACAAAACGUCAUUGGAGGGGAGUAAAGAAUAUCUUUAGAUAUUUACAUGGCACAAAAGACCUUGGCUUAUUCUAUCAGAAGAACCAAUAUAUGACUAUGAUAGGAUAUACUGACGCUGGCUAUCUAUCUGAUCCUCACAAUGCCAGGUCACAGACAGGUUUCGUAUUCUUAUAUGGUGGAACUGCUUUUUCAUGGAAGUCACAAAAACAGACUCUCGUGGCAACUUCCACUAAUCAUUCUGAAAUAAUUGCAUUAUUUGAAGCAUCAAAGGAAGUUGUAUGGCUUCACAGGAUGAUUAACCACAUUCAAACUUCAUGUGGUGUUGGUCCAUUAGGAUCACCAACCAUUAUCUAUGAACAUAAUGCAGCUUGCAUUGCUCAGAUGCAAAUGGGUUAUAUAAAAAGUAAUAUCAAAAAACACAUUUCUCCUGAGUUGUUCUUUCCUCAUUCAUUACUGGAAGAUGGAGAAAUUGAUAUUUUGCAAACCAAAUCAUGUGACAAUCUAGCAGAUUUGUUCACAAAGUCUUUACCAAAUUCAACAUUCCAGAAAUGUAUUCAUGGGAUUGGUAUGAGACGUUUUCGGGAUUUGCAAAUUUCAAGGGGAGAAAACUCCUAGAAUUACGACCCAUUAGUUAUCAUCAGAUAAUAAUUAUUGUACUCUUUUCCUUAUGAGUUUUUACACCAGUUUUCUCAUAAAAAGGUUUUUGAUGAGGCAAUAUAAAUUAUACCAUAUCGUUUUCUCCUUAUACUUUUCCCACGGGGUUUUAAAAGGAGUUUUCAAUGGUGUAUCUAUUACUUCUCAUAUUUUUCCCACUGGGUUUUUGGGGAGGUUCUUAAAUUGAUCAAAUGAUUCUCAAGCUGGAUGAUGAUUAUACAAGAAGCACUAGAUGAUGAAAUAUACACGAAGCGCUAGAAGAUGCGUGAUCCAAGGGGGAAUGUUAGGAAUAGAAUUAGAGUAUUUGUUAAUUUACUAAUUAACAAAUGCUAAUUAUUGGUGGCGCUGAUAUGAGUUAGUUCGGAAACUCGAUGAAUGAUGUGUCAAUGUGUCAUUAUAGGUGUUCAUACGAGGGGACUCGAGUAUAUGUGCUUUGCGGUUUCUGAAAAAUACGGUUACAUAUCAGCCGAUGCAACAUGCAUGCAGUCACAUGCGCGUGGCUUGAUAUGCAUCUAUCUAUAUUUACUUGCAUCGACCACGCUGCGGCCUGAAUCUAGGCUACCAUGUGUCCUUGUCCCGCCCCCCAGCAAGACCAGAAAAGAAAACGCAUCCUUGAUAGUACGAGAUAUUUAGCAGGCGAUCCAGAUGAUUGACGUACGCGACGGAUCAGAGGAAUGGUGUCCAAUUUCAGGUGUAUUGUCAAUUUGUCAUAGACCCUGAUCCUGAUUAAGCAUGGUCCGUGCAUGGGAAAAGGGACCUCCUCCUAGUCCUGGACGAUGCACAUGCGAGCUCUAGAAAAGAUUUUCUAGUACGUAUCCUUGACGAGUAGCACCGCUGGGUUUUGACCGGGCUGUAACUCCAAAUUUAUUGCACCGUUUUGGUAGAGAUAGCUUGACUUGCUGGUGCAAGAACCGGCAGGACGACGAUGGGUAGGCCCCGACGGACCUCACAUGCCACAGUGCUUUCUACCCUGCUCUCGAUCCUUGAAUUCGGCGUGCCUCGGCCACGUAAGGUUCGCUGGUGGAGGCGCGUAAAUGCGGUCUAGCGCUGCAUGCAUGGAAAGUUCCAGCGUCGUAUCGAUCCACAUGACGAUGAUCAGAACCACGUACACCUAGUACAGGUCUGGCAUAGCGUUGUGGCGUUAUAAUGCAUGUGGCGUGGCGUGGGGUAGCUAGGCUAGUGGACCGAUCGACCGUGUUAGUUGUCGGCCAAGUCUAUCUUUAUUAAUAAAGCACAUAUUGCUUCUGUGGUACGUCAUUAAAAUUGCCUUUAAAAUUGUCUAAUAUUACCCACUAAUGUCACCUAUAAGUUAUAAAAAUACGGUUUUCACGAAUCCUCGCAUGGGCCGGCCCACGCAUAGGGACCAGUUGUACUACGCUCUGCUCGUUGGAAAAGAAACAGCACGCCCAUUUGGGCCAGCCCAUGGGCGGAUGACUGUUUAUUUUUAAUUAUUAUUUAUCUGUUCCUUUUUCUUCUAAUUCAAAUAAAUAAAAAAAUCAAAAUUCGAAAAACAAUAUUUACAUAAAUGUUUGAUAAAACAUAAAAUGUUUGUGAAUUCAAAAAUUGUUCAGGAUUUUUCUAAAAAUGUUUCAAUAUUAAAAAAAAUCGUAAUUUUGGAGAAAACAUUCAUGAAUCAAAAAAAGUCCACCAUUUUGAGCAAUUUCAUUAAUGUAAUUAAAAUAAUGUUUGAUAUUCAAAAAAUGAAUCAUUCGCCAAUUCACAAGAAAAUACUUGAAAGCAGUUCGUAAUAUAAAAUAUUGUUUGGAAUUUUAAAAACAUGUUUAUAGAUAGUAAAAAAUGUUGUCAAUUCUAAAAAUGUUCCCAAAUUUAUAAAAAUGUUCACGAAUGAUCGAAUGUAUGCAGUUCAACAGUAAUGCUUCUGAGUCUUUCAGAUUAUGUACCUGGGUGAACUUUGAAGAAUUAAUUGUCAGGGUGGAUCGGAAUAUUAUAGUAUAUUUAAAAAAAAUGAAAUUCAGAAUAAUUCUUUGAGUUACUAAGUUUUUUGAUAACCACGAUAUUUUUAAAAAAAUGUAAACAUUGUUUCAACUUGUGAAUUGUGAAUAAAAUUAAAAGAAGAAAUAUUUUCUUGCAUUUGUGAACAAAUUUUCGAAAUCAUGCGAUGAGAUAUGAACAUAAUGUAAUCAUCGCCAUUGAAGAUGGUGGGGUUUUCUCCCGUUGCAACGCACGGGCCCUUUUACUAGUCAUAAUAAAGUUAUGAACGAGCAAUUACGGUCGUGCACUGGCCACUGCUGACGGGAAACCAUAUUUAACGCCACAUGCAUCGAUUAAAGGUAAAUUUUACUAAUCGGCAUUAGCAGCGCUACGUCAUGAUCCGGCCCAUUUAGAGAUAUGAAAUUAUAUGAACUUUUUUUCAAUUUAUAAGGACCAACACACCCUACAUGGGCCGAUCCACGGAAAGGAGCAUGGCGUAGCUAGUUGGCCACCAUUAUGGCGAUGCUUAAUGUGUUUGAAUGUGUUUGGUGAGGGGCCUCAGUGGCAGAGGACGGGCAAAAAUUGAGGUAGGGCGCCCUUUGGUCACUCGCCACCGACAACGCCACUGUGCCGAAGCGUCGCCUUGCACGCAAUCUCCACCAACAAAAUUAAGGUAGGGCGGCCGCCAUGCCUUGCCGUACCGGGUCCUCCGCCACCGAGGGGCCUCUACCGAGUCACACAAACGUAGCUUGUUUAGAAUGACUAUACCUUGCCAUGCAAUCUCCAACUUUAUUUUGUGACCUAUGAAGUUUCUACGGAACAAAAACCCUAUCAAUCAUUAGAGCUUUAAUUUCAGCCACUAACUAAGCAUACACCGGACGAUCUCAUUAUAAUGUGAAAAUACAAGAUAAGGCAGCUGAAGAUUCUGACUGAACAAACACUGAAAGCUCUGUAUGCUGUGUAGCAAGCGUCAUACCAAUGAACAACGCGUGUAUCUCAAUCUCUAGAGCUUCACUGCAAUUAAAUAUAUAUCGAUAAGCUGCAAAGACGACCGAGCAGUCAGGAUGGCCAAUGGUGUGAUCUAGUUCUUGAAACAAAAAAGGCUCAUGUCAAUCUAAGUUGCUGCUUUACUUUUCAUUUAUGAUUUUUUUUCUCUAGGCAGUUAUUGUAAUUGGUUAUUUCGUUUUGGUUUAUUUAUGCUGGUCCGACUCUCACUACGAAGGGUUUUUUUCAUUCAUAUAUUGUGUUGGACCAAGGUUAAGGACGAUAUUUGUUCUAAGAGGAGGGUGGAUUUAUCAGGUGUUUGGUUUUGGAUCAAACUCUGUAGCAACCGGCGGUCGUUUAACAUAGAAAUUUAAUUCGCGUUGAAAUCAUAGAAUUGCAGAUAUAAAGCUCACAUGGAUCGGCUCAUGAAGCUCUCGCUCACCCAGUUUGGCUCCAUGCUUCGCUCGCUCGCUUAGCUUUUCUUUCAACUCACUCUACUGCUAGCUCAGAACAAAGACUAUCAAUUUUUUUAAGAAGUUUACUUAUUUUUAAAAUUCCUGAACUUUUAUUUUUACACGUUUUAAAAAAUAAUUUAAUAAAUAUUCACGAAUUUGAGAAAAUUUAAACAUUCAAAAAAGUCGCAAAUUUAGAAAAUACUUCUAACAUUUAAAAAAGCACAACUCAAUAGAUCUGUUAUAGGAAGCGAACUAAAAAAUCAAGGCCUCAACCGAAUGCAGCCCAUGUCCGGCCUGUUCACUAGCCCUCAGAUAUUCAGCCCAUCACUCUGCCGGUCUCCUCGAAGCUGCGGGUGCCCGGAAAUGGCAACCGAAAGCCAUUGACGAGAUCUCAUCCCCUUCGUGUCAUGUCACUCGUGCCCAACUCCUCCCCAUCACCACUCCCCUCGGCCAGCCAGAUGGCUGGCACUACUCGCCGGCAGAGCAAGCCGCCGCCGCCGUCUCACGGUGCAAAGCGGUUAGCACUCCGCCUGACCACCCCCCUCGCGUCGCUGGCCCUCCUGCUAUGCGCGGCCGCCGGCGUCUUCCUCUACUCCAAAACCUCCCCGGCGUCCCAAAUCGGCAGCCUCUCAAAGGAAUCCAGUACGGCAUCGCCGGCGCCCUCGUCCCCGACGGUGGGGCACAUCGAGGGCGCGCGCGCCAUCUGGGAGCUCCCCGCGGCGCCGGCCAGGGGGGUCCUCUUCGUAGCCCACGGCUGCCACUGCCGCCCGGAGAACUUCUGGCCGCCGUCCCAGCACUGCCCCGGCUGCGUUGGGCUGCCGGAGGACGUCGCCAUCACGGCCCGCGCGCUACGGAGGCGGUUCGCGGUGCUGGCAGUGGCGAGCGCCGGGGACUGCUGGUCGCUGGGGAAGGAGGUGGGUGCGGCCAAGCGGGCGAUCCAAUCUUGGACCGCCAAGAACGGCCUUGGAGACCUUCCAGUGGUCGCCCUCGGCGCGUCGUCCGGUGGGUACUUCGUCUCCCGGCUUGCGGCCAAGAUGAGCCUCACCGCCGUCGUGAUGAUGAUCUCUGAGGGCGCGUUCGACCUGGCGGGAGCGCCGCCGGGCUAUCCGCCGUCGAUGUUCCUCCACAUGCCGAAGGACCGUAAGAGGGCCGCGCUGGUGGGAAGGAAUGUGAAGAUGCUGAGGAGCAAUGGCGUUGAGGUGAUGGAGCUUCAGAGCCUGGAGCUUCCUCUGACGCCGACGCUUCUGUCAGAUAGGAUAGCAGGGCUUGAUCAUGGGUUGUCUGAAAGGAUUUGGAAGGUUUUCAGUGAGGAAGGAUUCGUUGAUGAGAGGGGGUACAUGAGGAAGGAUGGCCGGACAACUCCAUGGAAGGAUGCAGUGGUGAAGAGCGGGUUCUGGGAGGAGGUAUCCCAGUGGGCUGAUCACAUCCAGGAGGAGCUGAAUCUUGCUUAUGGGUACCAUGAGAUGACAAGCUUGCAAACUGAUGAGAUGUUCAAUUGGAUUGAGGAGCACCUCAGCUGAGUUUUUUUGUUGCUGCUUGAUCAAUUGUUCGUCAUUGUCUAGCAUAUGGGCUUACGACGAAAUGGUGCCUGUAGUUACGUGGCAGAAGAAGAAACUGAUGGUGGUCGUUGAAAUUGGAGAGGAAGCUGUGGAGUGUAGCUCUGGGAAUUCAUCUAACGUGAGUCGACACUGAACGAGGGAACAUACAGGCAUAAUGUUAAGUAACAAACUGACUUGAUGUGAGUAUGUAUGUUUCCUUUAUUUGGCUGUUGUGCAGAUGGAGGGGCAAGCUUAUUAACAUGGAUAGUUUAGUCGGUUUUUCUCUGAUCUAUAAGCAGGCUAUGUCUUUAUCUACAUGAAUGUUGUGUUCUUAAUUAGCCAACAUUGCGUGAAUGUUGUGUUCUUAAUUAGCCAACAUUGCGUGAAUGUUGUUGUUUGUUUCGUUGAACCAUUGCACUCUGAAGCUGAAUCGUUGUUUUAGUUGGGUUGAUGAUGAGCCUGGCCAUGGUUCAGUUACUGGCUAGUGGGUGUAGUAAAAGUUCUUGGUCAGGAGACCUAAGCUCGAUAUCUUUAAGUGAGCACAAAAUCUAAUAUUUUUACCUUUCAGACUUGAUGUUUACCCUCUGACGUUACGCGCAUUUACUAUUACCUCCAAGUAGACUUGCAUUGGUCACCUAUUCCGUUCUCCGUCACUCAUUUUGCUACAACUAAGACAAGAUAUAUGCAACCUUUGGAAUCUUCUCUGGUUUUGUUAAUUGUGACUUUGUGAGUGAGGAUAUAGCCCAAAUGUUAAUAAUAAUGUUUUGUUAAUUUGUUGAUUAAGCUUCAUUUGAGCUGGUUGUGGUAUGUUGAGACUUAUGGACAAUUAAUUUUGGGGUAUUCUGUUUUUAUCGCUUGUGAUUGCAAUGCCGUGGUUUUUGAGCCAACCGAAAUCAUCACGUUUUUUUCCGCCACCAAGAGUGCUUUUGGUCACAAUCCAGUUGGGGGUUUGUUUGAUGACUUAAAAGCAGAGUUUUGAUCAUCACCAAGAGUGGUUCUUUGCUGAAGGCCUAAGUGGUAACCAGAAGAAUGAGAACACUGUAGCUUCAAAUGAGGUGGAGGCGUGGAGCUCAACUCCCUCGUCGUUCUCUGCCUGUGCUUCAUUUGGACAGAGCGCAACAAACAAGUUUCUGAUAAUUUCCGCUACUAUCACGGUUCUGUUCGCAUCUAAAAGAAGCUUCAGUUCGACCUGUGGAAAUCGGCAAGGUCGACUGACCCAGAGUUAUUGAGGGCGAGCUCAAAUGAGCUCGGUUGAACAGUAAACAUUGACAAAAGUUUUAAGUGCUUGUAAAAUUUUGUGAGAAAAUCACAUUCCUACAAGACGUGGCAAAGAAAAAACAAAAUUAAUGUUCUGAAAAUGCUACUUUCAAAAGAAUUUUGGAGCACUAAAUUUGUUUUUUUAUCAUGCCUUAUCGGAAUGUGAUUUCAUGACGAAUUUUUGCAAGCACUUAAAACUUGUGUCAAUGUUUAUCACAAAAAAAUUCAGAUUUUUUUCUCCAUUUUACUGUUCAUCCAAGCUCAUUUGAGCUUGGGGGGAGAAGCACACUUUCCAUCGCUUCUUAGGGCUAGUUCUUUUCGUGACUUUUUUGAGCUUUUAGAAUAAGCUACCCCCUACCCAGCUUAUUUUAGAAACCCAACCAAAAAUAUUUUUUAGAUUACUAGUCAAGUCUUAAUUAGUAGACUUUAAAAAAAUUGAUUGGGCUUCUAGACUAAACUGGGUAGGGGUAGCUUAUUUCAGCUUAUUCUAGAAUCCAGCAAAAGAACUGGCCCUUAUAUACUUACUCAAGAUGAUUAUCCUCUAUGUUUAGUUCCUGAUCUAUCUGGAUUAACUUGCGCUCUAGUGCAAUGCUUAUUGGUACAAAAGGAUUGCAAAUUGAUAAUAAUCGAGUGACAUUACUUCGUCGGUCCGAACCAAGAAUCAAUUGGAAGUGUUUUGAAAUGUAUAUUGUUCUCUCUUUGAUUAGGGAUUACUAUAUGAAACGCAGGGCCCAUCCAAGAGCGGUGUUGUAGAGACCGGGCUCCAGUGAGCCCGGUAUACCCCAAAAAAAUGUAUAUACUUAAUUUUUUUUUAAAAUAUCAAUUUUUUUUGUACAAAUACAUAUACCUGAUAGUCAAGUGUGUAAAAAGUUUCAUCAGGUAAUUCGGCUGUCUGCGUGCUACACAAAAAAGAUAAAUAUCUGGCCCAAACACAACAAAGUUAAAGUCCAUUUUAAUCUGUGUAUUUGUCUUUUUUGUAUAUGCUACAUAAGAGUAUAAAUGCUAGUGGAAAUUUAUACGCAUGUAUUACGAAGACAUAUAUGUGUAUUUACUUUUUUUAGUUUUUUUUUCAUUGUGUGGAAACUGUAUUUUGGUAAAAAAAAAAAGGCCUCACUCAAGCCCGGAAGCUGCUAUGCUUUAUCGGGGCCCAUCCAUCCUAUACAGUCACAACCAAUGCAAUAGUCUAUGUUUCCAGAAAACCAACUCGGAUUUGGAAAGUGUGCUUCUUCUCCCGUUGAGCUCGAUCCAUUUUUUUGGUGGGUUCCAAGAAAAGACGAAAGAUCUUGCACCUCAGUUCAACCAAAAAAAAUAAAAAUAUAAAGUAGUCUCAUUAAUCUCUUCAUGCUCAUUUCAUCGGACUGACUCUGCCUGAUUACAAAAUAUAUGGUAGUACAUAACUUCUAUCGCAUAAUAACAACCACAUGAUUGUGAAUUAAAAAAAUGAGUUGAAGCCAUAAUGCAAGUUCCAAGCUAAAGGUGGAGGUUAACAAACCUUGUGCACGAAAACUUCAUGACUAACAUCGACACGGUCAAGCCGGUUUCGAUAGGAGAGCGGCAACAAUGAAGCAUCGAUGACUCAUUCUGACAGCGAUAAUGAUUACUUGCUGGUCUAAAGGCCUUGAUAUAACUUUUAUUAUGUUUUAUGGUUCUUUAUAAUUCCGAUGAACUUUUACAACAAAUAUGAUUUUUUCAAAGAAAAAAAGAAAACCUCGUCUCGGAUAGGAAUGAUAUGGUUCCAUUCUAAACCCAACAAGAAACUAUAGUCAAACUCUUCUCUCCGGAAAAGAAACAAGCAAACUAUUUGGCGAUGUGUGCAUGAUAUUUACAAGUAGGAUAUACCGUUUCUAUGUUUCAAAAUGUUGAUUUUCAAAAUUAAAUUAUGGUGUUUGAAUAUCAUUGAAUUAUGUAUCAAAUUUGUUUGUGUUUGAAUUGUUGUGGUGUGAAUCAUGGAGUUUACGUGGCAAUAUAAAAUAAAAAGAAAUAGUGGUUGUUAAUGAGAGUCAUUAGGGCAUCUCCAAGGGCGAGGCCUGUUUUCCCACAUAUCUCUCGCCGAUAUGUGUGAACAUAGAAACACCCUCCUAACCGGCUCCCGCAAACCCGGACCAAAUUUCUGUAUUGUCCGGACUCCUCCAAACCCAACCAUGUGAGGGAGAAAACAUUGUUCCCCCAACAUGUCCGGCUGUCCGCCACGUCUACUUGACAUCCAGGGCUCAUACCAAACCCAAAAAGAACCUCAUCUAGUCCUUAAUCUCUCUCCACUCCAACAUCUCUUCUCCUCUCUAUCCCAAACCCUAGCUCGAAUCGCCACAAACCCGCUUGAUCUAUUGUCAUCACUAUUCAAGAAUUCAUGCAAUUAAUCUGUUAAUCGGCAAGUUAACCGCUACUCAUUGGGUGGCCGAAUCGAAUAACACAUAUUCAUCGUGUUAACUUGUCAGCCUGAUUGAAUGGUAUGUCAGACCGAUUAAUCGGCUGUGAGGCCAACUAAUCGAUGUUGGCCCGUUAACUCCUCGGAAAACAAAACCUGAUUAUUUGGCCCAUAACCUCUCUCAGUCCCUCCUGCUCCUAAAGAGCUAGGGUUUAGCCCUUCACCCGCCCGCUCCCGUUGCUCUCAUCCCCUCUCGAACUAGAUAGCAGCUGGCCAGGGUCUCGUUGGCGCACCGGCGCUUCCCCACCUCCCCUAUGUGUCACUGUUUCAUCUUCUCCAUCUGCAUGUUGGUACUUACUAUGAUAGCCUGGCUUACUAGGGAUGAUAGACUACUCAUAUCAAUAAAGAAUUCCUUCUUUUCCGGAAGCCCAUUCGAACAGAACUCUCAGGUUAAGCGUGCUCGGCUUGGAGUAGUUCUAGGAUGGGUGACCGACCGGGAAGUUGGUCCCGGGUGCGCAUGAGUGAGGACAAAGUGCGCAGAAAAGAUUAGUAUUGAUAUGUGGGGCCAGUCUAGAUCCUGCCAGGAGUAACGACCGUCGGCGGGUGUGUCCGGGGCGUUACAAGUUUGCUAUCAGAGCCAACCCUCGCGGUUACAGGAUGUUUGCGGACAGGUGUACGGUCAUGUUGUUCAUGACGUUUGUGACCCGUCGUGGCACACGACAUGGUACAUGUACUAGACUGGAUGCACAGACGUUUGUACCAAGAGGGAACGCUCUUGUGGCCCGACGAGGACGUCGGUUCCUCUGAGUGGUGGUGUAUGUGAUAGCCUGGCUUAUUAGGGAUGAUAGACUACUCAUAUCAAUAAGGAAUUCCUUCUUUUCCGGGAGCCCAUUCAAACAGAACUCUCAGGAAUUGUAUACAUGUGGUGGCGUCAUCGUCGUGUGGUCGCCAUCUCUUGGAAUUGCAUCCUAGGCGGAAAUAAGAAAAAAAAUGUUGUUGUAUACAUGUUUGUUGAUGAGUUUUUUAUGUCCACAUGGAUGAUUGUUAUGGAUGAUUUAUGUUGUAUACAUGUUUGUGAUCUAUUGAGAAAAUAAAAUGGUGUCCUUUGAUUCAUAUUUGUAAUGUAGUUUUGUUCUCCAUGCAAAUUUGCUUCUAUUGAGUUGAAAAUUACAAUGAAUAAUGGUCGAGCAACUAAUCUAGUUAAUAGGCCAAUUCGGCAAUUAAUCGCUACUCCAAAGCCAAGCAAGCGGCUCCUAGUUAACGAUUUCCUCAACGUUGGUUGCCAUGUCUGGGUCGAAGUUGGAUGGCGUCGACUCGGAGCUCCCACAGGUGGAGGACAACAAGGAUCUCAUCCUUUGCCGAUUAGACCAUGACACCGGAGGACUCUGGUGCGGGUCAAGCAAUCGGGCAUCGUUGUUGCCACCCCAUCAUGAGUCAUGCAGCGACAGACCGUCCCCACCACCCCGGCGUUGGUUUGUCACCCAAGGUGCUUCGUCUCCACUGCGACACGUGUCAAUCGGUAGUGUCAUCCCUGGCACCAUGGCGCUGGCGGAGGGAUGGUGGCUCAUCCAGACCCUUUGUAGUUCUCAUGUGGUGCUCCUCCAAGGACGAGCAAGUGGUUUACGGCAGCCUCCAUCGCUCGUUGACCAGAAAAGAUCAUGUUCGUGUCAUUGUCGUCUGAAGAACACCAAGGCACACCAAGAAUAGAUAUAGGCUUCUUAACAAGAACUAAAAAAGGCCACCCGAGCGAAAGACCUCGAUGAAGAACAAGUGCGCUGCUACUUGUAAACUGCGUUGGGAUUUUCCUCGAAAAGGAGAGGAGAUGCAUGAUACGUCUCCAACAUAUCUACUUUUUCAAACACUUUUGCUCUGGGGUUCGGCCUCUAACUUGCAUGAUUUGAGUGAAACUAACCCGGACUAACGUUGUUUUCAGCACAACUAUCUUGGUGUUAUUUUUGUGCACAAAUAAAAGUUUUCAGAAUCGAACAAAACUUUUUGUGAGUUAUUUUUGGCAUUUAUAAGGAUUUAUGGAGCGAAUACCUGCCAGAGAAAUGCUGCCACGGGGCCACAAGCCAACAAGGGGCCCCUUGUCUAUACUGUGAUGGCUUCUGGGGUCCAUGUGGCUCCUCCGACCCUAAUUCCAGUCCUAUAAAAUCAAUCUUCGGAAAGAAAAAUCGAAGAGAAAUUUUCAUCACGUUUUACGAGGCGGAGCCACCGCCACCUCCUGUUCUCCCUCGGGAGGUUGAUCUCGAUCCCGUUUGGGUCUCUGAAAAGGGGGAUUCAUUGUCUUGUCAUCACCAACCCUUCUUCAUCAACACCGCCAUGAUGCUCACCACUCGGAGUGAGUAAUUCCUUUGUUGGUUUGCUGGACAGCGAUGGGAUUGGAUGAGAUUGAUCAUGUAAUCAAGUUAAGUUUGAUUGGGCUUGAUCCCUAGUGUCCACUAUGUUCUGAGAUUUAUGUUACUAUGACUUUGCUAUGCUUAAUGCUUGUCACUGGGGUCGAGUUCCAUGAUUUCAGAUCUAAACCUACUAUGUGUUCAUGAAUAUGAGAGUGAUUUGGAUCCUAUAUUGCAAGUUGUAGUUACCUAUUACGUGUCUUGAUCCGCAUACCCCAAGGUGACAAUAAUUGGGAUUCUUUCUGAUGAUUGCCGUAGUUUGAGGAGUUCAUGUAUUCACCAUGUGUUAAUUAUUUGUUUUGGUUCUCUAUUAAAAAGAGUCCUUAAUAUUCCUUAGUUUCAAAUAGGACCCCGCUGCCACGGGAGGGUAGGACAAAAGAUGUCAUGCAAGUUUUUUAUCGCAAGCACGUAUGACUAUCUAUGAAAUACAUUCCUACAUUAUGUUGAUGAAUUGGAGCUAGUUCUGUGUCACCCUAGUGUGUAACCGUUACAUGUUCAAUGUCAUCUAAAUCAUUUUCCAUCAUUGAUCCACGUGCAUACGCUUUACAUAUACUAAAUAUUGCUAAGUUACUACUGUUGAUGCUACUAUCAAACCUGCUACUCAGUUGCUACUGUUACUACCGUUACUACUGUUACAAAAAUUGUUGCUAUCACUGUUACUCUUACUGCUAUCAUUUGCUUUGCUACGAAAUCCUUGCUGCAGAGAGUUAUCCAAGGUGUGGUUAAAUUGACAACUCUGUUACGAACAAUAAAUAUUAUUUGGUUCCCAUUGUGUCGAAUCAAUAAAUUAGGGUGAAAUACUACCCGUGAAGACUGUCGUGAUCCCCUAUACUUGUGGGUUAUCAAUGCAGCACAAUAGAGAUAAGUAUUUUCCUCAGUGAAAAUCAAGGUUACUGAACCAAUAGAAGGACCAUGAAAAUGCCCGUCUUCAACACCUACACAACAAAAUAGCAAACACUUGCAUCCAAGGCAAGCAAGAGGGUUGGCAAGCCCCUUGAACUCUUUACUUGCAAGAGAUAAGUAGUGAUAGAUAGAUAAUAUAAAUAUAAAAUAAAAUAACAGUAGUAACAGAGAAACAAUAUUUUAGUAUUUUUAUAAUAUGAUUUGUGAAGACCCGGGGCCACUCUCGAAGAAAACACACGGUGGGUAAACAAAUUAUUGUUGGGUAAUUGAUAGAAAAGUGAAUAGUUAUGUAAUAUUUAUUCAAGGCAAUGGUCAAACAUAUAGGGAUCACGUCCAUAAGCAAGUCGGCCGACUUCUUCCUGCAUCUACUACUAUUACUCUACUCAUCGACCGUUAUCCACCAUGCAUCUAGAGUAUUAAAUGAAAACAGAGUAAUGCUUGGGGCAAAGUGACAUGAUAUAGACAAAGUAAACUCGACUAAUAUGAAUAAACCCCAUCAUUUUAUCCUUAAUGUCAGCAAUACUAUACAUGUCAUGUCCCCUUCUAUCACCGAGAUUGAGAACCGCAAGAUUGAACCCAUCACAACACACCACUCUUGUUGAAGAUAAAUCAAUCUAGUUGGCUAAACCAGACCGAUAGAUCGGAGAGAAAUACGAAGCUAUCAUAAUUAUGCAUACGAGAAUUCAGAGAUGACUCAAAUACUUUUCAUUAAUAAUUUGAACAUAAGCCAACAAUUCAUCGGAUCCCAACAAACACACUGCAAAGAGGAUUAGAUAUGAUAGAUCACCACAGAAAUCACGUUGAUCUUUGCACUGAAGAACAUGGAGAGAGAUAGAGAUAGCCAUCUAGGUACUAACUACAGACCCAUAGGUUUGCUAUAGACUACUCACACAUCACCAUGGGAGCAACAAUGUUGAUGUAGAGGCCCUCCGUGAUUGAUCCCCCCUCCGACAGGGUACCAUAAGAGGGCUCCAGAUGGGAUCACGGCGGAACAAAGACUUGCGGCGGCGGAAAAAAUAUUUUGGGUGGCUCUCUCAUGUUUUCCCAUCAUAUUAAGAUGCGUUGGGAGGAGGUCUGAUACGUCUCCAAUGUAUCUAUAAUUUUUAUUGUUCUAUGUUGUUAUGUUAUCAUUCUUGGAUGUUUUAUAAUCAUUUUAUAGUAAUUUUAUAUCAUUCGUUGGGACUAAUCUAUUGACGUAGUGCCUAGUGCCAGUUGCUAUUUUUUGAUGUCUUUUUCCUUCACAGAAAAUCCAUAUCAGAUGAGAUCCAAUUGCUAUAAAACUUUACGAAGAUUAUUUUGGACCAGAAGGAAACUUGGGGGCUAAUAAUGAGCAGCAGCAAAGGACCAGGGGGGCGCUAGACACCACGGCACGCAAGAGCCCCUAGCGCGGCCUGAUGUCUAGUGGGGCCCUCAGGAAUCUUUCUCCACCGCGUGUGAGCUCUAUAAAUACCCCCAUAUUCAGAAAACCCUAGAGGAGUGGACAAAAAUCGUUUCAGCCACCUCAAGUUCUGGACCCACAAAAACCAAUCUAGAGCCCAUUCCGGAGAGGAACACGAUCACGGAGGGGUUCACGAUCCCCAUUGGUGCUCCUUCGAUGAUGCGCGAGUAGUUCAUAUCAGACCCUCGGGUCAGUAGACAGUAGCUAGAUGGCUUUCUCUCUCGUUUUGUUUCUCAAAACAAUGGUCUCUUGGAGAUCCAUAUGAUGUAACUAUUUUUGUAUGGUGUGUUUGUUGGGAUUCGAUGAAUUGUGAGUUUAUGAUUAGAUGUAACAAAAAAAUAUUCGUGCUUGAUUAUUAUAGCCUAGUAUUUAUUCUCUGAUAUUUGGUUUUUGUCUGGCAAACUUGAUCUUUUAUAUUGCAAUAGGAAGAGGUGCUUUGUGAUGGUUUUGAUCUUGCGGUGCUCAAUCUCAGUGACAGAAAGAGACAUGACACACAUGUAUCAUUGCUAUCAAGGAUCAAACGAUGGGGUCUAUUCCUACAUGAAUAUAUCUUGUCUACAUCAUGCCAUCGUUCUUAAGGCAUUACUCCGUUUCUCCAUGAACUCAAUACACUAGAUGCAUUCUGGAUAGCGGUCGAUGUGUGGAGUAAUAGAAGUAGAUGGAGGCAGAAGUCAGUCUACUUAUCUUGGACGUGAUGCCUAUAUACAUGAGCAUUGUUUUGAAUAUCGUUGAUACGUAUUCGUCGUAUCUACUUUUCCGAACUCUUUUGCCCUUGUUUUGGACUCUAAUUUGCAUGAUUUGAAUGGAACUAACCCGGACUAACGUUGUUUUCAGCAGAAUUGCCAUGGUGUUGUUUUUGCGCAGAAAUAAAAGUUCUCGGAAUGACCUGUCGGAGUAGUUGCUACGAGUAGGCACUUGACGGAGUAGUUGCUACGAGUUUAGUUGGGCCUUGUUCAGUUUUCCUUUGGGUCACUGAAAAUUUCAGAAAAGGAAGAUGUUCAGGAGAAACUGUCAUGGUGGUUCCUCAAGCAAGAGAGGUCCCCGUCUUGCGAUUCGGGAGCCCGAUCCUUACCAACCGAGGAACGCACAGGUACAACCAUGUGAAUGGACUUCUGAUGAAUUCAUGAUUGAGGCAGGUUUCAAAGACGAGUUUGAUACACUAGUUCACAACGUCGGACUCGAAGAAUCCAUCUCCGAUAAAUGUGAACAGUAUGUUGCUCUCACUGCCUCUUUUGUUCGUAGAUUCAAAUUUUCAGUUGGUCGUGAUACAUCUGUACUGUUUGAUCUCUAUGACAAAUCGUAUACCAUGGAUUUAGAGGAUUUCAAUAGAAUUUGCAAGAUACCUAUUUGGGGUAGUCUCAAUGAUCCUCCUAAAUCUUCGGUUAGAGAUUUUUUCUCUGCUAUAACUGUCGGAGAAACUAGAGAUAUUACGCAGGCUACCAUGGGGAGUAUUCAUUUUCCUGCCUUGCAUUAUUUUGCGCUCUUCAUAGGCAGAUGCAUUAAUAGCAAGAUUGAGUAUUGUCACCUCUGCGCACCCGACCUUAGUAUUCUUAAGAGCGCAGUAACGGGUGAUAGAAGUUUCAACAUGGGAGCUCUAAUAGCAAGGAUGCUGGAUAAUAAUGCUAAUGAAGGGGAUUUCUUUGGUGGGAUCUAUGUCACUGAUGUUUGUCGUGUAUCCCUUGCAAUGGCGCCAGAAAUAGUUGUGUCGAGGGCACCAAGAAUCCUUCAGCUACGGCUACGCCUUGAGGGACUUCCUAGGCAAGUAUGCAAAGGAUUUCCCCCAUGGCCUUGGAGCCUUGCGUUGGUGUUCCCUCGAAGCGGAAAGGGUGAUGUAGCACAGCGAUAGUAAGUAUUUCCCUCAGUUUGAGAACCAAGGUAUCAAUCCGGCGGAAGAGUAUCUCAAGAUCCUGCACAAACACAAAAGCUUGCACCCAACGCUAUGAAGGGGUUGUCAAUCCCUUAUAGAUUGUUUGCCAAGUGAGAACUGAAAGCAACAAAGUAACAAAGCAAAGUAAAAGCAGAGAUGUAAACGAUGGAUGUGAAUAGACCCGGGGGCCAUAGUGUUUACUAGUGGCUUCUCUCAUGAAAGCAAGUAGAUGGUGGGUGAACAAAUUACUGUCGAGCAAUUGAUAGAACUGUGUAGAGUCGUGACGAUAUCUAUGCAAUGAUUAUUUCUAUAGGCAUCACGUCCGAAACAAGUAGACCGAUACUUUCUGCAUCUACUACUAUUACUCCCCACGUCGACCGCUAUCCAACAUGCAUCUAGUGUAUUAAGUCCAUAAGAACAGAGUAACGCCUUAAGCAAGAUGACAUGAUGUAGAGGGAUAAUCUCAAACCAAUGAAAAAAACCCCAUCUUUUUACCCUUGAUGGCAACUGCUUGAUGUGUGCCUUGCUGCCCCUACUGUCACUGGGAAAGGUCACCACAUGGCAGAACCCAAAACCAAGCACUUCUCCCAUUGCAAGAAUCAUAGAUCUAGUUGGCCAAACAAAACCCAAGACUCGGAGAGACUUACAAGGAUAUCAAAUCAUGCAUAUAAGAAAUCAGCAAAGACUCAAAUAUAUAUCAUAGAUAAUCUGAUCACAAGUCCAUAAUUCAUCGGAUCUCGACAAACACACCGCCAAAGAAGAUUACAUCGGAUAGAUCUCCAUGAAGAUCAUGGAGAACUUUGUAUUGAAGAUCCAAGAGAGAGAAGAAGCCAUCUAGCUACUAACUACGGACCCGUAGGUCUGAAGUGAACUACUCACGAGUCAUUGGAGGGGCGAUGAUGAUGAUGAAGAAGCCCUCCAACUCCAAAGUCCCCUCCGGCAGGGUGCCGGGAAGGGUCUACAGAUGAGAUCUCGCGGAAACGGAAGCUUGCGGCGGCAAAAAAGUAUUUUCGAGGCUCCCCUGAUUUUUUACGGAAUAUUUGGGAAUUUAUAGGCCAAAGACCUAGGUCAGGGGGCGGGCAGGGAGGCCACAAGCCUGCCCACCGCCGCCUCCACCUGGUGGCGGAGUGGGGGCUUGUGGGAUCCCUGGAGCCCACCUGGCUUGGCCCAAAAUCCCGUGGACUUCUUCCGUUCGGGAAAAAAAUCAUUUCGGGGUUUUUCUUCCGUUUGGACUCCGUUCCAAAAUCAGAUCUGAACAGAGUCAAAAACACGGAAAAAACAGGAACCGACACUUGGCACUGAAUUAAUAAGUUAGUCCCAAAAAGAUAUAAAAAGGUACAUAAAACAUACAAAGAAGACAAGAUAACAGCGUGAAACCAUAAAAAAUUAUAGAUACGUUUGAGACGUAUCAAGCAUCCCCAAGCUUAACUUGUGCUCGUCCUCGAGUAGGGAAGUGAUAAGAAUGAAUUUUUGAUGCUUUCAUGCUACCUAGCAUAGGUGUCCUUUGUAAUUCCUCUUAUGUGACGUGAAUGUUCAGAUCCAUUAGAUUCAAAACAAUAGUUUGCUAUUGACGUGGAAACAAUAAUAAUUCAAGCAAACUAGCAAAGUAAUCAUGAACUUUCAAAAUAACAAGGCCAAAAGAAAGUUAUCCCUACAAAAGCAUAUAGUCUGGCUAUGCUCUAUCAUCAUUGCAGAACGAAUUUAAAUCAUGCACAACCCCGGUAUUGGCCAAGUAAUUGUUUCACACCUUUACUUUCUCAAACAUUUUCAACUCUCAGGCAAUACAUGAGCGUGAGCCAUGGUUAUAGCACUAUAGAUGGUGUGGAGUGUGGUGGAGGUUGCAAGAAAAAAAAAGGAGAAGAUAGUCACAUUAACUAGGCAUAUCAAUGAGCUGUGGAGAUGCUCAUCAAUAGAUAUCAAUGUGAAUGAGUAGGGAUUGCCAUACAAAUGAUGCACUAGAGCUACAAGCAUGUGAAAGCUCUUAAAGAAAAAUAGUGGGUGUGCCUCCAACUUGCUUGCUCACGAAGACCUAAGGCAAAUUUGAGGAAGCCUAUCAUUGGAAUAUACAAGCCAAGUUAUAUAAUGAAAAUUUCCCACUAGCUAUAUGGUGGUGACAAAACGAGAGACUCUCAAUCAUGAAGAUCAUGGUGCUCAAUAUGCACAAGUGUGGGAAAAGUGGUAGCAUUGUCCCUUCUCUCUUUUUCUCUCAUAUUUUUUUUAAUUUUUGUGGGCUCUUUGGCCUCUUUUUUUAUGGGCUUCUUUGGCCUCUCUUUUUUAUGGGCUUCUUUGGCCUCUUUUAUUUCCUCACAUGGAACAAUGCUCCAGUAAUGAUGAUCAUCACACUUUCAACUCAAAACUUAGAGCAACUAUGACUCUGUAUGGAAUGCCUUCGGUAGUGUACCGUGGCAAUGAUCUAGCAUGGCAUAGACAUCAAUGGAAACAUCAUGCUAGCUAUCUUACGAUCGUGCAAAGGCAAUGUAGACGUGGUGGCACAUAUGAUGGUGGUAGUUGCAUGGCAAUAUAUCUCGGAAUGACUUUGAAAAAGCCAUAGUAGGUAGGUAUGGUGGCUGUUUUGAGGGAGGCUAAUGGUGGGUUUUGUGCACCGGCGGAAGUUGUGCGGCACUAAGAAGAUAGUGAUGGUGGAAGGUGAAAGUGCAUCUAAACCAUGGACUCAACAUUAGUCAUGAAGAACUCAUAUACUUGUUGCAAAAGUUUUAUUAGUAAUCGAAUCAAAGCAUUCAACGCAUACUCCUAGGGGAAGGGUUGGUAGGUAUAAACCAUCGCGCGAUCCCGACCACCACGCAAAGGAUGACAAUCAAAAGACUAAUCAUGCUCAGACUUCAUCACAUAGCGGUUCACCAUACGUGCAUGCUACGAGAAUCACUAACUUCAACACAAGUAUUUCUAGAUCCACAACACCUUACUAGCAUGACUUCAAUAUUACCAUAACCACAACUCAAAACUAAUUGAGAUGAUCAAACUUCUCUAAAUAUUCAAUGCACAUGAAGGUGGAAGUUUUCGUAUCCCUUUGGAUAACUACCCCUUUUGAGACUACUUUCAAAGCAUAGAUCAACUACCAAGCCAUGCACCGCUGUGCUCUAAAAGAUAUAAGUGAAGCACAUAGAGCAAAAGUAUCUAGCUCAAAAGAUAUAAGUGAAGCACAUGUGAGCUGAAUUGUCUACCAAAAGAUAUAAGUGAAGCUCGACAAAAUCACGGUGUGUGCAUGUCUCUCUCUCUAGGUGUGCAUCAAGGAUGAUUGUGACACAACACAAAUAAAAGACUCCUACGACACAAGACGCUCCAACCAAAAGCACAUAACAUGUGGUGAAUAAAAAUAUAGCCCCAAGUAACGUUACCGAUGGAUUGAAGACGAGAGAGGGGAUGCCUUCCCGGGGCAUCCCCAUGCUUAGGAUUUUACAGAAUCCUUGAAUCUCUUGGGGUGCCUUGGGCAUCCCCAAGCUUGAGCUCUUGCCACUCUUUAUCUUUUUGUCCAUAAGAACUUCACCCAAAACUUGAAAACUUCACAACACGAAACUUAAAUAGAAACUCGUGAUAACAUUAGUACAAGAAAGCAAACCACCACUUCCUUAGGUACUGUAGCAAACUUAAAUUCUACUUGUGCUGAUGUUGUGUUACUGUACUUUCAAUCUUCCAUGGCUAAUACCCCCGAUACUAUCCAUAGUUUCAUCAAAAUAAGCAACCAACACAACAAAAACAGAAUCUGUUAACAACAUACCAGUCUGUAGCAAUGUGUAUGUUUCGUAUACCUCUGAUACUUCAAAAAUUCUGAAAAAUUACGAGAGUCUGAAGAAUUUGCGUAGCAAUCAGCAUAAAAAAAUCAACUCAAAAGCUCUUACAGACAAAAAAUGACAAUUCUUUUCGUGAGCAGAAAGUUUCUGUCUUUUCCAGCGUGACCAAACGAUCAUCCUCUAGACUAAUCAUAACGGUUUUGCUUGCAACAAACGCAAAAAGAAACACAAAAAACACAAUCGUAACAGAAUUAUGAAAGUGUGGAAAACACAAAACAGAAAGAAAAAGGAUAGAUUCGUUGGGUUGCCUCCCAACAAGCGCUUUUGUUUAACGCCCUUAGCUAGGCAUUGAUUGAUGCUCUCACAAAAGACAAGAAUUGAAGCACAACGAGAGCAUCCUAAAGCAUGUGAAAAUCACAUCUAAGUCUAACAUACUUCCUAUGCAUAGGCAUUUUAUAGGCAAAUAGAUUGUCAAGACAACCAAUAGUUGCCAUAUGCAAGGAAGAAGAAAGAGACAAUAGCAAUCUCAACAUAACGAGAGGUAAUUGGGUAUCAUGAAAGUUUCUACCACAAUAUUUUCCUCUCUCAUAGCAAUUACAUGUGGGGUCAUAUUCGAAUUCAACAAUGUAACUAUCACAUAGGAUAUUCUUUUCAUGAUCCACAUGCAUGCAAAGUUGACGCUCUUCAAAAAUAGUGGGAUUAUCAUCAAAUAAAGUCAUGACUUCUCCAAUCCCACUUUCAGUAUUGUUGCAAAUAUCAUAUUCAUCAUGAGGUUUGAACAAAUUUUCAAGAUCAUAAGAAACAUCAUCACCCCAAUCAUAAUUAUUGCCACAAGUAGUGGACAAAGCAAAACUAGCAUCCCCAAGCUUAGGGUUUUGCAUAUUUUUAGCAUGAUUGUCACUAAUAGGAUUUAUAGUGAAAUCAUUGCAAUCAUGCUUUUCAUCCAAGGAGCCCUCGUGAAUCACUUCAUGAAUUUCUUUCUCACAAUUUUCAGAUUCACGCAUCUUACGCAAAACUCCAAAGAAAUAGUCAAUUGCCCUCAAUUGACUAGCAAUUUGUUCCACACGAGUGGGUCUCUUAAAGAGACUAGCAAGUGGAUGAGGAUCCAUAUCACUAGAUUUUCAGCAAGCGAAGAUGCAAGCAUAUUCACGGCACAUGGCACACAAGUGAACAGAAAGCAAGCGAGAGAAAAGGGCGAACGAAAAAGGCAAAGGAGAAAACGGCGAAGGCGAAAGGCGAAUGAAAACGGCAAAUGUGAAGUGGGGGAGAGGAAAACGAGAGGCAACUACCAACAAAAGUGAAUGCAAGAGAAGAGUUUGUGAGACCUACUUGGAUAGAUCUUGUUUUCUCCUCCCCGGCAGCGGCGCCAGAAAUACUUCUGAUGGCUGCUGUGUAUCCCUUGCAACGGCGCCAGAAAUAGUUGUGUCGACCGCACCAUGAAUCCUUCAGCCGCGGCUACGCCUUAAGGGACUUCCUAGGCAAGUAUGCAAAGGAUUUCCCCCGUGGCCUUGGAGCCUUGCGUUGGUGUUCCCUCGAAGCGGAAAGGGUGAUGUAGCACAACGACGGUAAGUAUUUCUUGAGAACCAAGGUAUCAAUCCGACGGAAGAGUAUCUCAAGAUCCUGCACAAACACAAAAAUCUUGCACCCAACGCUAUGAAGGGGUUGUCAAUCCCUUAUAGAUUGUUUGCCAAGUGAGAACUGAAAGCAACAAAGUAACAAAGCAAAGUAAAAGCAGAGUUGUAAACGAUGGAUGUGAAUAGACCCGGGGGCCGUAGUGUUUACUAGUGGCUUCUCUCAUGAAAGCAAGUAGACGGAGGGUGAACAAAUUACUGUCGAGCAAUUGAUAGAAUUGUGCAGAGUCGUGACGAUAUCUAUGCAAUGAUUAUUUCUAUAGGCAUCAUGUCCAAAACAAGUAGACCGAUACUUUCUGCAUCUACUACUAUUACUCCACACAUCGACUGCUAUCCAGCAUGCAUCUAGUGUAUUAAGUCCAUAAGAACAAAGUAACGCCUUAAGCAAGAUGACAUGAUGUAGAUGGAUAAUCUCAAACCAAUGAUAAAAACCCCAUCUUUUCACCCUUGAUGGCAACUACUUGAUGGGUGCCUUGCUGCCCCUACUGUCACUGGGAAAGGUCACCACAUGGCAGAACCCAAAACCAAGCACUUCUCCCAUUGCAAGAAUCAUAGAUCUAGUUGGCCAAACAAAACCCAAGACUCGGAGAGACUUACAAGGAUAUCAAAUCAUGCAUAUAAGAAAUCAGCAAAGACUCAAAUAUAUAUCAUAGAUAAUCUGAUCACAAGUCCACAAUUCAUCGGAUCUCGACAAACACACCACCAAAGAAGAUUACAUCGGAUAGAUCUCCAUGAAGAUCAUGGAGAACUUUGUAUUGAAGAUCCAAGAGAGAGAAGAAGCCAUCUAGCGACUAACUACGGACCCGUAGGUCUGAAGUGAACUACUCACGAGGCAUUGGAGGGGCGAUGAUGAUGAUGAAGAAGCCCUCCAACUCCAAAGUCCCCUCCGGCAGGGUGCCGGGAAGGAUCUUGAUACGUCUCCAACGUAUCUACUUUUCCAAACUCUUUUGCCCUUGUUUUGGACUAUAAUUCGCAUGAUUUGAAUGGAACUAACCUAGACUGACGCUGUUUUCAGCAGAAUUGCCUUGGUGUUAUUUUUGUGCAGAAAUCAAAGUUCUCCAAACGUCCUGAAAAUUUACGGGGAGCAGUUUUGGAAAAUAUCAAAAAUAUCUGCGCCAAGUUCCACCUCAGGGGGUGGGCCAGUGGGCCACAAGCUCCUGCUCUUCCACCACCCCCUGGUGGCGGUGGGCAGGCUCGUGGGGCCACAGGCACCUGCCGCCCCCAACUCCAGCUCUAUAAGUUGUCUUUCGUCCCAGAAAAAAUAAAAAGAGAAGUUUUCGUCGCGUUUUCGAUACGGAGGCGCCGCCACCAGCUGUUCUUCAUCUGGAGGGCAGAUCUGGAGUCCGUCUUGGGCUCCGGAGAGGAGAAAUCAUCGCCAUCGUCAUCAUCAACCUUCUUCCCUCUCCAAUUCCAUGAAGCUCUUCGUCGUUCGUGAGUAAUCUAUCCGUAGGCUCGCUGGGCGGUGAUGAGUAGGAUGAGAUCUAUCAUGUAAUCGAGUUAGUUUUGAUGGGGAUUGAUCCCUAGUAUCCACUAUGUUCUGAGAUUUGAUGUUGCUACUACUUUGCCAUGCUUAAUGCUUGUCACUAGGGCCCGAGUACCAUGAUUUCAGAUCUGAAAUUAUUAUGUUGCCACCAAUNNNNNNNNNNNNNNNNNNNNNNNNNNNNNNNNNNNNNNNNNNNNNNNNNNNNNNNNNNNNNNNNNNNNNNNNNNNNNNNNNNNNNNNNNNNNNNNNNNNNNNNNNNNNNNNNNNNNNNNNNNNNNNNNNNNNNNNNNNNNNNNNNNNNNNNNNNNNNNNNNNNNNNNNNNNNNNNNNNNNNNNNNNNNNNNNNNNNNNNNNNNNNNNNNNNNNNNNNNNNNNNNNNNNNNNNNNNNNNNNNNNNNNNNNNNNNNNNNNNNNNNNNNNNNNNNNNNNNNNNNNNNNNNNNNNNNNNNNNNNNNNNNNNNNNNNNNNNNNNNNNNNNNNNNNNNNNNNNNNNNNNNNNNAAGUUCUUUUCCCUAAGCAUGUAUGAGGACACACGGAAUGCAUGCCUACAUCACAUUGACGAACGGGAGCUAGCCACAUAUCUCUCCGUGUUAUAGCUGUUGCAUGAUGAAUAUCAUCCAAACAAAUCACCGACCCAUUGCCUACGAGUUUGUCCUACUGCUGUUACUUGUCUUGCUUUGCUGCUGCUGCUACUAUUGUUGCUACUGCUAUUACUUGUCUUGCUCUGCUGCUACUGUUGCUACUACUGUCGCUUGCUACUGUUGCUACUUGCUACUGCUGUCACUACUGCUGUUUCUUGCCACUUCUAUUGCUCGUUACACUACCGUUACUCGUUACUUUGCUGUUACUACUGUGCUUGCAGAUACUAAUCUUUCAGGUGUGGUUGAAUCCGACAAAUUCAGCUGCUAAUACUCGAGAGUAUCCUCUCACCUCCUUUAGGCGAUCUACAAAUUUAGGUCGAAUACUCUACCCUCGAAAACUGAUGCGAACCCACGCGUUGGUGGGCCAUCAACAACAUUCUUCCAGUUUCAUUGCCGGGGAGUGCCAGCAGCAUUCUUCUGGUGCCGUUGCAGGAGAAGGUUCGUUUUCAUAAGCAUUCGUCUAGCUAGCACUAGAGAUUGCAGGAUCAUCACUUUUCUGGCACUAUUGCUGGGGAAGCGCAGCUGACGUCAGCAUUUUUCUGGCGCCGUUGCCAGGGAGGUAUUGCUAUAUUCUCUUAGUUACUUGGGAUUUAUAUCUGCUGAUCACUAUGAAGAAUCUGAAGGAUCCGAAGACAAAAGUCUUGCCCUCAACUACGAGGGGAGGUAAGGAAUUGCCAUCUAGCUCUGCACUUGAUUCACCUUCAGUUAUGAGUAAGUUUGCGACAUCACCUCCUGCUAGAAAUCUUGAUAUGUCGCAUGUGCUUGAUGAUGCUUGUGAUACUAUGCCUGAUGAUGCUAUGCUUGAUACUAUGCCUGAUGAUGCUAUGCUUGAUACUAUGCCUGAUACUGCUAGAGAUGCUAUGCUUGAUACUGCUUUGCCUGAUGAUGCUAGAGAUACUAUUUUUCCUGAUGAUGCUAUGCUUGAUACUGCUAGAGAUACUCCUUUGCCUGAUGUUCCACUAGGAGUGUUCCUUGAUGUCAUAUUGCUAGAGUUACUGCCAAUGCUCGUGAUGCUUCUGAAAUUGCCGAUGCUAUUGAGAUAGAACCUGCUUUUGCUCCUGCUAGAUCUAGCUCUCCUAGAUAUGAAUUGCAUGAUAUACCUGAGGGUUACGUUAUGGAGGGAGAGAUAGUUGAGGAUUUUCUUGCGUGUAAGGAUGCCUAUGACGCUGAGAAAUUAAUUCUCAAGUGGAAGGAAAAAUCUCGGGAAGUUAGGAUGAAAAAUGAUCCGAAGUUUGCCACUUCGCCUAUCUUUGUCACCGAUAAGGAUUAUGAAUUCUCUGUCGACCCUGAGAUAAUCUCUCUAGUCGAAUCUGAUCCUUUUCAUGGUUAUGAGUCUGAGACGGUCAUAGCCCAUCUUGCCAAACUAUCUCAAAUAGCCAACCUUUUCACUAAUGAGGAGAAGAUCCGCCACUACUAUAUCCUUAAGCUGUUUCCUUUCUCUCUAAAGGAUGACGCUAAAGCCUGGUUCACCUAUCUUGCUCCUCGAUGUGUGUGUAGUCCCUAGGAGAUGGUCUAUUACUUCUGUGAGAAAUAUUUCCCUACCCAUAAGAAGCAAGCUGGCUUGUAGGAAAUAUACAACUUUGCUCAACUCCAAGAAGAGAGUCUUCCACAAGCUUGGGGAGACUCGUCCAGCUACAUAAUGCUUUGCCUGAUCACCCUCUCAAGAAGAACCAGAUACUUGAUAUCCUCUAUAACGGACUUACCGAUGCCUCUAGAGACCACCUAGAUAGUUGUGCCGGUUGUGUUUUUAGGGAACGAACUAUAGAAGAAGCUGAGACUCUACUGAAUAACCUCUUGAUCAACAAUAAUGCUUGGACUAUUCCCAAACCACCUCCUAAGCCAACUCCUAAGAAAAGAGGUAUUCUAUUCCUCAGUCCCGAAGAUAUGCAAGAAGCCAAGAAAUCUAUGCAAGAGAAAGGCAUUAGAUCCGAAGAUGUAAAAAAUCUACCACCUAUCGAAGAGAUCCAUGGUCUCGAUAACCCGAUACAGGUAGUAGAAGUGAAUUCUCGGCGAAGGCUUGACGAGAGUGAUAUUCCUUUUGAUAAACCUGCUAGCCUAUGCUUUGAUGAAUUUGACAACUUUGUUGCCAAACAACAGAGUUUCAAUGAUUAUGUUAGCAGACAUUUGGAACAAAGUGCUCGUAUGCUUAGCCAUUUAAGUGCUUGUGUAGACAGAAAUGUCAAUGCUCUGAAGCUUCUGAGUAAACAUGCCUCUAUGAUUACUACUCAGGUACAACAAGUACUUAAAGCUCAGAAUGACCUGCUCAAUGAAUUGAAUGACAACUCUAUCAGAGUCAUUACUAGAGGAGGCAAAAUGACUCAGGAACCUUUGUAUCCUGAAGGUCAUCCUAAGAGAAUUGAUCAAGAUUCUCAAGGAAUCAAUGCUGAUACACCUAGUCAUCCUAAGGAGAAGAAGAAGGAUGAUAGAAACCUGCAUGCCCGUUCACCAAAUACUAUCACACCUGAAGAACCUAAUGAUAUUUCUGCGUAGGAUGCAGAAACACAAUCAGGUGAUGAACAUGAACCUGGUGACCAUGUGGACAGUGAUGUUCAUAAUAAUGCUCAACCUAGCCAUGAUGAGGAUGUGGAGAUUGAACCUACGGUUAAUACUGAUAAUCCACUACCUAAGAGAUAUGACAAGAAUGACUUCACUGUUAGGAAGCAUGGUAAAGAAAGAGAGCCAUGGGUUCAGAGACCUAUGCCCUUUCCUCCUAAGGCAUCCAAGAAAAAGGAUGAUGAGGAUUUUGAGCACUUCGUUGAGAUGAUAAGACCCGUCUUUCUACAGAUGCGGUUAACUGAUAUGCUCAAGAUGUCUCUGUAUGCCAAGUACAUGAAAGAUAUCGUGACUAAUAAACGGAAGAUACCAGAUCUUGAGAUCUCCACCAUGCUUGCCAACUACACUUUUAAAGGUGGAACUCCUAAGAAACUUGGUGAUCCCGGAGUGCCCACUAUACCUUGCUCCAUUAAAGGAAACUACGUAAGAACUGCCUUAUGUGACCUUGGAGCCGGUGUUAGUGUUAUGCGCUUUCUCUUUAUCAUAGACUUGAGUUGGAUAAGUUGACACCCACUAAAAUUUCUCUGCAAAUGGCCGACAAAUCAACUGCUUUCCCUAUCGGCGUUUGCGAGGAUGUGCCUGUUGUGGUUGCUAAUACCACUAUCUUAACAGACUUUGUUAUCUUGGAUAUUCCCGAGGAUGAUGCCAUGGCUAUUAUCCUCGGAAGACCCUUUUUAAACACUGCAGGGGCUGUUAUAGAUUGCAACAAAGGCAAUGUCACUUUCCAUGCCAACGGUAAUGAGCACACAGUGCACUUUCCGAAGAAACGAGAUCCAAUACAUUGCAUCAAUGCUAUCGAAAAGACUUCAUCGAUUCUCAUUGGGAGCUUUGAAUGCCCUAUUCCUCGUGUCAAGAUGAAGUAUGAUUUUCUUGUUGGGGAGAUUCAUAUCCCCAUUGAGGUGACUUAGUGGCUACUCGAAAAUUCUCCGUUCUCUCUUGCGAUUCGAGAAGGUUUUGUCAUAAGGACUUGAUCAACCCCAUUGACGAAUUUCUUCCGAUGACCAUGAAACGGAUGAAUCAGAGAGUCACAUACCUCUGUUUUGAGUUUUCCUUUUCUGUUGCUUAGAAGAAAAAUGAUGGAAUUAGUUUAGCUUUUCCUGUUUUCUGUUUUAGCGUCCCGGAGAAAAAUACCUCGAAAAUAAAAGUUCUCCGAUGGUCCUGAAAGUUUAGUAUGAUUUUUUCUAGAAUUUUUGAAAAUUUCUGGGCCUGAGAGCUGGCCUGGGGGCCUGACCAGUGGGCCACAAGCCCCCCCACCGCCACCUACCCCCUGGUGGCGGGGUGCAAGCUUGUGGGGCCCACAGGCAUCCCCUCCACUCAUUCCAGCUCCCAGCCUCUUCUUCCACCUCCAGAAAAAAUUGUUUCGCAGCUCAAACCCGUGUUCUUGCCCAUUUGGCUGUGAUUUUCGAUCUCCUUGCUCAAAGCACCAUUCUCCGAACUGUAUUGGGGAAAUUACUCCUUGGUAAGUGACUCCUCCAUUGGUCCAAUUAGUUUUUUCUCUAGUGCUUUAUCCUUCGCGAAUUCUUGCUACCUUGGUGACCCUGUUCUUGAGCUAUAAAUGUUGUUUUUUGCUGGUUCCAAGUAGUUUUAGCACGUGAUAAGGUCUCUAUGCACUAGUAGGAGUAGUUGCUACAAGUUGGGUUAAUCCUUAUUCACUUUUCUUUCGAAGUCUCUAAAAAUUCCAGAAUUUUUCAGAGCUAGAAAAAGGAAGAGAUGAGGAGGUUUUUGAGAGGCUCUUCAAGCCGUAACCACAAGGAGGAUGAGAAGAACCACCCCAAGUACGUAGUCCCUCGAGUCAUAGAAGUUCGAGCGUGUGAGUGGCCAAGUGAUGAAUUUUUGCGCACAGCCGGACUUUAUGAAGACUUUUACUACUUGGUGGAGAACGCAGGUCUUACUGCGUUUGUUGAAGAUAAGUGCCCCCAAUAUCUCCUCCUCACCAAUAUUUUCGUUCAAAGCUUCAACUUUUAUCCGAGGAAGAAUCCUCCCAUGGUAGAGUUCAUGAUAUACGAUGUCCCCCAGUGCAUGACGCUACAGGAUUUUUGCAAUGUAUGCAAAUUACCUUAUGUUGGUGAUAUCCGUGACCCUCGUCCAUGGGACUUGGAUGAUUUCAUUGGUUCUAUUGCUGUUGGAGAGGAGAGAGGAGUGUCUCGCGCUAGAAUUGCUAGCAUACAUUUUCCUGUGCUUCGGUACUUCUCACUAUUUGUGGGAAAAUGUUUGAUUGGGAAAAUGUUUGAUUGGCCGUGGGGAGGCUGGAUCACUUAGUUCUCCAGACCUUGCGGUUUUGCACGAAGGCCUUUAUAACGAUAAGACUUAUAGCUUGGGCGCUAUAGUAGCUCAACGGUUGAACUUGAACCGUUCUAAAGGUGUUGUCUAUGGAGGUAUCUAUGCUACCCAUCUUGCCAGACACUUUGAGAUACCCAUUAGACUGGGAGAGGAAGGAGAGAUGCUUCUCCCUAAGAGAUAUCUGGAUUAUGACAACAUGGUUCGCCAUGAUUUUCUGGAUAGAGAUGCUAGUAGACGGAUGAUUUAUAACCUGGUGUUUAGUCAGGGUACUCGAGAGACUAUUACUUUGCCUGCUCCUUGUUUGUUCGAUCUUCAUGCAGGCAGGUACACUAUUAUGUCCGCGGACAUCUACGCAUAUUGGGGCUUGGCCCAACCACAGGCGCCCGCGCCCGAGCCGCCAGUCGAGUACCAGACGCAAGUUUAUCAGUGGGAGCCAGAGGAGCUCACACAGCAGUGGCAUCCACAGUCUGCUCCAGAGUAUCCCGGAGAUGGUUAUUUCCCACCAUGGGAGUAGACCAAGCUAGGCCAAAACCCUAAGCUUGGGGGAGUACGUGUUCUCACCGACUUUACAUUCAUGCUUAUGCUUUCACUUUGUUAGCCGGUGUUUACACUUUGCCACUGUAUUAUCCAUGCUAGUUUAUUUUUGUUUUCUUGUUUUCUUGUUUUAUGUCCUUUUGAGAAAACCCAAAAAGAUUUUUCUUUCUUCUUUUGCUUGUUGGGAGCUUUCCCGUGUAAAUAGUUUUCUUUUUCUUUGUGUCAAGGUAGAAGAUAUUGGUUACAAUGCUCAGUGGUUCUUACAUGCUUACCUGUUUAGCUUCCAAAGAGCUAUAUUACUUUGUCUUCUACUUUGUGUUUGCCUGCAGAUUCAGCUUAGUCCAAUGCGCUUAUUAUCGUUUUCAUCGUUCAAUCGUGCAAAUGAAAGGCAACAAUGAUGGUAUAUGAUGAAGUGACUGAGACUGAAAAGCUGGUAUGAACUCUAUCUAUUUUGUUUUUGUAAAUAUGACUAGCUUGUCGACCCAAAUUUAGCUUUGUUGUGAGAGAACCAUGUUUGGAAUGACAACUUAGAGAUCAUAGUUUCUGAUGCCAUGCUUAUUUAGCUGAGAGCUUAUAAUGGUUUGUCUUGAUUGCCAACAUAGAUUUUGAGAUGACUGUGAUGUAGUAUGAUAGGAUGGUAUUCUCCUUUGAAUGUUUCAAGUGGCUUGACUUGGCGCAUGUUCAUGCAUGUAGUUGAAACAAAAUCAACAUAGCCUCUAUGAUGUUCGUGUUCAUGGUGAUUUAUAUCCUGUUCAUGCUUGCAUUUAAUGUUAGUCAAACUCAUUGCAUCUUGAUGAGUGUUGUCGCUCUCUAGUUGGUCGCUUCCUAGUCUUUUGCUAGCCUUCACUUGUACUAAGCGGGAAUGCUGCUUGUGCAUCCACUUUUAUGAACCCAUUUUUUUCCAUGAGAGUCCACCAUACCUACCUAUUUGCGGUAUCUACCUGCCGUUCCAAGUAAAUUUGCAUGUGCCAUUCUCUAAACCUUGCAAGAAAUAAAUCUGUUUUGCAUGGCCGAACCACUCAUGUGGUGACAGAGGGCUAUUGGUAUCUUCCAUGCUAGGAGUGUUAUCCUCGACAUGUGUUUAUUCACAGUCCUUCACGAGAAAGGGGCCGGUAUAUGGAUGCCCAGUUCCAUGCUUAAAUUGAAAACAUAACUGUAAAACAAGACUCCCCCCAGAUUGAUGUUAGUAUGGACGGUACCCGAGGAUUCGGCUAGCCGUGGAGUGUGAUUGAUUGGUGGUGGGGGGGGGUUAAAACUUUACUUUUCUAUUUGGGAACCGCCUAUAGCAUGAGUAGCAUGGAAGAUAUUGAGAACUCUUGGUCAUUGCAUUGACAAUGAAAGCAUGCCACCCAAAAUUAUUAUCUUUGUUUUCAAAGCUUGAGCUCUGGCACCUCUGCAAAUCAAUGCUUCCCUCUGUGAUGGGCCUAUCUAUUUAUUUUCCUGUUGAGUCAUCCUCCUCUUAUAUAAGCACCAAUUAGAGAGCACCUCUAUCAUUUUUAUGCUUUGCUUUUGAUUGAUAUUGAGUAUGACUAUGACUGGAUCUUCGUUGCUAUGAAUUACAAUGUUUAGUCAGCCCUUGAUCUUUGAAAGUGCUCUGCAUUUAUGUUUUGUGGUCUCAGAAAGAGCUAGCGAGAUACCACCUAUUCAUAUUGCUUCAUGCUUGUUUUGAUUGAAGUGUUGGUAUUUGAAACUCAUUAUUAUUUGCUCGUUAGCUGAUUAUGCCAUUGAUAUUAGUUUACUGUGAGACCAUUGUGUCAUUUGAUUAUGUGGUUAACUUGUGAUCUUGCUGAAAUUCUGGUUAUGAGUUAGACAUAGUUGCAACAACAAGAUCAAACAGAGUUUGUCAAAGUUUUUCUUUCUCUCUCAGUUUGUGAACUGAGUUGCUUGAGGACAAGCAAGGUUUUAAGCUUGGGGGAGUUGAUACGUCUCCAACGUAUCUACUUUUCCAAACUCUUUUGCCCUUGUUUUGGACUAUAAUUUGCAUGAUUUGAACGGAACUAACCUGGACUGACGUUGUUUUCAGCAGAAUUGCUUGGUGUUAUUUUUGUGCAAAAAUCAAAGUUCUCCAAACGUCCUCAAAAUUUACGGGGAGCGGUUUGGAAAAUAUCAAAAAUAUCUGCGCCAAGUUCCACCUCAGGGGGUGGGCCAGUGGGCCACAAGCCCCUGCUCCGCCACCACCCCCUGGUGGCGGUGGGCAGGCUUGUGGGGCCCACAAGCACCUGCCGCCCCUAACUCCAGCUCUAUAAGUUGUCUUUCGUCACAGAAAAAAUAAAAAGAGAAGUUUUUGUCGCGUUUUCGAUACGGAGGCGCCGCCACCACCUGUUCUUCAUCUGGAGGGCAGAUCUGGAGUCCGUCUUGGGCUCCGGAGAGGAGAAAUCGUCGCCAUCGUCAUCAUCAACCUUCUUCCCUCUCCAAUUCCAUGAAGCUCUUCGUCGUUCGUGAGUAAUCUAUUCGUAGGCUCGCUGGGCGGUGAUGAGUAGGAUGAGAUCUAUCAUGUAAUUGAGUUAGUUUUGAUGGGGAUUGAUCCCUAGUAUCCACUAUGUUUUGAGAUUUGAUGUUGCUACUACUUUGCCAUGCUUAAUGCUUGUCACUAGGGCCCGAGUGCCAUGAUUUCAGAUCUGAAGUUAUUAUGUUGCCACCAAUNNNNNNNNNNNNNNNNNNNNNNNNNNNNNNNNNNNNNNNNNNNNNNNNNNNNNNNNNNNNNNNNNNNNNNNNNNNNNNNNNNNNNNNNNNNNNNNNNNNNNNNNNNNNNNNNNNNNNNNNNNNNNNNNNNNNNNNNNNNNNNNNNNNNNNNNNNNNNNNNNNNNNNNNNNNNNNNNNNNNNNNNNNNNNNNNNNNNNNNNNNNNNNNNNNNNNNNNNNNNNNNNNNNNNNNNNNNNNNNNNNNNNNNNNNNNNNNNNNNNNNNNNNNNNNNNNNNNNNNNNNNNNNNNNNNNNNNNNNNNNNNNNNNNNNNNNNNNNNNNNNNNNNNNNNNNNNNNNNNNNNNNNNNNNNNNNNNNNNAAGUUCUUUUCCCUAAGCACGUAUGACGACACACGGAAUGCAUGCCUACAUCACAUUGACGAACGGGAGCUAGCCACAUAUCUCUCUGUGUUAUAGCUGUUGCAUGAUGAAUAUCAUCCAAACAAAUCACCGACCCAUUGCCUACGAGUUUGUCCUACUGAUGUUACUUGUCUUGCUCUGCUGCAACUGCUACUAUUGUUGCUACUGUUGUUACUUGUCUUGCUCUGCUGCUACUGUUGCUACUACUGUCGCUUGGUAGUGUUGCUACUUGCUACUUCUGUUCCUUGCCACUGCUAUUGCUCGUUACACUGCCGUUACUCGUUACUUUGUUGUUACUGUUGUGCUUGCAGAUACUAAUCUUUCAGGUGUGGUUGAAUCCGACAAAUUCAGUUGCUAAUACUCGAGAGUAUCCUCUCACCUCCUUUAGGCGAUCUACAAAUUUGGGUCGAAUACUCUACCCUCGAGAACUGCUACGAACCCACGCGCUGGUGGGCCAUCAACAACAUUCUUCGAGUUUCAUUGCCGGGGAGUGCUAGCAGCAUUCUUCUGGUGCCGUUGCAGGAGAAGGUUCGUUGUCAAAAGCAUUCAUCUAGCUAACACUAGAGAUUGCAGGAUCAACACUUUUCUGGCACUAUUGCUGGGGAAGCACAGCUAACGUCAGGUCUCCAGAUGAGAUCUCACGGAAACGGAAGCUUGCGGCGGCGGAAAAGUAUUUUCGAUGCUCCCCUGAUUUUUUGCGGAAUAUUUGGGAAUUUAUAGGUCAAAGAUCUAGGACAGGGGGCGGCCAGGGAGGCCACAAGCCUGCCCACCGUCGCCUCCCCCUGGUGGCGGAGUGGGGGCUUGUGGGCUCCCUGGAGCUCACCUGGCUUGGCCCGAAAGCCCCCUGGACUUCUUCCGUUCGGGAAAAAAUCAUUUCGGGGUUUUUCUUCUAUUUGGACUCCGUUCCAAAAUCAGAUCCGAAAAGAGUCAAAAACACGGAAAAAACAGGAACUGGCACUUGGCACUGAAUUAAUAAGUUACUUCCAAAAAUAUAUAAAAAGGUACAUAAAACAUACAAAGAAGGCAAGAUAACAGCGUGAAACCAUCAAAAAUUAUAGAUACGUUUGAGACGUAUCAGUUAACACCUACCAACCCUUCCCCUAGGAGUAUGCAUUUAGCACUUUGUUUCGAUUACUAAUAAAAACUUUUGCAAUAAGUAUGUGAGUUCUUCAUGACUAAUGUGAGUCCAAGGUAUAGAUGCACUUUCACCUUCCACCAUUACUAGCCUCUCUAGUGUCACGCAACUUUCGCUGAUACUCAAAACCACCAUAGAUCUUCCUCAAAACAUCCACCAUACCUACCUAUCAUGGCCUUUUCAUAGCCAUUCCGAGAUAUAUUGCCAUGCAACUCCCACCGUUCCGUCUCAUGACUUGUGCCAUCACUUACAUAUUGCCAUUGCAUGAUCGUAAGAUAGCUAGAGAGAUGUUUCAACAUCAUACGCCAAGCUAGAUCGUUGCACAUCCCGGUACACUACCGGAGGCAUUUCCUAUAGAGUCAUCAUCGUUCUAAGCAUUGAGCUGUGAGUAAAUGAAAGUGUGAUGAUCAUCAUUAUUAGAGCAUUCUCCCAUGUGAGGAAAUAAAAUAAAAAGAGGCCAAAGUUGCCCACACAAAAAAAUAUAUGGAAAGAGGCUAAAGAGCCCAAACAGAGAAAAAGAAAAAGAGAGAAGGGAAAAUGCUACUAUCUUUUUCCACACUUGUACUUCAUAAUAGCACCAUGUUCUUCAUGGUUGAGAGUCUCUUGUUUUGUAACCACCAUAUACUAGUGGGAAUCUUCAUUAUAUAACUUGGCUUGUAUAUUCCAAUGAUGGGUUUCCUCAAAAUUGCCCUAGGUUUUCGUGAGCAAGCAAGUUGGAUGCACACCCACUAGUUCUCCUUUUGAGCUUUCACACACUUAUAACUCUAAGUGCAUCCAUUGCAUGGUAAUCCCUACUCUUUCACAUUGAUAUCUAUUGAUGGGCAUCUCCAUAGCCCUUUGAUACGCCGAGUCAAUGUGACCAUCUCCUCCUUUUUGCCUCACAACCUUCACCACACUCUAUUCCACCUAUAAGUGCUAUAUCCAUGGCUCACGCUCAUAUAUUGCAUGAGAGUUGAAAAAGGUUUGAGAAAGUAAGAGUGCGAAAACAAUUACUUGGCCAAUACCGGGGUUGUGCAUGAUCUAAAUUCGUUGUGUGGGGAUGGUGGAGCAUAGCCAGACUAUAUGAUUUUAUAGGGAUGACUUUCUUUGGCCUUGUUAUUUUGAAGGUUCAUGAUUACCUUGCUAGUUUGCUCGAAGUAUUAUUGUUUUCAUGUCAAUAGCAAACAAUUGUUUUGAAUCUUACGGAUCUGAACAUUCAUGUCACAUGAAAGAAGUUACAAAGGACAAAUAUGCUAGGUAGCAUUCCACAUCAAAAAUUCAUUAUUUAUCACUUCCCUACUCGAGGACGAGCAGGAGUUAACCUUGGGGAUGCUUCAUACGUCUCCAACGUAUCUAUAAUUUUUGUUGGUUCCAUGCUAUUAUCUUGUCAAACUUUGGAUGUUUUGUAUGCCUUUUAUAUCUUUUGGGACUAACUUAUUAACUCAGUGCCAAGUGCCAGUUCCUGUUUUUUCCGUGUUUUUGACCCUUUUCAGAGGAGAAUAUUAAACGGAGUCCAAACGGAAUAAAACCUCUGAAAAGAUUUUUUCCGGAACAGAAGAUACACAGGGAGCUUGAGAACCAAGGCAGAGGGCACGAGGGGAGGCCACAAGCCCCCUAGCCGCGGCCUGGGGGGCGCGCCUAGUAGGAUUGUGGGCCCCCUGUGGCUCCUCUGCCCUACUUCUUCCGCCUAUAAAUCCCCAAAAAAUCUGAAACCACGGGAGGGAGCCACAAAAAUACUUUUCCACCGCCGCAAGCUUCUGUCUCCGCAAGAUCCCAUCUGGGGCACGUUCUGGUGCCCUGCCGAAGGGGCGAUUCAGACACGGAGGGCUUCUUCAUCAACACCAUUGCCUCUCCAAUGAUGCGUGAGUAGUUCACCAUAGACCUUCGGGUCCAUAGCUAGUAGCUAGAUGGUUUCUUCUCUCUCUUAGAUCUUCAAUACAAAGUUCUCCAUGAUCUUCAUGGAGAUCUAUCCCAUGUAAUCUUCUUUUGCGGUGUGUUUGUCGAGAUCCGAUGAAUUGUGGAUUUAUUAUCAGAUUAUCUAUGAAUCUUAUUUGAGUUUCUUCUGAUCUCUUAUAUGCAUGAUUUCAUAUCCUUGUAAUUCUCUUCGAGUUGUGGGUUUUGUUUGGCCAACUUGAUCUAUGAUUCUUGCAAUGGGAGAAGUGCUUGGUUUUGGGUUCAUACCGUGCGGUGACCUCACCCAGUGACAGAAAGGGUAGCGAGGCACGCAUCGUGUUGUUGCCAUCAAGGGUAAAAAGAUGGGUUUUAUAUCUAUUGCAUGAAUUUAUCCCUCUACAUCAUGUCAUCUUGCUUAAGGCGUUACUCUGUUUGUCAUGAACUCAAUACACUAGAUGCAUGCUGGAUAGCGGUCGAUGUGUGGAGUAAUAGUAGUAGAUGCAGAAAGUAUCGGUCUACUUGUCUCGGACGUGAUGCCUAUAUGUAUGAUCAUUGCCUUAGAUAUAGUCAUGACUUUGCUCGGUUCUAUCAAUUGCUCGACAGUAAUUCGUUCACCCACCGUAAUAUUGGCUAUCAUGAGAAAAGCCUCUAGUGAACACUAUGACCCCCGGGUCUACUUCACAUCAUAUUUUCAGCCUUACACUUUUACUUUGUUGCACUUUUCGCCUUCAGAUCUCACCUUACAAUCAAUCGUGAAGGGAUUGACAACCCCUUUGUAGCGUUGGGUGCAAGUUUGCUGUUUUUGCGCAGGUACGGUGGAGACUUGGCUUGAUACUCCUACUGGAUUGAUACCUUGGCUUUCAAACUGAGGUAAAUACUUACUUCUACUGUGCUGCAUCACCCUUUCCUCUUCAAGGUAAAAACCAACGCAAGCUCAAGAGGUAGCAGCGCGCCAGUGUUGGUGAUGAUCUAUUCCUGCAGGGCUCCACCCGAGCUCCAGAGAAAUCCAAUCUAGAGGUGGAACUACGAGGUAUAGGUUUGAGUUGCACGUGGCAAAGUUGUGUCUCAAAAAUCCCUAAACCUCUAGUAUAUAUAGGAGGAGGGAGGGGGCAGCCUUGGCACCACAAGGGAGGCUCCCUUGUGUCGGCCGAACUAGAGGAGGGAGGAGUCCUCCUCCAACUCCACUUGGAUUAGGACUCCUUCCUUAAUUUCCCAGCUCUAUUGAAUUUUGAACUUUUUCCUCAUGGGCUUUCCUUGGAUGACUUUCUCAGCCCAUUAUGCCUUAUUUCACAUCCAAUAAACCCACAUGGACCCUUGAGGCGUGGUGGCGCACCCAGUGGGCCCCAGGAAAUCAUUCGUCACUCCCGGUACACUGCCGACAAUGCCCGAAAACCUUCCGGAAUCCAAAUACCAACUUCCUAUAUAUCUAUCUUUGUUUCUGGACCAUUAUGGAAACCCUUGUGACGUCCGUGAUCUCAUCCAGGACUCCGAACAACCUUCGGUCACCAACACAUACAACUCAACUAUACUAAAAUGUCACCGAACCUUAAGUGUGCAGACCCUGCGGGUUCGAGAACUAUGCAGACAUGACCUGAGACACUCUCCGGUCAAUAACCAAAAGCGGGACCUGGAUGUACAUAUUGACUCCCACAUAUUCUAAGAAGAUCUCUAUCGGUUGAACCUCUAUGUCAAGGAUUCCUAUAAUCCCAUAUACUAUUCCCUUUGUCCUUCGGUAUGUUACUUGCCCGAGAUUCGAUCGUUGGUAUCUCUAUACCUAGUUCAAUCUCGUUACCGACAAGUCUCUUUACUCGUUUCGUAAUACAAGAUCCUGUAACAAACUCUUUAGUCACAUUGCUUGCAAGGCUUAUUGUGAUGUUGUCUUACCGAGUGGGCCCCGAGAUACAUCUCCGUCACACGGAGUGACAAAUCCCACUCUUCAUCCAUGCCAACCCAAGAGACACCUUUGGAGAUACCUGUAGAGCAUCUUUAUAGUCACCCAGUUACAUGGCGAUGUUUGAUAACCCACAAGGUAUUCCUCCGGUGUCCGGGAGUUGCAUGAUCUCAUGGUCAUAGGAACAGAUACAUUGACACGUAGAAAACAGUAACAAUAAACUGACACGAUCAUAUGCUACGCUUAUAGUUUGGGUCUUUUGCAUCACAUAAUUGUCCCAAUGAUGUGGUCCCGUUAUCAAGUGACAACACUUGCCUAUGGCCAGGAAACCUUGACCAUCUUUGAUCAACGAACUAGUCAACUAGAGGCUCACCAGGGACAAUGUGUUGUCUAUGUAUCCACACAUGUAUUUGAGUUUCCAAUCAAUACAAUUCUAGCAUGAAUAAUAAAAGAUUAUUAUGAACAAGGAAAUAUAAUAAUAACUAAUUUAUUAUUGCCUCUAGGGCAUAUUUCCAACAGUCUCCCACUUGCACUAGAGUCAAUAAUCUAGUUCACAUCACUAUGUGAUUGCAAUGAAUCUAACACCCAUAUAGUUCUGGAGUUCGAUCAUGUCUUGCUUGUGAGAGAGGUUUUCGUCAACGGUUCUAAAACUUUCAGAUCCGUGUGUGCUUUUACAAAUCUUUAUGUCAUCUUAUAGAUGCUUCUACUACGUAUAUUUGGAAAUAUUCCAAAUAUCUACUCUACUAUACGAAUCCGUUUUAGUACUCAGAGUUAUUCAGAUUAGUGUCAAAGCUUGCAUCGACGUAACCCUUUACGACGAACAAUUUAACCACCUCCAUAAUCGAGAAAAAUUCCUUAGUCUAUUAGUUACUAAGGAUAACUUUGACCGCUAUUUAGUGAUUCAAUCAUGGAUCACUCUUUGUACCCCCUGACAGACUCAUGACAAGGCACACAUCAGGUGCGGUACAUAACAUGGCAUACUUUAAAGUCUACGGCUAAGGCAUAGGGGACGACCUUCGUCCUUUCUCUUUCUUCUGCCAUGGUCGGGCUUUGAGUCUUACUCAAAUUCACACCUUACAACAUAGCCAAUAACUCCUUCCUUGCUGAUCUAUUUUGAACUCCUUCAAAAACCUGUCAAGGCAUGCAUUUCAUUGAAAGUUCUAUUUAGCAUUUUGAUCUAUCUUUAUAGAUCUUGAUGUUCAAUGUUCAAGUAGCUCUAUCCAGGUCUUCCUUUGAAAAACUCCUUUCAAGCAACCUUUUAUGCUUUACAGAAAUUCUACAUUACUUCCGAUCAACAAUAUGUCAACUACAUAUACUUAUCAGAAAUUCUAUAGUGCUCCCACUCACUUCUUUGGAAAUACAAGUUUCUCAUAAACCUUGUACAAACCCAAAAGCUUUGAUCAUCUCAUCAAAGCGUAUAUUCCAACUCCGAGAUGCUUGCACCAGUCCAUAGAAGGAUCGCUGGAGUUUGCAUACUUGUUAGCAUCCUUAGGAUCGACAAAACCUUGUGGUUGUAUCACAUACAACUUUUCCUCAAGGAAACCGUUGAGGAAACCAUGUUUGACAUCCUAUGUGCAAUAUUUCAUAAAUAAUGCAGCAACUGCUAACACAAUUUCAACAGACUUUUAGCAUCACUACGAUUGAGAAAGUCUCAUCAAAGUCAAUUUUUUGAACUUGUCGGAAACAUCUUUGCGACAAGUCGACCUUUUCUUAAUGGUGACUUUUCACCAUCAUCGUCCGUCUUUAUUUUAAAGAUCCAUCUUUACUUAAUAGUCUUACGACCAUCAAGUAGUUCUUCCAAAGUCUACACUUUGUUUUCACACAUGGAUCCUCUCUCGGAUUUCAUGGCCUCCAGCCAGUUGCCGGAAUCCGGGCCCACCAUCGCUUCUCCACAGCUCGUAGGUUCAUUGGUAUUCAACAACAUGACCUCCAAGACAGGGUUACCGUACCACUUGUAGUAGCACGCGACCUUGUCGACCUACGAGGUUUGUAGUAACUUGAUCCUAAAGCUUAAUGAUUACCAUCAUCAGCUUCCACUUCAAUUGGUGUAGGCGCCACAGGAACAACUUCCUGCACCGUGCUACACACUGGUUGAAGUGACGGUUCAAUAACCUCAUCAAGUACCACCACCCUCCCACUCAAUUAUUUCGAGAGAAACCUUCCCUCGAGAAAGGACCCGUUUCUAGAAACAAACAAUUUGCUUCCGAAUCUGAGAUAGGAGAUGUACCCAACUGUUUUGGAUAUCCUAUGAAGAUGCAUUUAUCCGCUUUGGGUUUGAGCUUAUCUGACUGAAACUUUGUCAGAUAAGCGUUGUAGCCCCAAACUUUCAAGAAACGACAGCUCAGGUUUCUCCAAACCAUAUUUCAUAUUGUGUCAUCUAAACGGAAAUACGCGGUGCCCUAUUUAAAGUGAAUGCGGUUGUCUCUAAUGCAUAACCCAUAAACGAUAGUGGUAAUUCGAUAAGAGAUAUCAUAGUAUGCACCAUAUCAAAUAGAGCGCGGCUAUGACAUUCGGACGCACCAUCACACUAUGGUGUUCUAGGUGGCAUGAAUUGCGAAACAAUUUCCAGAUUGUCUUAACUGUGUACCAAAACUCGCAACUCAGAUAUUCAUCUCUAUGAUCAUAUCAUAGAAAGUUUAUCCUCUUGUCACGACGGUCUUCACUCUGAAAUAGAUUUGACUCAAUAUUUCAGACUUGUGAUUCAUCAAGUAAAUACUCAUGUAUCUACUCAAGUCGUCAGUGAAGUAAGAACAUAACGAUAUCCACUGCGUGCCUCAUCACUCAUUGGACUGCACACAUCAAAAAUGUAUUACUUCCAACAAGUUACUUUCUUGUUCCAUGUGGUAUGAUUUGCAUGUCUCAAGUGAUUCAAAAUCAAGUGAGUCCAAACGAUCCAUCUGCAUGGAGGUUCUUCACGCGUUUAUACCAACAGGUAUUGUUUGCAUGUCUCAAACGUUUCAAAAAUGAGUGAGUACAAAGAUCCAUCAGCAUGGAGCUUCUUCAUGCAUUUUACACCAACAUGACUCAACUGGCAAUGCCACAAGUAAGUGGUACUAUAAUUAUUACUUUGUAUCUUUUGGCAUCAAUAUUAUGAACAUGUGUAACACUAUGAUCGAGAUUAAAUAAACCAUUGAAGGUAAUUAUUCAAGCAAAUAGAAUAACCUUUAUUCUCUUUAAAUGAAUAAUCGUAUUGCAAUAAACACGAUCCAAUCAUGUUCAUGCUCAACACAAAUAACAAAUAAAAAUUAUUUAGGUUUAAGACCAAUCCCGAUAGUAGAGGAAGCGUGCGAUCUUUGAUCACAUCAACCUUGGAAACACUUCCAACACGUAUUGUCACCUCGCCUUUAGCUAGUCUCCGCUUAUUCCGUAGCUUUUAUUUCGAGUUACUAAUCACUUAGCAACCAAACCGGUAUCUAAUAGCCUCGUGCUACUAGGAGUACUAGUAAAGUACACAUUAAUAUCAUGUAUAUCAAAUAUAGUUCUGUCGACUUUGCCAGCCUUCUCAUCUACCAAGUAUCUAGGGUAGCUCCGCCUCAUAGACCGUUCCCCUCAUAAUAGAAGCACUUAGUCUCGGGUUUGGGUUUAAUCUUGGGUUUCUUCAUUAGAGCAGCAACUGGUUUUCCGUUUCAUGAAGUAUCCCUUCUAGCCCUUCUUGAAACUAGUGGUUUUACUAACCAUCAACAAUUGAUGCUCCUUCUUGAUUUCUACUUUCGUAGUGUUAAAACAUUGCGAAUCGCUCAAGGAUCAUCAUAUCUAUCAUUGAUAUGUUAUAGUUCAUCACGAAGCUCUAGCAGCUUGGUGGCAUUGACUUUGGAGAACCAUCACUAUCUCAUCUGGAAGAUUAACUCCUACCUGAUUCAAUCGAUUGUUGUAUUCAGACAAUCUGAGCACAUGCUCAACGAUUGAGCUUUUCUCCUUUACUUUGUUGACAAAGAAUCUCGUCGGAGGUCUCAUACCUCUCAACAAGGGCAUGAGCAUGAAAUCUCAAUUUCAUCUCCUAGAACAUCUCUUAUGUUCCGUGAUGUUUCAAAACGUCUUCGGCGCCUUGCUUCUAAGCCAUUAAGUAUUACGCACUGAACUAUCACAUAGUCAUCAAAAACGUGUAUGUCAGAUGUUCGCAACAUCCACAGACGACACUCGAGGUGCCUCACACCGAGUGGUGCAUUAAGGACAUAAUCCUUCUGCGCAACAAUGAGGACAAUCCUCAGUUUUACGGACUCAGUCCGCAAAGUUGCUACUAUCAUCUUUCAACUAAAUUUUCUCUAGGAACAUAUAAAAAACAGUAGAGCUAUAUGCUACAGUAACAAAAGUCCUUCCUUGGCGCUAAGAAUUCUUCUUGCUACUUCUCUUGUUUGUGUCGGUUUUUCCCUUGAAGAGGAAAGGGUGAUGCAGCACAGGAGUAGUAAGUAUUUCCCUCAGUUUGAGAACCAAGGUAUCGAUCCAAAAGGAGGGUCUCGUCAAGUCCAGAGUACGUGCGCAAACACAAACAAGCUUGCACCCAACGCUUCAAAGGGGUUGUCAAUCCCUUCAAGAUUGUUUGCAAAGUGAGAUCUGAAGGCGGAAAGUGCAACGAAGUAAAAAGUGUAAUGCUGAAAAUAUGGUGUGGAGUAGACCCGGGGGCCAUAGUGUUAACUAGAGGCUUCUCUCAAAACAGCAAGUAUUACGGUGGGUGAACAAAUUACUGUCGAGCAAUCGAUAGAACCGCGCAAAGUCAUGACAAUAUCUAAGGCAAUGAUCAUACAUAUAGGCAUCACGUCCGAGACAAGUAGACCGAUACUUUCUGCAUCUACUACUAUUACUACACACAUCGACCGCUAUCCAGCAUGCAUCUAGUGUAUUGAGUUCAUGACAAACAGAGUAACACCUUAAGCAAGAUGACAUGAUGUAGAGGGAUAAUCUCAAACCAAUGAUGAAAACCCCAUCUUUUUAGCCUUGAUGGCAACAACACGAUGUGUGCCUCGCUACCCCUUCUGUCACCGGGUGAGGUCACCGCACGGUAUGAACCCAAAACCAAGCACUUCUCCCAUUGCAAGAAUCAUAGAUCUAGUUGGCCAAAUAAAACCCACAACUCGAAGAGAAUUACAAGGAUAUGAAAUCAUGCAUAAGAGAGAUCAGAAGAAACUCAAAUAAGAUUCAUAGAUAAUCUGAUCAUAAAUCCACAAUUCAUCGGAUCUCGACAAACACACCGCAAAAGAAGAUUACAUCGGAUAGAUCUCCAUGAAGAUCAUGGAGAAAUUUGUGUUGAAGAUCCAAGAGAGAGAAGAAGCCAUCUAGUUACUAGCUAUGACCCGUAGGUCUAUGGUGAACUACUCACGCAUCAUCGGAGAGGUCAUGGUGUUGAUGAAGAAGCCCUCCGUAUCCGAAUCCCCCCUCCGACAGGGCACCAGAAUGUGCCCCGGAUGGGAUCUUGCGGGGACAGAAGCUUGCGGCGGCGAAAAAGUACUUUCGAUGAUCUCCUGAUUUUUUUGGGAUUUUUAUUGAAUAUAUAGGCGCAACCCCUAGGGCAGAGGGCGCCCAGGGGGCCCACAAGCCUGUGGGCCGCGGACUCCCCACCUGGCCAUGGGGUGGGGGCUUGUGGGGCCCCUAAGGGCCCCCUCCCUUGGCUCUCAAGCUUCCCGAUCUUCUUGCGUUACGGAAAAAUUCUUUUCGGGGAUUUUCUUCCGUUUGGACUGUGUUUCAAAAUCUCCUCUAAAAGGGGUCAACAACAUGGAAAAAACAUGAACUGACACUUGGCACUGAGUUAAUAAGUUAGUCCCAAAAAAAAGGCAUGCAAAACAUCCAAAGUUUGACAAGAUAAUAGCAUGAAAUCAUCAAAAAUUAUAGAUACGUUGGAGACGUAUCACUAUAGCGCAAGCUACAUCAUAACUCGCAAUGACCUUUUGACCAUUAUCAUGAGAAUUAGUUCAAUUAAUCAUAUUACUUAAGAACUCCCACUCAAAAAAUACAUCCCUCUAAUCAUUUGAGUGGUGCAUGAUCUAAAUCCACUAACUCAAGUCUGAUCAUCAUGUGAGUUGAGUAUAGUUUCAGUGGUAAGCAUCUCUAUGCUAAUCAUAUCAACUAUACGAUUCAUGCUCGGCCUUUCGGUCUCUUGCGUUCCGAGGCCAUGUCUACACAUGCUAGGCUCGUCAAGUUUAACCCGAGUGUUCCGUGUGUGCAACUGUUUUGCACCCGUUGUAUGUGAACGUUGAGUCUAUCACACCCUGUAGCGACCCGACUCAAAACGAGUCAAGCCUCUGUGUUUCUGUGCCAUCCCUGGAUCAGUAUGCUGGCACACACAAUACAUCAAUGUAUAUAUCAAAGUGCAAUCAUAUGUAAAUAGCGUAAAACUGAUAUAUACCUUAAAUAUCUCAGCGGAAGCAGUCAAGGGAGUGGAGUCCCAAUAAACACCAACGGCAAGUUGAGUGUAGACCGUAACCCUGAAUCGUACUCUUACUCGUCGAAGAAAAAUAUCUGCAACAUAAGACGUUGCAGCCGUGUAGGUCAGCAUAUUGAAUAUGCUGGCAAGUCACAUAAGAGAGGGGAUAAAAGUAAUCAUUUAUACUAUAUGCAUAUAUGGCAGGUGGGGCUAUAAGUUUUUAGCGAAAAGCAAGUUUUCUCCUACAUCAAGAGGGGGCUAAAAGCAAAAUGUUACUACAAAAGUUGGUUGUUAACGAGAUGGUUCCGCCAACCAGUUCUCGUACCCGAGUUGUCAAUAAUUACCCUCAUCAAAUAUAUAUAUAAUGGUGUUGAGAAAUCCAGAUAACUUCAGUUCCUUUGGCUCAAGUUGUCCAUGACCGUGGACACGACUAAUCAAUUAGGUUUGAGUAUUGUGCAGAGUUUUGCACACGUUCCCCACAAGAUUUGAUUGCCUCCGUGUAUGUCCUCGCACUUCAGGGCGUUUGAAGACCGGAUGAUCAAAACAUGGUCUUUCAACGGGUCCCUCUGAAUCCCUAUCGGUGCCCAUCCAUUCCUACCGUUCGUCUACAUCUGCUAGCACCGCCUGUCCAGAGUCGCCGCGUUGUCCAACCAAGCCAGAGCCCAUAAUUACUUGUGGAUGUGCAGGUAAGCCUUGGGUCUUGAAAAUAUCCGUCCGUCUCUUUGAGCCUGGGUGAAGCUUUCCGCAGGAUGACAUGGCCUCUCCAGCAUCUCGGGUCAUCCACUUGGUUCUCCAGGGAGCCGAUCAACCGUCCUUCACCCAGAGUUGCAUUGCGUCCGAGGUCUUGAAAAUCUUGUCUUAACUGGUCUUGAUUAUUAUAUCAACCUCGCAUCACUCGUGGUAUACACUCAACCGAUAACCCGUCUACUCAAGCAUAGCAUUAAGAAAUUGUCGUCCCGGGGCCAAGUGUCGGGGUUGUUGUGUUCCUACCACAUGAUACUACAACUUACACUAAAGUUUCCAAGUACCUAGGCAGCAUGCAAAUUGGGCAAAGAAGGUGAUCUACCAUGCAUCGAAAACAUAGGUAAAAUAAUAUGAUCAAAAUGACUUGUCUUGAUGAUAGUUGUCUUGCUCGAGUGCUUCUAAGUAACGCGCUUAGCACUCUGGAUGAUCUACCGAUACAAACACAAAGCACACCAUAAGCACUUCAAUCAUGCCACAAGUAAAAAUAACAUCACAAGUAAUGAUUUGCGAAAGCCUAAGCAAAAGAAUUUAUCACGCGCCGGUAUGGCAGAAACUUGUUUCUGUUGAAAAUACCGGUAAAAAUACUUUAAAUUUUUUGAAAUUUCUACCACAGUAAGAUUUUAUCACUAGGAAGCAGUAGCAAAAAUAAUAAACUCAAAAUCAUUUUUUAAACUCCUGGAAUAGGCAAAACAAGAUUUAAACUAAAUCUGCUCUAACUUAUAUUUGAAAAUUUCAAACAUAGACAAAUUAUAUGUUUUUAAAAACUACAGGAAAUUUGUGAGCUACUGGAAAAAGAAUCAAUGUCAUUGGACUUCGGGAUCAAAAGUUGUGGCCAAAACAAGAUUGGAACUUUUCUGUUUUUGCAAACAGGCAGAAAAAAUAAAACUAACCUAGCUAACUACUCGGGUACACGUGGUAUGCUACUAUUGGCCGCGGAGGGCAUUUGUUGCAGCAUUUUGAGCAAACGGCCUAGCUCUAACAAAAGCUACUGGCUAAAACAUAAGUGAAAAUAAAACCGUUGGUUUUCUAAACUAAACCGAAGAGUUAUCCCUAGAUCUAAUCUACACCCUAUAGCUAAGAUCCAACGGUUACAAAAAGAAAAACAAGAACCACUGGGAGGAAGAGAGGUCUACUGUGGCUGUGGGGUAGCUCCGGCGAGGGGCGUGGCUGCCGGCGAGGGAGGGGGAGCUCCGGGGCGGUGGAGGCGGGGGGGAGGCGGCGGCGGGGGUCCUCCUCCGAGGGGAGGCUGCGGUGGAGCGAAAGGGCGCUGGGGUGGCGCUCCCAGGGGCGGCCUACGGUGGUAGUAGCUCGGCUGCCGGCGAGCGGUGGUGCGGCGGCUAGGGGCGGCGGCUCGGCGAGGAAAAGGUGGGAACGGGGUCGGCUCGGGGGCGGGGUUUAUAUAGGCUAGGAGGGGGGGUGCUAAGGAAGGAGACGGAGUAGAAAUCGGCAGGGGAUCCCACGGUUCUCGGGAGGGCAGCGGCUCGGUUUCGGUCUGGAGCAGAAAAGGAAGGAGGAAGAAGACUGGCCGCGGGAGGGAGAGGCUCGGGCGGUGGGGCCCUUCGGCCAGUGAGAGGGGGCGGGGUAAGGGUGGGGCGGUUGGCCGGUUUCAAAGGGAUUCAAUCCCGGGCAGUGGGGAUUCGGCCCAGCCUUAUAUGGCGCUCGGGGGCGGCGGCAGAAGAAAAAAAAUUACCUUUCCUAUUUAUAACUUUUCCGAGACAGAAAAAUCAAAAGCUAAUAAAAAGGAAAUAAAUCAAAAUAUUAAUAUAGGGUAUUAUAUACCAAAAAAAUCAGAAAAAUAUCCUCUACCCAAAUAACAUUUUUCCAAAGCAAAAAUAAAACUUUAAAAAAAUGUUUUUUUUCAGAAAUUCCCAAAUUUGCUUUAUUUCUUUUUGCAAUUAUUUUGCAAAAGAACUAUGGGUUUUCUUGGCUAAAAUAUUUCAGAAAUUUGCCCGCACUGUGGAGGGUCAUUUUCCUCCGCUCUCUCUCUUGCGUGCAAGAGGGUAUUUUCUCCGGGCAUUUCUCGUGCGAGGAAAACAAAUAAAAAUGCAAGAGAACUCAAAUGCAAAUAUCUCCGUUCAAAUUAUUUGUAGUUGAAGAAGUCAUGUCAUCUUCUCUCUUUGCUUUUAAAAGCUUGAAUUUGAAUUCAGCGGAGAUGGGGAAAGUCAUUUUAUUCCCUCUCAUUCAAAAGUUUCGAAAAGUUUCAAAUUUCACACAAGUUUCAGUCACUUAGCAAACAAACAAACAAUCAAUCUAAUAAUUAUAUUAACAUUCCAAAAAUUUAUAAUUUUGGGAUGUUACACACCCGAUCAUCAUGUGGUGUCUCGAAAUGACGAACUGUCGCAACGGUGCACAGUCGGGGAGAACACAAUUUUAUCUUGAAAUUUUAGUGAGGGAUCACCUUAUAAUGCUACUGUCGUUCUAAGCAAGAUAAGGUGCAUAAAAGGAUUAACAUCACAUGCAAUUCAUAAGUGACAUGAUAUGGCCAUUAUCUUGUGCUUCUUGAUAUCCAUCACCAAAGCACCGGCAUGAUCUUCAUCGUCAUCGGCGCCACACCAUGAUCUCCAUCAUCGUGUCGCCAUCGAGGUUGUCGUGCUAUAUAUGCUAUCACUACUAAAGCUACAACCUAGCAAUAUAGUAAACGCAUCUGCAAGCACAAACGUUAGUUUAAAGACAACCCUAUGGCUCCUGCCGGUUGCCGUAGCAUCGACGUGCAAGUCGAUAUUAACUAUUACAACAUGAUCAUAUCAUACAUCCAAUAUAUCACAUCAUGUAUUUGGCCAUAUCACAUCACAAGCAUACCCUGCAAAAACAAGUUAGACGUCCUCUAAUUUGUUGUUGCAUGUUUUACGUGGUGCUAUGGGUACCUAGUAUGAUCGCAUCUUACUUACGCAAAACCAAAACAGAGAUGUGCAAAUUGCUAUUUAACCUCUCUCCAAGGACCGCCUUGGUCAAAUCAAAUUCAACUAAAGUUGAAGAAACAGGCACCCGAUAAUAAUCUUUAUGCAACGAGUUGCAUGUUAGUCGAUGAAACCGGUCUCUCGUAAGCGUACGAGUAAUGUUGGUCCGGGCCGCUUCAAUCCAACAAUACCGUCCAAUCGAGAAAAGACUAAGGAGGGAAGCAAGUAGAACAUCAACGCGCACACAAACUUUUGUGUUCCACUCAACAUUACAUCUACGCAUGAACCUAGCUCAUGAUGCCACUGCUGGGGAAUGUUGCAUGGGAAACAAAAAAGUUCCUAUGCACACGAAGACCUAUCAACGAGAGGGAGAUCAGAUCCACAUACCCUUGUAGAUCUCUAUGCGGAAGCGUUAAUAAAUGCGGUUGAUGUAGUGGUACGUCCUCACGGUCCGUCCCUCGAACCGUCCCACGAUCCGUCCCACGAACCGUCUCGCGAUCCGUCCCAUGAUCCGUUCCGAUCAAGUGCCGAACGGACGGCACCUCUGCGUCCCGCACACGUACAUCUUGAUGACGAUCUCCGCCUUCUUGAUCCAGCAAGAGAGACGGGGAAGUAGAUUAGUUCUCCAGCAGCGUGACGACACGCCGGUGUUGGUGAUGAUCUAUUCCUGUAGGGCUCCGCCCGAGCUCCGCAGAACUCCAAUCUAGAGGUGGAACUACGAGGUAUAGGUUUGAGUUGCACGUGGCAAAGUUGUGUCUCAAAAUGCCCUAAACCUCUAGUAUAUAUAAGAGGAGGGAGGGGGCAGCCUUGGCACCACAAGGGAGGCUCCCUUGUGUCGGCCGAACUAGAGGAGGGAGGAGUCCUCCUCCAACUCCACUUGGAUUAGGACUCCUUCCUUAAUUUCCCACCUCUUUUGGAUUUUCCACUUUUUCCUCAUGGGCUUUCCUUGGAUGACUUUUUCAGCCCAUUAUGCCUUAUUUCGCAUCCAAUAAACCCAUGUGGACCCCUUGGGGCGUGGUGGGCCCACUCAGUGGGCCCCCGGAACCCAUUCGUCACUCCCGGUACACUGCCGACAAUGCACGAAAACCUUCCGGAAUCCAAACACCAACUUCCUAUAUAUCAAUCUUCGUAUCCGGACCAUUCCGGAAACCCUUGUGACAUCCGUGAUCUCAUCCGGGACUCCGAACAACCUUCUGUCACCAACACAUACAACUUAACUAUACUGAAACAUCACCGAACCUUAAGUGUGCAGACCCCGCGGGUUCGAGAACUAUGCAGAGAUGACCUGGGACACUCUCCGGUCAAUGACCAAUAGCGGGACCUGGAUGUCCAUAUUGACUCCCACAUAUUCUAUGAAGAUCUCUAUCGGUUGAAUCUCUAUGUCAAGGACUCAUAUAAUCCCGUAUACUAUUCCCUUUGUCCUUCGGUAUGUUACUUGCCCGAGAUUCGAUAGUCGGUAUCUCUAUACCUAGUUCAAUCUCGUCACCGACAAGUCUCUUUACUCGUUCCGUAAUACAACACCCCGUAACUAAAUCUUUCGUCAUAUUGCUUGCAAGGCUUAUUGUGAUGUUGUAUUUGUUGGAAAUAUGCCCUAGAGGCAAUAAUAAAUUAGUUAUUAUUAUAUUUCUUUUUUCAUGAUAAUCGUUUAUUAUCCAUGCUAUAAUUGUAUUGACUAGAAACACAAAUACAUGUGUGGAUACAUAGACAAAACACUGUCCCUAGUAAGCCUCUAGUUGACUAGCUCGUUGAUCAAAGAUGGUCAGGGUUUCCUGACCAUAGACAAGUGUUGUCACUUGAUAACGGGAUCACAUCAUUAGGAGAAUCAUGUGAUGGACAAGACCCAAACUAUGAACGUAGCAUGUGACCGUGUCAUUUUAUUGCUAUUGUUUUCUGCGUGUCAAGUAUUCAUUCUUAUGACCAUGAGAUCAUGUAACUCACUGACACCGGAGGAAUACCUUGUGUGUAUGAAACGUCACAACGUAACUGGGUGACUAUAAAGGUGCUCUACAGGUAUCUCCGAAGGUGUCCAUUGAGUUAGCAUGGAUCAAGACUGGGAUUUGUCACUCCGUGUGACGGAGAGGUAUCUCGGGGCCCACUCGGUAAUACAACAUCACACACAAGCCUUGCAAGCAAUGUGACUCAAGUGCGCUUCACGGGGUCUUGUAUUACGGAACGAGUAAAGAGAUUUCCUGGUAACGAGAUUGAAAUAGGAUAGGGAUACCGACGAUCAAAUCUCACGCAAGUAACAUACUGAAGGACAAAGGGAAUGUUAUACGGGAUUAUAUGAAUCCUUGGCACAGAGGUUCAACCGAUAAGAUCUUCGUAGAAUAUGUAGGAUCCAAUAUGGGCAUCCAGGUCCCGCUAUUGGAUAUUGACCGAGAAGUGUCUCGGGUCAUGUCUACAUAGUUCUCGAACCCGUAGGGUCUGCACACUUAAGGUUCGAUGAUGUCUUAGUAUAGUUGAGUUAUAUGUGUUGGUGACCGAAGGUUGUUCGGAGUACCGGAUGAGAUCACGGACAUCACGAGGGUUUCCGGAUUCGUCCGGAAAUGAAGAUUGAUAUAUAGGAAGUUGGUGUUUGGAUUCCGGAAAGUUUUCAGGCAUUGUCGGUAGUGUAUCGGGAGUGACGAAUGGGUUCCGGAGGCCCACUGGGUGGGCCCACCACGCCCCAAGGGGUCCAUGUGGGUUUAUUGGAUGUACAAUAAGGUAUAAUGGGAUGACAAAGUCAUCCAAGGAAAGCCCAUGAGGAAAAAGUGGAAAAAACAAAAGAGGUGGGAAAAUAAGGAAGGAGUCCUAAUCCAAGUAGGAUUGGAGAAGGACUCCUCCCUCCCACUUCGGCCGACCCAAGGAGGGCCACCUUUGGCCGGCGCCCUAGGGCUUUGCCCCACCCCUUGGCUCCUCCUAUAUAUACUAGAGGUUUAGGGCUAUUUGAGACACAACUUUGCCACGUGCAACUCAAACCUACACCUCGUAGUUCUUCCUCUAGAUUAGAUUUCUGCGGAGCUCAGGCGGAGCCUUGCAGGAAUAGAUCAUCACCAACACGAGCGCAUCGUCACGCUGCCGGAGAACUCAUCUACUUCUCUGUCUCUCUUGCAGGAUCAAGAAGGACGAUAUCGUCAUCGAGUUGUACGUGUGCUGAUCACGGAGGUGCCGUCCGUUUGGCGCUAGAUCGGAACGGAUCAUGGGACGGAUCGCGAGACGGUUCGUGGGACGGAUCAUGGGACGGUAUGAGGGACGGAUCGUGAAGACAUACCACUACAUCAACCGCGUUUAUUAACGCUUCCGCUUAGCGAUCUACAAGGGUAUGUGGAUCCGAUCUCCCUCUCGUAGAUGAACAUCACCAUGAUAGGUCUUCGUGUGCGUAGGAAUUUUUUUGUUUCCCAUGCAGCAUUCCCCAACAGUGGCAUCAUGAGCUAGGUUCAUGCGUAGAUGUUAUCUCGAGUAGAACACAAAAGGUUUUGUGGGCGUUGAUGUUUGAUUUUCUGCCCUCCUUAGUCUUUUCUCGAUUCGGCGGUAUUGUUGGAUUGAAGCGGGCCGGACCGACAUUACUCGUACGCUUACGAGAGACUAGUUUAAUCGAUUAACAUGCAACUCGUUGCAUAAAGAUGACUCGCGGGUGCCUGUUUCUUCAACUUUAGUUGAAUUGGUUUUGACCGAGGCGGUCCUUGGAGAGAGGUUAAAUAGAAAUUUGCACAUCUCCGUUGUGGCUUUUGCGUAAGUAAGAUGCGAUCAUACUAGGUACCCAUAGCAGCCACGUAAAACAUGCAACAACAAAUUAGAGGACGUCUAACUUGUUUUUGCAGGGUAUACUUGUGAUAUGAUAUGGCCAAUGACGUGAUGUGAUAUAUUGGAUGUAUGAGAUGAUCAUGUUGUAAUAGUUAAUAUCGACUUCCACGUCGAUGCUACGGCAACCGUCAGGAGCCAUAGGGUUGUCUUUAAACUAAUGUAUGUGUUUGCAGAUGCGUUUACUAUAUUGCUAGGUUGUAGCUUUAGUAGUAAUAGCAUAGAUAGCACGACAACCUCGAUGGCGGCACGAUGAUGGAGAUCAUAGUGUAGCGUCGGUGACAAGAAGAUCAUGUCGGUGCUUUGGUGAUGGAGAUCAAGAAGCGCAAGAUGAUGGCCAUAUCAUGGCACUUAUGAAUUGCAUGUGAUGUUAAUCCUUUUAUGCACCUUAUUUUGCUUAGAACGACGGUAGCAUUAUAAGGUGAUCUCUCACUAAAAUUUCAAGAUGAAAUUGUGUUCUCCCCGACUGUGCACCGUUGUGACAGUUCGUCGUCUCGAGACACCACGUGAUGAUCGGGUGUGAUAGACUCAACGUUCACAUACAACGGGUGCAAAACAGUUGCACACGCGGAAUACUCGAGUUAAACUUGACAAGCCUAGCAUGUGCAGACAUGGCCUCGGAACACAAGAGACUGAAAGGUCGAGCAUGAAUUAUAUAGUUCAUAUGAUUAGCAUAGAGAUGCUUACCACUGAAAGUAUACUCAACUCACGUGAUGAUCGGACUUGAGUUAGUGGAUUUGGAUCAUGUACCACUCAAAUGACUAGACAGAUGUACUUUUUGAGUGGGAGUUUAUUAAGUAAUUUGAUUAGUUAAACUCUAAUUAUCAUUAAUAUAGUCAAAAGGUCUUUGCGAAUUAUGAUGUAGCUUGCGCUAUAGCUCUACUGUUUUUUAUAUGUUCCUAGAGAAAAUUUAUUUGAAAGAUGAUAGUAGCAACUUUACGGACUGAGUUCGUAAAACCGAGGAUUGUCCUCAUUGCCGCGCAGAAGUCUUAUGUCCUUAAUGCACCGCUCGGUGUGCUACACCUCGAGCGUCGUUUGUGGAUGUUGCGAACAUCUAACAUACACGUUUUUAUGACUAUGGUAUAGUUCAGUGUGUAAUACUUAAUGGCUUAGAAGCAAGGCGCCGAAGACGUUUUGAAACGUCAUGGAACAUAAGAGAUGUUCUAAGAGAUGAAAUUGAGAAUUCAUGCUCGUGUCCUUGUUGAGAGGUAUGAGACCUCCGACAAGAUUCUUUAUCUACAAAGUAAAGGAGAAAAGCUCAAUCGUUGAGCAUGUGCUCAGAUUGUCUGAGUACAACAAUCGCUUGAAUCAAGUGGGAGGUAAUCUUCCAGAUGAGAUAGUGGUGGUUCUCCAAAGUCACUCCCACCAAGCUUCUAGAGCUUCGUGAUGAACUGUAACAUCUCAAGGAUAGAUAUGAUGAUCCUUGAGCAAUUAGCAAUGUUUGGCACCACGAAAGUAGAAAUCAAGAAGGAGCAUCAAUUGUUCAUGGUUAGUAAAACCACUAGUUUCAAGAAGGGCAAGGGCUAGAAGGGAUACUUCAUGGAACGGCAAACCAGUUGCUGCUCUAAUGAAGAAACCCAAGAUUGAACCCAAACCCGAGACUAAGUGCUUCUGUUAUGAGGGGAACAGUCACUGAGGCGGAGCUACCCUAGAUACUUGGUAGAUAAGAAGGCUGGCAAAGUCGACAGUGGUAUAUUUGAUAUACAUGAUGUUGAUGUGUACUUUACUAGUACUCCUAGUAGCACGAGGGUAUUGGAUACCGGUUCGGUUGUUAAGUGAUUAGUAACUCGAAAUGAAAGCUAUGGAAUAAAAGGAGACUAGCUAAAGGCGAGGUGACGACACGUGUUGGAAGUGUUUCCAAGGUUGAUGUCGUCAAAAACAUCGCACGCUCCCUCUACCAUCGGGACUGGUGUUAAACCUAAAUAAUUGUUAUUUGGUGUUUGCGUUGAGCAUGAACAUGAUUGGAUCGUGUUUAUUGCAAUACGAUUAUUCAUUUAAAGAGAAUAAUAGUUAUUUUAUUUGCUUGAAUAAUUAUCCUCAAUGGUUUAUUGAAUAUCGAUCGUAGUGUUACACAUGUUCAUAAUGUUGGUGCCAAAGGAUACAAAGUAAUAAAGAUAGUACCACUUGCUUGUGGCACUGCCACUUGAGUUAUGUUGGUGUAAAAUGCAUGAAGAAGCUCCAUGCUGAUGGAUCUUUGUACGCACUCAUUUUUGAAACGUUCGAGACAUGCAAACCAUACCUGUUGGUAUAAACGCAUGAAGAAACUCCAUGCGGAUGGAUCGUUUGGAUUCACUUGAUUUUGAAUCACUUGAGACAUGCAAAAUCAUACCACAUGGAACAAGAAAGUAACUUGUUGGAAGCAAUGCAUUUUGAUGUGUGCAGUCCAAUGAGUGCCGAGGCACGCAGUGGAUAUCGUUAUGUUCUUACUUCGCUGACGAUUUGAGUAGAUACACGAGUAUUCACUUGAUGAAUCACAAGUCUGAAAUGUUGAAAAGUUCAAAGCUAUUUCAGAGUGAAGAUCGUCGUGACAAGAGGAUAAACUAUCUACGAUAUGAUCAUAGAGAUGAAUAUCUGAGUUGCGAGUUUUUGGUACACAGUUAAGACAAUGAGGAAAUUGUUUCACAAUUCAUGCCACCUAGAACACCAUAGUGUGAUGGUGUGUCCAAACGUUAUAGCCAGGCACCUUGAUUAAAUCAGUCAGUGGCUUGGGGUGCUAAGAGAAAUUAUAUGAAGUGAAGAUAACAAAUCUUCAAAACAUAUAACACUUCGCACAUGCAUGAAUGAUUUGGUAUUAUCCUAGAGGAAGCAAAACAAAACUUUCACAUAUUCACUGCGGCAAGAAUGCACGUGAACCUUGGGAAAAACACUUCUUCUAUCAAACAUAUCCUUCAUGAGCUAGGCACAAGGAUAAUGCUUUCAAGAGCUUCAUCGCGGAACAUGGAGAAGUUGAGGGUGUGGCUGAUGGGCUCAACAACAACCCCUCAAGAUUUUGACAGGGAUGAAUUUUCUAAAAUUUACAAUAUCACGGAGAUUGCAUUUGUCAAAUCAAAUGGUGCAAUGUCAUAUGCUCGAGGGAACAACAAUAAUUAAACAUUGGUCGAAGGGUGCACUCGAAAAUACGGACUGAGCAGCACGACCAAUGCUAAAAUAGUGAGUCAACAACCAACACACAAAGAAUGAAACUAUCAGUCAUUAACUUCAGAGUGAUAGGGUUGCCAGAAGUAUUGGAAUCACACAUCAGCGUUCACUUGUCGGUAUUCCGCUUAAAAACAACACGGGGAACAAGAAAUGUAUGGUGAUGGCAAGAAGUAUGACUUAUAUCAAGAAUUCUUAAGAGGUGUAACAAUGCUCAUAAUAUUCUUGACAUAACAAAUGGUAAUACUCCAAGGUAGAUCAUAACAUAAGUCGGAUAGUAAGGAACUCAAAGGACAACACAAAACAUGAACACAUUUGUGUUGGAGGGAAGGCAAUAAGGUUGACGAUGAUUUCAGAAAUCAUAGAGGGGCGAGGAUGGUAUUCCUCAACAUGUAUUCGAUUGAUACCCUCCAAGAGCUCAGAAUGCUGAUGAUGAUCACGACACAUUUGUCGAGAAGCUUCACGAAGAUGUAAUCGAUCAGCGACGACAUCAAGCAAAGGAAUGGUGAAGCUAAAGGUUGACGGAAAUACAUUUAAGACUGCUAGCUCAGAAUCAAAAUUUCCUUUCAAAACAACUAAUAUGAUGUGGAAAAGCUCGAUCUGAUCUUAACGCACAGUUGGAAAUGUGCUCCAGAGAUGGAGGACACAGAUAGCAUGGUCAAGCUCCAACAUGACGAUGAUGAUGUAGAUUAACAGCUUGGAAUGACGUGAUCGAGUGCGAACUCGUAAGAAAAGAAGAUUACUAAGAUUUGUUGAAUUACAAGCGUACUCAAUUCAUUUAUCAGUGUCCUUGAGUGUCCAACAACUCAAACACGAGGAAAUUGGAAUUAAUGAAAAUAUCAUAGUUGAUGAGGAGCUCACAAGAAGUUAUAUAGCUCUGUGAUAUCCUCGAGCUACAAGGAAUAAUACUCGGAGGUAGGUCAACAUUAAGGCUUGGACCGAUGUAUUGAUAUGAAGAAGACAAGUACUUUAACUUGUCUGAGUAUGAAAUCAAGGUAGGACAACAUGGUCGGAACCACGAUUGCAAAGGACAAGAUCUCAAAUACAAGAUUUAAACCACAUAAUGAAUGAUUAUUGAUACGAGAAGUUUCUAUGAUAGGAUCAACGUCGUUUCCAUGGGCAUGAACACAAAGUUCAAGGUCGACUCCCACUUCAUCAAUGCAUCACCUUCCAUUUGCUCUUCGCCUUUGAUCAGGUUGUAGCUGUGAAAGGAUAUUCGGCAAAGCACCAGAAGAGUACGACUCAUGAAAACUUUUCGAUUCAUAUUGAUUUAGGAAGGCAUAAUUCCAACCCAUCGGGGCAUCUUAGGAACAUAUACCAUACACUCCAAGAGUAAUUAACACAUGCUUGAAGGGCAUGGCUCAUAAAGGCGUAGGGUACAACUUAUUAGAGGGAGAAGACAUAAUUUACCAAUGGCAUCAUGUGUUAGGGAAGCAAUCACAAGAAUUUUCUAAAUCAAAGGAUGUCGUCGGAUAAUAACCCAGAAUGAGUUUGGCAGUCCACAAAAGAUCUGAUGUGAGUAUCGGUACUCAAUCGGAGGAGGGAUAAGACUCAAGGCAUCAGAUUAUAGAACAUCUGAAAAAUAUCGGUACUCAAUUACCAAAGGAAUUACGAUUUCGAGGUUGGUGUAUCAUAAUGAGACACUCCGAUCAAAUAGAAGUAAGCUGAAAGGAUUUAGAUGGGCAACCACCAAAGUUGAUUUGUCGAGAACCAGCUGUGUCUAGAAGGACGUCUGAGCCGGAAGAUAAUUCAUGAGUAUCUGCAGAUGAUUGUGUGCAUUCACACAAAGGUAGAAUCAAUAAGAUCACAAGAAAAUCAUAAAGGAUUUUAGUGAAUGCUGCUAGACAUAUGGAUUUAACCAUAACACAAGCAGGUGAGAAAGGUCAAAAGAAAUAGGCUACCGGGGAUCCCAAAAGAUCGAAUAGUAAUUCGAAAAACUUUCAAAACCCAUGACAACUGAUGACGGACGAAUCCCCGAUAAGAUAAUUCGUUGCAUCUCGUAAGACAAGAGCAACUGGAAAAGAAAAAUAUGAACGCCAUUUGUAUGCAGUCAUACAUAGGGGUUGACGGAGGAAGGGAAAUCGCAGAAGCGAUGAUCACAAGUUCUCGAGAGAACAUCAGAGAUUAUCCUCGAAGUCUUCUAACGGAUCAAGCCAUCGUCUGGAAUACGGGGUUCUCCGGGAGGAAAUAUUUAUGAGAACCUAAUGUUAGAGUUAGAAAAUUCUUUAACCCUAAAGAGAAGAGAGAGUAGAACCUAGAGUAUAGAAAAGGAGUAAAAGAUACUAAUACCACCCGAUUGAGAUGUGAGCCCGUAAGCCACAACAUCAGUGUUAGUAAGUUUUUCAAACACUAGACUCAACUUCGGCCAAGGAGUUGGAAAGGGGGCUACCUACAGGCAGUUGGCUCUGAUACCAACUUGUGACGCCCUCGAUUUAAUCGUACGUUAAUCAUGCACGCAAAUGCGUACGAUCAAACUCAAGGACUCACGGGAAGAUAUCACAACACAACUCUAGACACAAUAAAAUAAUACAAGCUUCAUAUUACAAGCCAGGGGCCUCGAGGGCUAGAAUACAGAAGCUCGAUAAACACAUGAGGGAGCGGAAGCAACAAUAUCUGAGUACAGACAUACACAUGGGGUGCCUUAGAGAAGGCAAGCACAGAAGAAACACAAUCGAACGAGGCGAGGCCUCCUGCCUGGGAUCCUCCUAAACUACUCCUGGUCUUCAGCGGCCUCCUCGAAGAAGACACCAUAGGGGGGCAGACGUCAGCAGGAAACUCCAUCUUCUGGGCUCCAUCAUCUGGUCGCAGCAACAGAUCAAGGAGCAAAGGGGGAGCAAAGCAACGGUGAGUGCUCAUCCAAAGUACUCGCAAGACUUACAUCAGAACUAUGAUAAAUAUGAAUUAGUAUCAAAGAAGGGGUUAUAUGUGGACUGACUGCAGCGAUGUGAGAAAUAGAGAGAGAAGGCCUAGUCCUAUCGAAGACUAGCAUCUUCAGGGUCUUGGAGCAAUAGACGAGAGUAGAGCAAGGUAACACAAUUAAUAGUCAUAUUGUUGCAACAAUAUUAAAGUGAGGUCAUGCCCUGAGAUUGUCACGCCCAAGAUGCGACCCUAUCCUCAAUUUGGCACGAAGGCCUCGUCGGGGAUAGAAGCACAUCUCGUCGUGUCGCAAGAAUGGAUAUCGUUACAAGUACAUGUACUGAAAAGAAGAGAUGUAUAUUUAGAAUUGGCUUAACUCGCCACAAACUACAUCAGAGUCACAUCAAUACAUUACAUAAUCAUCAAGAGUAAGAGCAGGGUCUGACUAUGGACGAAAACAAACGAGAAAAAUAAGAACAACGUCCAUCCUUGCUAUCCCAGGCUGUCGGCCUGGAACCCAUCCUAGAUCGAUGAAGAAGAAGAAGAAGAAGCAACUCCAAAUGAACAAUCAACGCGCUCGCGUCAAGUAACUUUUACCUGUACCUGCAACUGGUGUUGUAGUAAUCUGUGAGCCACAGGGGACUCAGCAAUCGCAUUUCCAAAGGUAUCAAGACUAGCAAAGCUUAAUGGGUGAGGCAUGGUUAAGUGGUGAGGUUGCAGCAGCGACUAAGAAUAUAUUUGGGUGGCUAAACUUACGAGUACAAGAAAUAAGAGGGGGGGGGGGAGAUCUACACAUAACGGACGUGAACUCCUGUUGAUCAAAUGAAUGAUCCUGAACACCUACCUACGUCAGACAUAACCCCACCGUGUCCUCGAUCGGAGAAAGAACUCACGAAAGAGACAGUCACGGUUAUGCACACAGUUGGCAUAUUUUAAUUAAGUUAACUUCAAGUUAUCUAGAACCAGUGUUAAACAAAGUUUCCAUGUUGCCACAUAACCGCGGCACUGCUUUCCGAAAGAUUUAACCCUGCAGGGGUGCUCCAACUAGUCCAUCACAAAUUACCACAAGCCGCAUAGAAAUCCUCCAUCACGACACUCGCGAUCUCGUCGGAUUCCUUAGUGGAAAACCUCAACUCUGAGAUUACCCAAAGCAUCGGAAUUCCGAUGCACAAGAUAUCUCGUCAAAGGUAAAACUAAUCCAGCAAGGCCGUCCGGCGUGUCGACGAUCCCGAUAGGAGCUGCGUAUCUCGUUCUCAGGACACGACGGAUAAGCGACGCGUAUGAGUGCCAAACCUCGAGUUUCCUCGCGGUGGCCCCGCACAAUGCUCUAUUUUGGACCAGCACCAUCAACACUGGCCCUACCUGUAUUAUGUAGAAUUACUCCUCGGGUAGCGCUAACUCCCUACGCAUUUUAUUUUAACAGAUUUAUUAUGUUGGGCAAAUGUAGUACCAAUGUUGGGCCUUGCCAGACCAGCUUUAAUCUAAAACUAAUUAUCAAGGGGGGCCCCAUAACAACCCCGAUCGUGUUAGGAGCGCUCAUUUAUGGAACAUAACACCGGUAGCCGAAACUAAGGGGGCAAAGGUGGAACAAAACACCAGGCUAGAAAGGCCGAGCCUUCCACCUUUUACCAAGUAUAUAGGUGCAUUAAAUUAAAUAGCAUUAAUAUGGUGAUAUGACAAGGAACCCAUGUAAUCACAUGGAAGCAACUGCACCUGCAACUAGCAAUGCUAUCAACAGGGUUAAGCAAGCAGUAACAUAGCCAAUCAGUGGUUUGCUAGGUUGAAUAGGUUGAAGGUUUCAUGGCAUUGUUGAGAGGCUGAUAAUUAACAUGUGGUAGGCAACGAGACAUAAUUGAUAGAAACGAUAAAACUAGCAUGGCAAUGAUAGUAAUGGUAUCUGGGGAAAUGGUCAUCUUGCGUGAGAUCCCGCUUGGAAGAAGAAUGCCUCCGUGAAGCAGACAAACCGAUGUAGUCGAACGAGUCCUUACUUUCCGAAACGCUUGCGGAACUCUACCGAGACGGAGCAAACCGGAAAAGAAUCAACACACGAUAUUCAUCACUCACAUGCAUGAUAUGAUGCACACCCUAAUAUGAUGCAUGAUCAGUUAAAAUAUGCAAGGCAUGGCAUGGCAUGGCAAAUCACAUCACACAAGCACUACACGUUAAGUGAAGCUCAAUAUGCAACGAGUUGCAUAUUGACGAAACUCCACAUACGAACUAUUUAGUUCCCUCUUGAUUAGGUACACAGCAAUAUUAAAUGUUGUUAACAUGGAAAGGGGUGAAGCACAAAUUAAUCUACUUAUCUAGGCAUUUUAAAUGAGGCCGGAAACAACUUAUAGCAUCUCCAAAAUGACCUCACGUGUUAAAAUCUAAUUCUGUCCAGAUUUAUCCUAAUCACAUUUUUUGUUUGUUAAACAACGAAACAAAGUGGAGCAUGAGAUUCUACACAUCGUUCUACUCGAUUUACAUAUAUAGAACAUCUCCAACGGAGCUACGUUAAAUAACUACGACCUAAACAGUUUUCAACACGUCGACACGCAAACCGAUGCAAACAACCACUAAACAGUUCUAAUUAUGCAUGAGAGUUGGAAAUUAUUAACCUACGCGAAAUUCUAGUCAAUUUACAUAUCUAACUCGUCGAAAUCCGACACACGGAAUAGAAUCUACGGACGUUUGAAAAUAUCGCUAUGUCCUAUAUAGGAAAAAAAUCCUAGCGUAUAAAAAUCGACAAGGGAAAAAAAUAUGGGAAACAACUGGGAUUUGAACCCCAGAUCUCCACAAUGCCAAUGCGCUGGGUUAACCAGCAGGGCUCGAAGUGCUCUUGUGCUUUGUUCAUUCGGUUAUUUAACAUAACAACCAGGCUGAUAAAAGACAAAGCAAAAACGAUGAGAAAAAGUAUAUUGAAGCUGGUGGGAUUUGAUCCCUGGUCUAUUGGGUGGAGGAUCAACGUCGUGACCAGCUAGGCUACGGAGCUCUUGUUAAACAAGUAGAGUGGCGACCCUAGUUAUGCUGUGUGAACCAGAACGGAUCUAGGAAAAAAACGCUAAGGAUUCAGUUCCAGCGCUCGCAAGGAAACAGAGACCUGUGGCCAUGGCAAUUCCAAGCGAGGAUGGCGCCGAUUCGCGGGGCUUGGGGUUUCGGCGGGGCUGACGGAGGCCGGGAAUGGGCUGAUCUAUCAAGGGCCUACCGGAUCCGCUGGGGAACAACGCGAGACGGCGAGCUGCAGGGCGGAGAAGGCAUCCAUAACGGGGCUGCAGCGCCUUCGUUCAGUCCUGAUAGGGGGAAAACAAUAGAGAGGAGAAGGAUUAUAGGAGAGGGAAGGAGGGGUCACGAGGGAGGAGCGCUGGGCACAGGUGCUGAGCCGGAAUCAUGCUGGAUCUGGCCGCCGGCGUGAUGAAGACCUCCCGGGCUGGCGCAGGCGAAGCUCCGGUUCUGCUGGACUCCAUGCGCUCGUUCCUGUCAGCCCGAAACAGAGGGAGGGAGAGAUGAGAGAAAGAGAGAGGGAGGAGGAGAGAACCAGAGGAGGAGAAGAGAAGACCGAGGCAUGGCCUUGGCACGGGGUCGACCGGUUGGUCAACGGCGGCGGCUGCAGGCUUCUAGGAGGAGCUCGGGAUCGAGCUCCUCUCGAACUGGAGCACUGGUUCUUGGAGGUUGCAGGGGAGCCCUGGCUGGCUGACUCACGGGCGGGAGCAAGGAGAAAGCGGCGCAGCGGGUUGGCCAGAUGGGGAAAUUGAGGUGGGAAGUGGCGGCGCUGGAUGGGACAGGGGAGGAUCCCUAGGGUUUCGGUCUGAGUUGGGAUAGGUAGGACUAUCUAUACUAAAUCGGUUUAGGUCUAGGGUCUUUUCGGAUCAUCUAAUCUAAAUCGGACGGUAGAAAAAACUAGGUUAGGUGGUCCAAUGGACAAACCGAUGAUGGUUUGCGGUAAAAUGGGGUUGAUCCGGAUCCAACGGUCACGACCGGCGGGUUCGGGUUCCGGGAGGUUUUUGGACUGGGCUGCGCGUAGGGUCGAAGCACUGUGUAGAGGGGCUAGGCGGAGAUGAGAGGGAAAACGGGCACCCGACAACGUAUUUUUUUUAAAACACCCGAACACGUCCGACGAUAGACCGAAUACGGUGCCGCUAUGGUCGACCGUUCGGUUACCAGACGGACUCCGAUCGCGAUGAAUUUGACAGGCGGCCUACCUAUAUAAAAAUGAGACCGCUCGUCAAAUUUCAACCCAAUCAGAGAAAGUUUUACACACACUUUUAAAAACAAGGAUUUGACGAAGCCGCGGACGCGUGCGUGUGUGGUCGGGCUCAGAACAGACAACGACGAGAACCGUCAACUAACAACGGAUGCAAGUUUUGAAAACUGACGGCAACGGAGAUGUCGAUGCAAUGCAUAUGAUGUGUAUGAUGCGACAAAUGAAAAUACCCACACGAUGAGAACGGAAAUAAAGGGGAAUCUUCUGGAACGUCGGCAUUGGGCUGUCACAGAGAUCCUCCCUCGACUCCCUGCAAGGAAGCAAUCCCGGGGUAACUAAAUCCAGUUAAGUAACAGUUGUAGUUGUAUAAGAUCAGGGCACAACUCCAAGUCGUCGUGUAACCGUGGACACGGCUAUUCGUAUAGAUAAGUUCUUCCCUGCAGGGGUUCACAACAUAUUCCCCGACGUGCUCGAUAACACUCUGGCCGGACACACUUUUCUGGGUCAUGCCCGGCCUCGGAAUAUCGACACGUCGCAGCCCCACCUAAGCUCAGCAUAAAGGCCAGCCCGCCGGUCUAACUCCUAAGCACAAAGGGGUCGUGGGCCCACCUACCCUCCGCGCUCCUGCAUGAUGUGAGGGCGGCCGAUGUGAGUCCUAGCACCCCUUAAUACAAGAGCGAUGCAUCUCGGGACCACUCGGGCGCUGAUACGUCUCCGUCGUAUCUACUUUUCCGAACUCUUUUGCCCUUGUUUUGGACUCUAAUUUGCAUGAUUUGAAUGGAACUAACCNNNNNNNNNNNNNNNNNNNNNNNNNNNNNNNNNNNNNNNNNNNNNNNNNNNNNNNNNNNNNNNNNNNNNNNNNNNNNNNNNNNNNNNNNNNNNNNNNNNNNNNNNNNNNNNNNNNNNNNNNNNNNNNNNNNNNNNNNNNNNNNNNNNNNNNNNNNNNNNNNNNNNNNNNNNNNNNNNNNNNNNNNNNNNNNNNNNNNNNNNNNNNNNNNNGAACUAACCCGGACUAACGAUGUUUUUAGCAGAAUUGCCAUGGUGUUGUUUUUGCGCACAAAUAAAAGUUCUCGGAAUGACCUGAAAAUUUACGGAGAAUUUUUCUGGAAUUUAUGAAAAAUACUGGCGCAAGAAUUAGCGGAGGAAGUGGAGCCAUGAGCUCAAAAGCCCACCAGGCGCGGGCCCCCCUGGCCGCGCCUGGCAGGCUUGUGGGGCCCACAAAGCUCCACCGCCUCCAAAUCCAACUCUAUUUAGUCCGUCUCGCCCAGAAAAAAAAUCAAAGAGAAGAUUUUAUCGCGUUUGACAAUACGGAGGCGCCGCCACCUCCUGUUCUUCAUCUGGAGGGCAGAUCUGGAGUCCGUUCUGGGAUCCGGAGAGGGGAGACCGUCGCCAUCGUCAUCACCAACCUUCCUUCAUCGCCAAUUCCAUGAUGCUCUUCACCGUUCGUGAGUAAUCUCAUCGUAGGUUUGCUGGACGGUGAUGGGUUGGAUGAGAUCUAUCAUGUAAUCGAGUUAGUUUUGACGGGGAUUGAUCCCUAGUAUCCACUAUGUUCUAAGAUUGAUGUUGCUACUACUUUUCCAUGCUUAAUGCUUGUCAGUAGGGCCCGAGUGCCAUUAUCUCACAUCUGAACCUAUUAUGUUGUCGCCAAUAUAUGUGUGUUCUUGAUCCUAUCUUGCAAGUUGUAGUCACCUAAUAUGUGUUAUGACCCGGCAACCCCAAAGUGACAAUAGCCGGAACCACUCCGAGAGAUGACCAUAUUAUGAGGAGUUCAUGUAUUCACCAAGUGUUAAUGCUUUGGUCCGGUUCUUUAUUAAAAGGAGAACCUUAAUAUCCCAUAGUUUCCAUUAGGACCCUGCUGCCACGGGAGGGAUGGACAAUAGAUGUCAUGCAAGUUCUUUUCCCUAAGCACGUAUGACUACAUACGGAAUACAUGCCUACAUUAGAUUGACGAACUGGAGCUAGUUACUUAUCUCUCUGUGUUAUAACUGUUGCAUGAUGAAUAGCAUCCGGCAUAAUCAUCCAUCACCGAUCCAAUGCAUACGAGAAUUUUAUUACUGGUCCUUGCUACGUUACUUUGGUGCUACUACUGUCACUGCUGCUACUGUUACUUUGUCGCUACUACUGUUACUUUGCUGCUAUUGGUUACUGUUGCUACUGCUGCUAUCAUACUACCUUGCUACUCAUACUUUGCUGCAGAUACUAAAUCUUUCAGGUGAGGUUGAAUUGACAACUCAACUGCUAAUACUUGAGAAUAUUCUUUGACUUCCCCUUGAGUCGAAUCAAUAAAUUUGGGUUGAAUACUCUACCCUCGAAAACUGUUGCGAUCCCCUAUACUUGUGGGUUAUCAAGACCUUUUUCUGGCGCCGUUGCCGGGGAGGCACAACUAUAUUCUCUGAGUCACUUGGGAUUUACGUCUGCUGGUCACUAUGAGGAAUCCGAUAGAUCCAAGAACUAAAGUAGUGCCCUCAACUACGAGGACAGGCAAGGAACUGCCAUCUAGCCCUGCACUUGAUUCACCUUCAGUUAUGAGUAAGUUUGCGACAUCACCUCUUGCUAGAAAUCUUGAUAUGUCGCAUGUGCUUGAUGAUGCUACUUCUGCUGCCCAUGAUGCUUAUGAUGAUGCUAUGCUUGAUACUGCUUUGCCUGAUGAUGCUAUGCUUGAUACUGCUUUGCCACUUAGUGCAUUCCUUGAUGCACAAAUUGCUAGAGUUGCUGCUUGAUGUGAUGAUACUUCUGAAACUGCUGAUACUAUUGAAGUAGAACCUAUUAUUUUUCCUGCUAGAACUACCUCUCCUAGAUAUGAAUUGCCUGAUAUGCGUGAGUGUUAUGUUAUGGAGGGAGAGAUAGCUGAGGAUUUUCUUGCGUGUAAGGAUAGCUAUGAUGUUGAGAAUUUACUGCUCAAGUGGAAAGAAAAAUCUCUGAACGCUAGGAUGAAAUACGACCCGAAGUUUGCUACUUCGCCUAUCUUUGUGAUCGGUAAGGAUUAUGAAUUCUCUGUCGACCCUGAGUUAAUCACUCUGGUCGAAUCUGAUCCUUUUCACGGUUAUGAGUCUCAAACGGUUGUAGCCCAUCUUACCAAAUUGCACGAUAUAGCCACCCUAUUCACUAGUGAGGAAAAGAUCCGCCACUACUAUAUCCUCAAGUUGUUUCCUUUCUCGCUAAAGGAUGAUGCUAAGACCUGGUUCACUUCUCUCGCUCCUGGUUGUGUGCGUAGCCCCCAGGAUAUGGUUCACUACUUCUCUGAAAACUAUAUCCCUGCCCAUAAGAAGCAAGCUGCCUUGCAGGAAAUAUACAACUUUGCGCAAGUUGAACAAGAGAGUCCCCCACAAGCUUGGGGGAGGCUCGUCGAUCACCUUGCAGGAAAUAUACAACUUAGAGGAAUCACCCUCGGGGGUCCCACACUUGAGGGGUUGCACGACAGAGGCAUCGUCGGGAAUGGUGAAAGAGGAAUCACCCUCGAUAACCACGACCGACUAGCUGUACUACAGAGAUAUCAUCAGGAAUACUUAGCGAGGUGUCACCCUCGGUACCCAAUAGUAUCCCUAUAGAGACGUACAACUAAGGGGGGUGUAUGUGCUGUGUCGGGUCUGGCUCGUCGAUCAGGGAUCGAGACUUGAAAACAAAGCGGGGCAACUGGACUAUGGGGUCAGAGGGGAUGGCUGCUCCACCUAUACUAAGCAGUUUAAAGUGUGAGACUGAAAGUAGCAGUUCAUCAAAAAUAGGCUAUGCAUCAUAUAUAGGAGGUAACUACAACAGUAGCAAAAUACUAAUGCAAGCAUGAGGAAGAAAGAAUUAGGCGAUAUAGGAAUGAUCAAGGGGGGGUUACUUGCCUGGUUGCUCUGUAGACAAAAACGGAUCCUCGACCAGGAAGUAGUCGAACACCGGAUUAUCAUGGGUCUCGGGGUCUACCGGAAAGGAAAUAACGAAGGGGAAACACACAAUAAAUAAGAGAGCAAGCAAAACACCACAAAGCAUGACAAGGUAAUACACCGUGCUAGGGUGACCUAACGCGGUACUAAGCGUUACAAACGAAGCGGGAAAAUAUCUCACGAUAUUUCCCGGGUCUUUGGCUACUACCGAGCACACGACCCUAAUGCAAAAAUGUCCAUGUUCAUCAUGCUAGAGGCAUGUGACAGAUGAACGGACAGCGUAUUCGUAUUCGUUGGAUUUUUCUAAGCAACUUUCAUAUAUAAAUUAUUUUCAUUCGACUUACGGGUUUUUUAUAUGAUUUUUCAAAGUUUAAAUGAUUUUCUAAAUUUCUGGAAUUCUUUUGAUCGGAAAAAACUUUUGUUACCUAGUGUUACUCUAACUUGUGUGUAUGACAGUGGGACCAUUGAGGGUUGGAUUGACCAAGUCAAAUUGACAAGUCAAGAGAGGGUAUGUGGCUGAUACGUCUCCGUCGUAUCUACUUUUCCGAACUCUUUUGCCCUUGUUUUGGACUCUAAUUUGCAUGAUUUGAAUGGAACUAACCNNNNNNNNNNNNNNNNNNNNNNNNNNNNNNNNNNNNNNNNNNNNNNNNNNNNNNNNNNNNNNNNNNNNNNNNNNNNNNNNNNNNNNNNNNNNNNNNNNNNNNNNNNNNNNNNNNNNNNNNNNNNNNNNNNNNNNNNNNNNNNNNNNNNNNNNNNNNNNNNNNNNNNNNNNNNNNNGAACUAACCCGGACUAACGCUGUUUUCACCACAAUUGCCAUGGUGUUGUUUUUGCGCAGAAAUAAAAGUUCUCCCAAUCACCUGAAAAUUUACGGAGAGUUUUUGUGGAAUAUAUAAAAAAUACUCACGCAAGAAUCAGCGGAGGAAGUUGAGCAUGGAGCCCACAAGCCCACUAGGCGCGGGCCCCCCGGCCGCGCGUGGCAGGCUUGUGGGGCCCACAAAACUCCACCGCCUCCAAAUCCAGCUCUAUUUAGUCCGUCUCGCCCGGCAAAAUAUCAAGGAGAAGAAUUCAUCGCGUUCUACGAUACGGAGGUGCCGCCACCUCCUAUUCUUCAUCUGGAGGGCAGGUCUGGAGUUUGUUUUGGGCUCAGGAGAGGGGAGAUCGUCGCCAUCGUCAUCACCAACCUUCCUUCAUCGCCAAUUCCAUGAUGCUCUUCACCGUUCGUGAGUAAUCUCAUCGUAGGCUUGCUAGACGGUGAUGGGUUGGAUGAGAUAUAUCAUGUAAUCGAGUUAGUUUUGACGGGGAUUGAUCGCUAGUAUCCACUAUGUUCUGAGAUUGAUGUUCCUACUACUUUGCCAUGCUUAAUGCUUGUCACUAGGGCCCGAGUGCCAUGAUUUCAGAUCUGAACCUAUUAUGUUGUCGCCAAUAUAUGUGUGUUCUUGAUCCUAUCUUGCAAGUUGUAGUCACCUACUAUGUGUUAUGACCCGACAACCCCGGAGUGAUAAUAGCCGGAACCACUCCCGGAGAUGACCAUAGUAUGAGGAGUUCAUGUAUUCACCAAGCGUUAAUGCGUUGGUCCGGUUCUUUAUUAAAAGGAGAACCUUAAUAUCCCGUAGUUUCCAUUAGGACCCCGCUGCCACGGGAGGGAUGGACAAUAGAUGUCAUGCAAGUUCUUUUCCCUAAGCACGUAUGACUACAUACGGAAUACAUGCCUACAUUACAUUGACAAACUGGAGCUAGUUACAUAUCUCUCUGUGUUAUAACUGUUGCAUGAUGAAUAGCAUCCGGCAUAAUCAUCCAUCACUGAUCCAAUGCCUAUGAGUCUUUUACUACUGGUCCUUGCUACGUUACUUUGCCGCUACUGCUGUCACUGCUGCUACUGUUACUCUGUUGUUGCUACUGUUACUCUGGUGCUACUAGUUACUAUUGCUACUGCUGCUAUCACCCCACUUUGCUACUGAUACUUUGUUGUAGAUACUAAAUCUUUCAGGUGUGGUUGAAUUGACAACUCAGCUGCUAAUACUUGAGAAUAUUCUUGGGCUUCCCCUUGAGUCGAAUCAAUAAAUUUGGGUUGAAUACUCUACCCUCGAAAACUGUUGCGAUCCCCUAUAGUUGUGGGUUAUCAAGACCUUUUUCUGGUGCCGUUGCCCGGGAGGCACAUCUCUAUUCUCUGAGUCACUUGGGAUUUACGUUUGUUGGUCACUAUGAAGAAUCUGAGAGAUCCAAGAACCAAAGUCUUGCCCUCAACUACAAGGACAGGUAAGGAACUGCCAUCUAGCUCUGCACUUCAUUCACCUUUAGUUAUGAGUAAGUUUGCGACACCACCUCCUGCUAGAAAUCUUGAUAUGUCACCUGUGUCUGAUGAUGCUAUGCUUGAUACUGCUUUGCCUGAUGAUGUUAUGCUUGAUACUGCUUUGCCACUUGGUGCAUUCCUUGAUGCACAAAUUGCUAGAGUUGCUGCCAGAUGUGAUGAUACUUCCGAAACUGCUGAUACUAGUGAUGUAGAACCUGCUAUUUUGCCUGCUAGAACUAGGUCUCCUAGAUAUGAAUUGCCUGAUAUGCGUGAGUGUUAUGUUAUGGAGGGAGAGAUAGCUGAGGAUUUUCUUGCAUGUAAGGAUAGCUAUGAUGUUGAGAAUUUACUGCUCAAGUGGAAAGAAAAAUCUCUGAACGCUAGGAUGAAAUACGACCCGAAGUUUGCUACUUCGCCUAUCUUUGUGAUCGGUAAGGAUUAUGAAUUCUCUGUCGACCCUGAGUUAAUCACUCUGGUCGAAUCUGAUCCUUUUCACGGUUAUGAGUCUCAAACGGUUGUAGCCCAUCUUACCAAAUUGCACGAUAUAGCCACCCUAUUCACUAGUGAGGAAAAGAUCCGCCACUACUAUAUCCUCAAGUUGUUUCCUUUCUCGCUAAAGGAUGAUGCUAAGACCUGGUUCACUUCUCUUGCUCCUGGUUGUGUGCGUAGCCCCCAGGAUAUGGUUCACUACUUCUCUGAAAACUAUAUCCUUGCCCAUAAGAAGCAAGCUGCCUUGCAGGAAAUAUACAACUUUGCGCAAGUUGAACAAGAGAGUCUCCCACAAGCUUGGGGGAGGCUCGUCCAGCUGCUGAAUGCUUUCCCUGGUCACCCUCUUGAAAAUAAUGAAAUACUUGAUAUCUUCUAUAAUGGACUUACUGAUGCUUCUAGAGACCACCUAGAUAGUUGUGCUGGUUGUGUUUUUAGGAAACGAACUGUAGAACAAGCUGAGAUCCUAUUGAAUAAUAUCUUGUGCAAUGAGAAUGCUUGGAAUAUUCCCGAACCACCUCCUAAGCCAACUUCGAAGAAAAGAGGUUUUCUAUUCCUCAGUCUCGAAGAUAUGCAAGAAGCUAAGAAAUCUAUGAAAGAGAAAGGCAUUAAAUCUGAAGAUGUCAAAAAUCUACCACCUAUCGAAGAGAUCCAUGGUCUUGAUAACCCGAUACAGGUAGUAGAAUUAAAUUCUCUUAGUAGAUUCGAUGAGAGUGAUAUUCCUUUUGAUAAACCUGCUAGCUUAUGCUUGGAUGAAUUUGAUAACUUUGUUGCCAAACAACAAAGUUUCAAUGAUUAUGUUAGCAGACAAUUGGAACAGAAUGCUCGUAUGCUUAGUCAUUUAACUGCUUGUGUGGACAGAAACGUCAAUGAUCUUAAGCUCUUGAGUAAACAUGCAUCUAUGGUUACUACUCAACUAGAACAAGUACUUAAAGCUCAGAAUGACUUUCUCAAUGAGUUGAAUGAAAAUUCUGUCAGAGUCGUCACUAGAGGCGGUAGAAUGACUCAGGAACCUUUGUAUCCUGAGGGUCAUCCUAAGAGAAUUGAACAAGAUUCUUAAGGAGUUAGCACUGAUGCACGUAGUCAUCAUAGAUAGAAGAAGAAAGAUGAUAGGAACCUGCAUGCUAGCAACCCUGUUGCUGCUACACCUGAGAUUCCAAACGAUGUCUGUGUCUCUGAUGCUGAAACACAAUCUGGUGAUGAACAUGAGCCUAAUGAUAAUAUCAAUAGUGAUGUUCAUGAUGAUGCUCAACCUAGCAAUGAUAAGGAUGUGGAGAUUGAACCUAGUGUUGAUCUUGAUAACCCACAUCCUAAGAAUAAGAGAUACGAUAAGAAUGACUUCGUUGCUAGGAAGCAUGGUAAAGAAAGGGAACCAUGGGUUCAGAAACCCAUGCCCUUUCCUCCCAAACCAUCCAAGAAAAAGGAUGAUGAGGAUUUUGAGCGAUUUGUUGAAAUGAUCAGACCUGUCUCUCUGCAAAUGUGUUUGACAGAUAUGCUCAAAAUGUCUCCGUAUGCUAAGUACAUGAAAGAUAUUGUGACUAAUAAAAGGAGGAUACCUGAGGUUGAGAUUUCCACCAUGCUCGCUAAUUAUACCUUCAAGGGUGGAACUCCUAAGAAACUAGGUGAUCCCAGAGUGCCCACUAUACCUUGCUCCAUUAAAGGCGACUAUGUUAGAACUGCUUUAUGCGACCUUGGAGCCGGUGUUAGUGUUAUGCCUCUCUCUCUUUAUCGUAGGCUUGAACUGGAUAAGUUGACACCCACAGAAUUCUCUCUGCAAAUGGCCGACAAAUCAACUGCUUUCCCUAUCGACAUUUGCGAGGAUGUGCGUGUUGUGGUUUCUAACGUCACUAUCUUAACAAACUUUGUUAUUCUGGAUAUUACCGAGGACGAUGCCAUGGCGGUCAUCCUCGGAAGACCCUUUUUAAACACUGCAGGGGCUGUUAUAGAUUGCAACAAAGGCAAUGUCACUUUCCAUGUCAACGGUAAUGAGCAUACGGUGCACUUUCCAAAGAAACAAUAUCGAGUACAUUGCAUCAAUUCUAUCAAAAAAACUUCAUCGAUUCUUAUUGGGAGCUUUGAAUGCCCUAUUUCUCCUGUUAAGAUGAAGUAUGAUUUGCUUGUUGGGGAGAUACACAUCCCCAUUGAGGUAACCUAGUGACUAUUCGAAAAUUCUCCAUUCUCUUUUGCGAUUCAAAAAGGUUUGUCAAGGAGACUUGAUCAACCUCAUUGACGGAUUUCUUUCGAUGACCAUGAGAUGGAUGAAUCGAGGAGUCACAAACCUCUGUUCCAAGCUUUCACCUUCGGUUGCUUAGAAUAAAAAUGAUAGCUUUAGUUUAGUUUUCCCUGUUUUCUGUUUUAGUGUCCGUAGAAAAGUACCCCGAAAAUAAAAGUUCUCCGAACGUCCUGAAAAUCAAGUAUGAUUUUUUCUGGAAUUUUUGAAAAAUACUAAGACGAAGAGCUAGUUUAGGGGCUACACCAGUGGGCCACAAGCCCUGGAGGCGCGGGCACCCCCCUGGCCGCGCCUACCUGGGAUGUGGGGCCCACGUGCACCCCCUCCAAUCAUUCUAGCUCCCAUCUUCUUCUCCUACCUCCAGAAAAAAUUGUUUCUCAGCUCAAACCCGUGCUCUUGCUCUUCUUGCUGGGAUUUUCGAUCUCCUUGCGCAAAGCACCAUUCUCCGAACUGUUUUGGGGAAAUUGCUCCUUGGUAAGUGACUCCUCUAUUGGUCCAAUUAGUUUUUGCUCUAGUGCCUUAUACAUCGCGUAUUUUUGCUACCUUGGUGACCAUGUUCUUGAGCUUUGCAUGCUAAUUUUGGCUGGUCCCAAGUAGUUUUGAUGUGUAAUAUGGCUUCUAGGCACUUGUGGGAGUAGUUGCUACGAGUUUCGUUGGUCCUUGUUCACUUUUCCUUAGAGUCACUAAAAAUUUCAGAAAUUUUCAGAGGUAGAAAAAGGAAAAGAUGAGGAGGUUCUUAAGAGGCUCUUCAAGCCGUGACCCCAAGGAUGAUGGAAGUGAGAAGAAGACCAAGUAUCCGGUCCCUCGAGUUGCAGAAGUUCGAGCAUGCGAAUGGCCAAGCGAUGUGUUCUUACGCGCCGUCGGACUUUAUGAGGACUUUUAUCACUUGGUGGAGAACGCAUGCCUUACCGCCUUCGUUGAAGAUAAAUGUUCGCAAUACCUCCUCCUCACUAAUAUUUUCGUGCAAAGCUUUAACUUCUAUCCAAGGGAGAAUCCUCCUAUGGUUGAGUUCAAAUUAUAUGAUAUCCCCCAGCGCAUGUCACUCCAGGAUUUUUGCAAUGUUUGCAAAUUACCUUAUGUUGGGGAUAUUCAUGAAUCUCGUCCACGGGACUUGGAGGCUUUCAUCGAUACUAUUGAUGUAGGAGAGGAGAGAGGAGUGUCUUGCGCUAGAGCUGCUAGCUUACAUUUUCCCGUGCUUCGGUACUUCUCACUAUUCGUGGGAAAAUGUUUGAUUGGCCGUGGGAAAGCUGGGUCCCUUAGCUCCCUAGAUCUUGCGGUCUUGUGCGAAGCCCUUUAUAAUGAUAAAACUUAUAGCUUGGGCGCUAUAGUAGCUCAAUGGUUGAACACGAACCAUUCUAAAGGCGUUGUCUAUGGAGAUAUCUAUGCUACCCGUCUUACCAGACACUUUGAGAUACCUAUUAGACUGGACGAGGAAGAAGAGAUUCUUCUUCCUGAGAGAUAUCUAGAUUAUGAUAGCAUGGUUUGCCAUGACUUUCUUGAUAUAGAUAUAAAUAGAAGGAUGAUUUAUAACCUGGUAUUUUGUCAGGGUACUCGUGAGACUAUUACUUUGCCUGCUCCUUCUUUGUUCAAUCUUCAUGCAGGCAGGUACAUUAUUAUGCCCUCGGACAUCUACGCAUAUUGGGGCGUAGCCCAACCACAAGUGCCCGUGCCCGAGCCACUAGUCGAGUACCAGACGCCAGUUUAUCAGUGGGAGCCAGAGGAGCUCACACAGCAGUGGCAUCCUCAGUCCACUCCGGAGUACCCCGGAGCUGGUUAUUUCCCUCCAUGGGAGUAGACCAACUUAGGCCAAAUGCCUAAGCUUGGGGGAGUACGUGUUUCUCACCGAAUUUACAUUCUUGCUUAUGCUUUCACUUUGUUAGUCGGUGUUCACACUUUGCCACAAUAUCAUCCAUGUUAGUUUAUUUUCUUUUUCUCUCGUUUUCUUUUCGUGUGUCUGUCUAGUUUGAGAAAACCCAAAAAGAUUUUCUUGUUCUUCUUUUGCUUGUUGGGAGCUUUCCCGUGUAAAUAGUUUUCUUUUUCUUUGGGUCAAGAUAGAAGACCAUGGUUACAAUGUUUAGUGGCUCUCACAUGCAUAUUUGUUUAUCUGUUAAAGAGCCAUAUUACUUUGUCUUCUCCUUUGUGUUUGCUUGCAGAUUCCAGCUUAGUCCAAUGCAUGAGCACUCUUAUUAUUGGUCACAUCAUUCGGUGAUGCAAGUGAAAGGCAAUAAUGACGAUAUAUGAUGAAGUGACUGAGCCUGGAAAAGCUGGUAUGAACUCGAUCUAUUUUGUUUUUGUAAAUAUGACUAGCUCAUCGUUCCUGAUUCAGCUUUGUUGUGAGCGAAACAUGUUUGCAAUGACAACUUAGAGAUCAUAGUUUAUGAUGCCAUGCUUAAUUAGCUAGGAGCUUAUAAUGGUUUGUCUUGGUUGCCAACAUGAAUUUUGAGAUGACUACGAUGUAGUAUGAUAGGAUGGUAUCCUCCUUUGAAUGUUUCAAGUAGCUUGACUUGGCGCAUGUUCACGCAUGUAGUUGAAACAAAAUCAACAUAGACUCUAUGAUAUUCAUGUUCAUGGUGAUUUAUGUCCUACUCAUGCUUGCACUCAAUGUUAGUUAAUCUCAAUACAUUUUGAUGACUGUUGUCGCUCUCUAGUUCCAUGAUCAAAUCGAGAAAGGGGUCGGUAAGAUAAUUGCAAACAAAACUCCCCCUGGAUUGAUGUUGGUAUGGACGGCACCCGAGGAUUCGGCUAGUCGUGGAGUGUGAUUGAUCGGUGGUGGGGGAGUCAAAACUUUACUUUUUUGUUUGGGAACGGCCUAUAGCAUGUGUAGCGUGGAAGAUGGUGAGAACUCUUAGUCAUUGCGUUGACAAUGAAAGCAUGCCACCCAAAAUUAUUUGUCUCUGUUUUAAAAGUUUGAGCUCUCGUACCUCUGCAAAUCAAUGCUUCCCUCUGCGAGGGGCCUAUCUAUUUAUGUUCCUGUUGAGUCAUCCUCUUCUUAUAAAAGCACCAAUUAGAGAGCACCUCUGUCAUUUUGAUGCUUUGCUUGUAACUAUGAUGAGUAUGACUGUGACUGGAUCUUCUUUGCCAGGAAUUACAAUGUUUAGUGAGCCCUUGGUCUUUGAAGGUGCUCUGCAUUUAUGUUUUGUGGUCUCAGAAAGAGCUAGCGAGAUACCAUCUGUUCGUACUGAUUCAUGAUUGUUUUGAUUGAAGUGUUGAUGUUUGAGACUUAUUAUUAUUUGCUCGCUAGUUGAUUAUGCCAUUGAUAUGAGUUUACCGUGAGACCUAGAUGGCAUUUGCUUAUGUGGUUAGCUUGUGAUCUUGCUGAAAUUCUUGAUAUGAGUUAGACAUAGUUGCAACAACAAGAUCAAACAGAGUUCGUAAAAGUUUUUCUUUUGUCUCUUUCAGUUUGUCAACUGAAUUGCUUGAGGACAAGCAAGGCUUUAAGCUUGGGGGAGUUGAUACGUCUCCGUCGUAUCUACUUUUCCGAACUCUUUUUCCCUUGUUUUGGACUCUAAUUUGCAAGAAUCAGUGGAGGAAGUGGAGCGUGGAGCCCACAAACCCACUAGGCGCCCCCACUGGCCGCGCCUGGCGGGCUUGUGGGCCCCACAAAACUCCACCGCCUCCAAAUCCAGCUCUAUUUAGUCCGUAUCGCCUGUAAAAAAUCAAGGAGAAGAGUUCAUCGCGUUUUACGAUACAGAGGCGCCGCCACCUCGUGUUCUUCAUCUCGAGGGCAGAUCUGGAGUCCGUUUUGGGCUCCGGAGAGGGGAGAUCGUCGCCAUCGUCAUCACCAACCUUCCUUCAUCGCCAAUUCCAUGAUGCUCUUCAUCGUUCGUGAGUAAUCUCAUCGUAGGCUUGCUGGACGGUGAUGGGUUGGAUGAGAUCAAUCAUGUAAUCGAGUUAGUUUUGACGGGGAUUGAUCCCUAGUAUCCACUAUGUUCUGAGAUUGAUGUUGCUACUACUUUGCCAUGCUUAAUGCUUGUCACUAGGGCCCGAGUGCCAUGAUUUCAGAUCUGAACCUAUUAUGUUGUCGCCAAUAUAUGUGUGUUCUUGAUCCUAUCUUGCAAGUUGUAGUCACCUACUAUGUGUUAUGACCCGGCAACCCCGGAGUGACAAUAGCCGGAAUCACUCCCGAAGAUGACCAUAGUAUGAGGAGUUCAUGUAUUGACCAAGUGUUAAUGCGUUGGUCCGGUUAAUUAUUAAAAGGAGAACCUUAAUAUCCCGUAGUUUCCAUUAGGACCCCUGCUGCCACGGGAGGGAUGGACAAUAGAUGUCAUGCAAGUUCUUUUCCCUAAGCACGUAUGACUACAUAUGGAAUACAUGCCUACAUUACAUUCACGAACUGGAGCUAGUUACAUAUCUCUUUGUGUUAUGACCGUUGCAUGAUGAAUAGCAUCCGGCAUAAUCAUCCAUCACCGAUCCAAUGCCUACGAGUCUUUUACUACUGGUCCUUGCUACGUUACUUUGUGUGGUACUGAUGUCACUGUUGCUACUGUUACUCUGUUGCUGCUACUGGUUACUAUUGCUACUGCUCCUAUCACCCUACUUUGCUACUGAUACUUUGCUGCAGAUACUAAAUCUUUCAGGUGUGGUUGAAUUCACAACUCAGCUGCUAAUACUUGAGAAUAUUAUUUGGCUUCCCCUUGAGUCGAAUCAAUAAAUUUGAGUUGAAUACUCUACCCUCGAAAACUGUUGCGAUCCCCUAUACUUGUCGGUUAUCAGAUAAAUUAAAUAUGGAUCAAAUCAAAAUGAGCGGUCCACGUGAAAUAGGCCUAGACUAAUUAAUCCCUAAAUAAACAUAACCUAAUUAGGCCUACUAAUCGAGCCGGCCACUAGCAGUGCUUACAAUGUCACGGUUGUGCCAUGGCCAGGCACAAGGCCACGAUAGCCAUGGCCAGAAGUAGCAACGUAGCAACAACAGUUGAGAGUAGCAUCAGAUGGGAGAAGCACGUGCAAGCAAACAACAGCUACCGCAAGAAGCAGCUACGGCAAGAGGCAACGACAUCGGCAGCAGCACACCGCACCGCAACAGCACACGACAGCAGUACUAGCAGUAGCAACCGGGCGGCAGCGAGCGGCGGCGGAUGGACAGCCGCACGGGUUAGCUUGCAAUUGGUGCGUCGGAGCAGCAGCACUAGAACAGCAAAGAGCGGCAGCAGUCGAGCAAAGCAGCAGCAAGUGAUAAGUCGAGCAGUAACCGCAAAGUAGCAACAACAGCGGCAUGCUACGAGCAACUUCUCAGCGCACGGGCAGCGGGCGCGCAGUCGGACGCGGCUAGGCAUGAUAGGUACAUCCAGGAGGAGCAGUAGUACGCGGGCGUGCACGACACAGGAUUCACGGGCGGCCAAUGCAGGAACAGAGCACCAACACGUACGCGUACAUUCGGGCGAGCUCGGGGGCGGCAACUACGACGACGGAUCGAGUGGAAAAAAGGGAGGAAUCGGCAAAGGUGCUCACCCUGGUUCUCGUGGACAAGGUUAGGAGGUCAGGGGAGGCGUGGAGCAGCGGCAACGAAGAUGAGGUGGUGGCGUCCGCGGCGGAGAAGAGCUCGAUGGCGAGCACAGAGGCUGUCCCGACUUGAGCUGGUCCUCGGAACGGACGGAUCCGGUAGCAGUUGACCUCCCGGACGUGUUCCCUCACGCCAAAGAGACCGUUGGACGCGUCAACAAGGGCGAGGCAGCGGUGACCACUUGAGCUCGUGAGCUCGAAUUCAAGACAAAGAGAUGGGGGAACGAAGGGGAUCGAGGGGGGUGGUAGAGGGCGAUCUAGGGUUUUCGGGCGACGUAUUUGUAGGUCCAAGGGGGGCUACAUGGUGGCCAUCGAGCCAUGGUGGCCGUGGAUGGCCUCCACGCCAUGGCAUGUGCCUCCUCUGUACGAGAGGUAGGGGAAAGGCCACGGUGGGCUGGGCCAAAUGCACUGUGGCCACUUAUGGCCCACUACCACACUAGAUCUCGUAUAUUUUUCCUUUUUCUUUUCUGUAAUAUUUUGCACCCUAUUUCUAUAUUUAGGUUAUGCGGCAAAUGAUAUUUUCUAUAACUGAAACUUUGCACAUAAAUCAAGCACAAUAUUUUGGGGUGGCAUAAAAAUAUUCAUAGUAUCUUGUAAGGUUUAAUGUUUUUAGAAAUUGAAACGAUCAAUUUAAUUGCUUUUGUCCCACCGUUAAAAUUCCCACGGACAUUUUGGUACCUCAGGUGAUGUUGUUUUCCCUAACAUAAUUACCUAUGGCAUAUUUACAACUAAACCAAGAUUUUUCUUUUACAUUCUGAAGAAAUAAUUUAUUUCAAAUUAUUUUAAAUUUGAAAUUUGGCUUUAGUUUUAUUAAGUGACAAUCUAGCUUAGUUAAACAUGAUGACCUGGCAUCAUUAGGGUGUGAUUAUUGUAGCCUAACUACAUUGCUUAGUGUAGCUUAAUCCGGGGAUGUCACAGCACAGGAAGUUGUUCUUGUGUCGCCUACACCAAUUGAAGUGGAAACUGAUGAUGGUGAUCAUUGAGCUUCGGAUCAAGUUACUACAAACCUCGUAGGUCGAGAAGGUCAUGUGCUACUACAGAGUGGUAUGGUAACCCUGUCUUGGAGGUCAUGUUGUUGAUCAGCAAUGAACCUACGAGCUAUGAAGAAGCGAUGGUGGGCCCAGAUUCUGACAAAUGGCUGGAGGCCAUGAAAUACGAGAGAGGAUCCAUGUAUGAAAAUAAAGUGUAGACUUUGGAAGAACUACUUGAUGGUCGUAGGACUAUUAAGUAAAUAUGGAUCUAUAAAAGGGAAGACGGACGAUGAUGGUGAAAAGUCACCAUUAAGAAAAGCUCGACUUAUCGCAAAGAUGUUUUGACAAGUUCAAGAAGUUGACUAUGAUGAGACUUUCUCACUCGUAGCGAUGCUAAAAGUCUGUUGGAAUUAUGUUAGCAGUUGCUCCAUUGUUUAUGAAAUAUUGCACUUAGGAUGUCAAAACAUUGUUUCCUCGACGGUUUCCUUGAGGAAAGGUUGUAUGUGAUACAACCAAAAGGUUUUGUCGAUCCUAAGGAUGCUAACAACUAUGCAAGCUUCAGUGAUCCUUCUAUAGACUGGUGCAAGCAUCUCGGAAUUGGAAUAUACGCUUUGAUGAGAUGAUCAAAGCUUUUGGGUUUAUACAAGGUUUAUGAGAAACUUGUAUUUCCAAAGAAGUGAGUGGGAGCACUAUAGAAUUUCUGAUAAGUAUAUGUGGUUGACAUAUUGUUGAUUGGAAGUAAUGUAGAAUUUCUGUAAAGCAUAAAGGGUUGUUUGAAAGGAGUUUAUUAAAGGAAAACCUGGAUAAAGCUACUUGAACAUUGAGCAUCAAGAUCUAUAGAGAUAGAUCAAAACUCUUAAAAGAACUUUCAAUGAAAUGCAUGCCUUGACAAGUUUUUGAAGGAGUUCAAAAUAGAUCAGCAAAGAAGGAGUUCUUGGUAGUGUUGUAAGGUUUGAAUUUGAGUAAGACUAAAAAUCCCGACCACGGCAGAAGAAAGAGAAAGGACGAAGGUCGUCCCCUAUGCCUUAGCCGUAGGCUCUAAAGUAUGCCAAGCUGUGUACCGCACCUGAUGUGUGCCUUUCCAUGAGUCUGUCAAGGGGUACAAAAGGUGAUCCAGGAUUGAAUCACUAAAACAGCGGUCAAAGUUAUCCUUAGUAACUAAGUGGACUAAGGAAUUUUUAUCGAUUAUGGAGGUGAUUAAAGAGUUCAUCGUAAAGGGUUAUGUCGAUGCAAGCUUUGACACUAAUGUGAAUAACUCUGAGUUGUAAAACAGAUUCGUAUAGUAGAGUAGAUAUUUGGAGUAUUUCCGAAUAUCAUGUAGUAGCAGCAUCUAUAAGAUGACAUAAAGAUUUGUAAAGCACACACGGAUCUGAAAGAUUCGGAACCGUUGACUAAAACCUCUCUCACGAGCAAGACGUGAUCAAACCCCAGAACUAUAUGGGUAUUGGAUUCGUUAAAAUCACAUGGUGAUGUGAACUAGAUUAUUGACUCUAGUGCAAGUGGAAGACUGUUGGAAAUAUGCCCUAGAGGCAAUAAUAAAUUAGUUAUAAUUAUAUUUCUUUGUUCAUGACAACCUUUUAUUGUCCAUGCUAUAAUUAUAUUGAUUGGAAACACAAAUACAUGUGUGGAUACAUAGACAAAACACUGUACCUAGUAAGCCUCUAGUUGACUAGCUCGUUGAUCAAACAUGGUUAAGGUUUCCUGACCAUAGACAAGUGUUGUCACUUGAUAACAGGAUCACAUCAUUAGGAGAAUCAUGUGAUGGACAAGACCCAAACUAUGAACGUAGCAUGUGAUCAUGUCAAUUUAUUGCUAUUGUUUUCUGUGUGUAACUCACUGACACCGGAGGAAUACCUUAUGUGUAUCAAACGUCACAACAUAACUGGGUCACUAUAAAGGUGCUCUACAUGUAUCUCCAAGGUGUCCGUUGAGUUAGCAUGGAUCAAGACUGGGAUCUGUCACUCCGUGUGACGGAGAGGUAUCUCGGGGCCCACUCGGUAAUACAACAUCACACACAAGCCUUGCAAGCAAUGUGACUCAAGUGUGAGUCACGGGAUCUUGUAUUACGAAACGAGUAAAGAGACUUGCCGGUAACGAGAUUGAAAUAGGUAUAGGGAUACCGACGAUCAAAUCUCGGGCAAGUAACAUACUGAAGGACAAAGGGAAUGUUAUACGGGAUUAUAUGAAUCCUUGGCAUAGAGGUUCAACCGAUAAGAUCUUCGUAGAAUAUGUAGGAUCCAAUAUGGGCAUCCAGGUCCCGCUAUUGGAUAUUGAUCGAGAAGUGUCUCGGGUCAUGUAUAUAUAGUUCUCGAACCUGCGGGGUCUGCACACUUAAGGUUCGAUGAUGUUUUAGUAUAGUUGAGUUAUAUGUGUUGGUGACCGAAGGUUGUUCGGAGUCCCGGAUGAUAUCAUGGACAUCACGAUGGUUUCCGGAUUGGUCUGAAAACGAAGGUUGAUAUAUAGGAAGUUGGUGUUUGGAUUCCGGAAAGUUUUCGGGCAUUGCGGGCAGUGUACCGGGAGUGACGAAUGGGUUCCGGGGGCCCACUGGGUGGGCCCACCAUGCCCCAAGGGGUCCACAUGGGUUUAUUGGAUGUACAAUAAGGUAUAAUGGGCUGACAAAGUCAUCCAAGGAAAGCCCAUGAUGAAAAAGUGGAAAAACCAAAAGAGGUGUGAAAAUAAGGAAGGAGUCCUAAUCCAAGUGUGAUUGGAGAAGGACUCCUUGCUACUGCAACAAAAGACCUUCCAACGGCGCUAGAAACACGUGCUGACGGGAGACUAUUCUUGUCUUGAUACUCCUCAGCAACGGCACCAGGAAUCCUUCUGCUACGGCUGCGCCUAUAAGGACUUUCUAGGCAAAUAUGCAAAGGAUUUCCCCCGUGGCCUUGGAGCCUUGUGUUGGUGUUCCCUCGAGGCGGAAAGGGUGAUGUAGCGCAGCGGUGGUAAGUAUUUCCCUUAGUUUGAGAACCAAGGUAUCGAUCCAGUGAAGGUGUAUCUCAAGUGCCUGCACAAACACAAAAAAGCUUGCUCCCAACGCUAUGAAGGGGUUGUCAAUCCCUUAUAGAUUGUUCGCCAAGUGAGAACUGAAAGCAACAAAGUAACAAAGCAAAGUAAAAGCAAAAGUGGAAACGAUAGGUGUGUAUAGACCCGGGGGCCGUAGUGUUUACUAGUGGCUUCUCUCAUGAAAGCAAGUUGACGGUGGGUGAGAAAAUUACUGUCGAGCAAUUGAUAGAACCGCACAAAGUCGUGACGUCAUCUAUGGCAAUGAUUAUAUCUAUAGGCAUCACGUCCAAAACAAGUAGACCGAUACUUUCUGCAUCUACUACUAUUACUCCACACGUCGACCGCUAUCUAGCAUGCAUCUAGUGUAUUAAGUCCAAAAGAACAGAGUAACUCCUUAAGCAAGAUGACAUGAUGUAGAUGGACAAUCUCAUAUCUACGACAAAUCCCACCUUGUUACCCUUGAUGGCAACUACAUGAUGUGUGCCUUUCUGCCCCUACUGUCACUAGGAAAGGUCACCACACGGUAAGAACCCAAAACCAAGCACUUCUCCCAUUGCAAGAAUCAUAGAUCUAGUUGGCCAAACAAAACCCAAGACUCGGAGAGACUUACAAGGGUAUAAAAUCAUGAUCCACAAUUUAUCGGAUCUCGACAAACACACCGCCAAAGAGGAUUACAUCGGAUAGAUCCUNNNNNNNNNNNNNNNNNNNNNNNNNNNNNNNNNNNNNNNNNNNNNNNNNNNNNNNNNNNNNNNNNNNNNNNNNNNNNNNNNNNNNNNNNNNNNNNNNNNNAAGUUCAUGAUAAUUGAUCAUGAUGCAAUGGAUGCUCAUGUAACUAUUUGGAAGAAAAUUUAAGGGCUAUGACACCAAAUCACAUGAAGCGUCCAGAAAGUAUAAAAUAAAGCAUUAAAAAAUCACCAAGUGGUAAUCACAUCAUGGAGGAACCGACUAAACAAGCCGACGAGCCUUAGCCUAAAGAGCGUCCAACAUCCGUCCUAGCCGCUACUAGUCCCUCUGCCUAGCUAGCGGGUGUCAAUGUUGCAGGAACGCAAGAAAACUGAAAAAAGUGUGAGAGGCUUGACAUGGAAAAACCCUCUUGAUCAUUAUCUUAUUGCGCGUGGUCCAAAGAGUCCACGAAAAGGCGACAAAGAUCAGCCAAAAAGACGUUUGUGUGUGUCGGACGGUCCUGCUCUGGCCUGAAGGAAGCUGGCUAGAUUGGUCGUUUCCCACUGAAUGGCUCCCGGACAAAACUUCAUAACGACCUUACCGUCUUGCGGGAGAAGAGAUAUGGUUAUCAUUCUCCGAUACACCAUACAACGGACAUAGCCAAUUAUCCGGGCAUGUCGUGAGAGAAGAGAAGGGAAACACUAAAGCCAAGCUAUCAUUAUCAAAAACGCGUUUGUCAAUGGACCAAUCGUGAGAGCCCAAGACUAGGUCCGGGUCAGGUGUAAAUCAAAAGCUAUGUUUAUAUAUUUCUUANNNNNNNNNNNNNNNNNNNNNNNNNNNNNNNNNNNNNNNNNNNNNNNNNNNNNNNNNNNNNNNNNNNNNNNNNNNNNNNNNNNNNNNNNNNNNNNNNNNNNNNNNNNNNNNNNNNNNNNNNNNNNNNNNNNNNNNNNNNNNNNNNNNNNNNNNNNNNNNNNNNNNNNNNNNNNNNNNNNNNNNNNNNNNNNNNNNNNNNNNNNNNNNNNNNNNNNNNNNNNNNNNNNNNNNNNNNNNNNNNNNNNNNNNNNNNNNNNNNNNNNAUGUUUAUAUAUUUCUUAUGAACUCUUAUAGUAGAUCCGAGUACUACUUUUCUUGGAACUUUGCUAUUUUACAAGAAAGCAGAAUGAUGGAUGAAUCCUUAAUUACAAUAACAAAACCAGGAAAGUGCAACUAUAGCAUACACUCCUUACAAGUACGUUGUUCAGAUGCAGACAUACAUAUAUCUUCCUUGCCGUACCCAACUUCCAUUCCCACUGAUCACUGACUCCACGCGCCGCAAAAAAAAAAAAAAAAAANNNNNNNNNNNNNNNNNNNNNNNNNNNNNNNNNNNNNNNNNNNNNNNNNNNNNNNNNNNNNNNNNNNNNNNNNNNNNNNNNNNNNNNNNNNNNNNNNNNNNNNNNNNNNNNNNNNNNNNNNNNNNNNNNNNNNNNNNNNNNNNNNNNNNNNNNNNNNNNNNNNNNNNNNNNNNNNNNNNNNNNNNNNNNNNNNNNNNNNNNNNNNNNNNNNNNNNNNNNNNNNNNNNNNNNNNNNNNNNNNNNNNNNNNNNNNNNNNNNNNNNNNNNNNNNNNNNNNNNNNNNNNNNNNAAAAAAAAAAAAAAAAAACAUUGCUACUGUAGCAUAAAAGUUCUGGCGUUCAUGAUGCGCGCGACCUGUAUAUGUAGCCCAUUCUUCUCUUUUGAGAAGGCGGUUGUGUAUAGAGUAUAACUAGAGGCGCGCAAGCGUCUGCAGGUCGACGGGGUGGACGUCGGAGGGGUCGGCGGCGCUGUAGGCCCUCCUCCCGACGAGGAUGUUGGCGGCCUCCGUGGGGUGGAAGGCGUCCCAGAAGAGGUACUCGUUCCUGUUGGCGCACGGCGUCUGGAAGGGCAGGCAGGUCACCUGCCCGUUGUUCCUNN
rnacentral:lncRNA from 1 species